UUUUUUUUUUUUUUUUUUUUUUUUUUUUUUUUUUUGUAUAAACAUUAUUAUCUACACUAAGACCAUCUCCAACUUUUGGAGAUAAAGCUUAAAAAUUUAAGCCAAAAAAUUUUAAGCCAUAACCUAGAAAUCGUUUUCUCCUCCAAUUCUUAUGGCUUAAAAUUUUAUCUCGAGAUUAUUAACUAAUGAUUUUAGCCUAAUUUUUUUUCAGUAACUUUUCUGAAAAUAAAAUUUAUAUAGACUAUCCUAAUUUAUUUUUAUGAACAUUUUAAUCUAAAAACUAUUCACAUUCCAAUAAGUAAUUAAAAUUCAUACAAAUACACAUACAUUCAUAAAAUUUUAAGUGAAAUUUGAUUUUAAAUAAUUUAAGAAGUUAGAUUUACUUUUGAACCGUCAAAUCUUUUUUAUUACCAUUAGAUUUGAUCUCAUUUAAUCACAGCCGUUAGAUUAUAAGUAAAAACACAAAAAUGUUUGAAAUAUGACAGUUUAGUGGGUCCAAAAUAGUUUUAAGUCAUGCUUAAAUCCUGUGGGAAAUUAGCCCAAAGAUAUAUUUUCUUCCCAUGACUUUAGUUUAGCCCAAUAGUUGGAGAUGGUUUGGGGGGAUUUUAAGGCUUAUAUUUUAAGUUUUAUCUCAUGGGUUGAAGAUGAUCUAAAGAGGUAUGAGAGUGGGCUAAGCCUCACAAUGGUCUAUCAAUAAUAUAGUUCAAAUUCGUUUUUUGUGAGAAUUGAACCUAAAACUUCUCGGUUACAAGUAAAAAAUAAUAUCAUUAUACCGUAUUACAAAGUGACUAUAUAUAACCUCUAGUUUAAUGUCUCUUUGUUGCUUCAAGGACUUUGUAUGUUGUAGUUAGAUGUGACGCCUCUAGUUUAAUGUCUCUUUGUUGCUUCAAAGACUUUGUAUGUUGUAGUUAGAUGUGACGCUAGUGUGUAUUUUUUUUGUUAUUGAUGUCUCUUGAUGAUAUCAAGCAACGUAUUUUUAAAUAAAAAAAAAGUUUUCUAAAUAUUCACCUUUGAGUUUGGAUGGAUUUGUAUACUAUCCUAUGUUCUAUCUUAAAUUUUUUAAUAAAGCAUCUUACUUAACAAAAAUUUGAGAAUAAUAUACUCCAUCUGACAUGGCCCAUUUUUUAAGACAGAUGAACAGUAAAUGGUAUAAAUUGUUUCUUAAUUUUAACUUAAAUGAAGUAAUAGUUUAUCAAUUAAAAAUUCAUGAUCAUUGAUUUUUUUUUUUGAAGUUUUAACGAAAAACCCAUGGUACUGUUCAUUUUAACGAAAAACCACAUUUUUACACUAAAAAGUCAAACAUAGUACUAUUCACUUUACCUUUUAUUGUCUUUAUCAUUAAAACUCAAAGUUUUCAAGCAUUUUUCAUUAGUUUUCCUUUUUUUUUUUUAUGUUGAAAUGACCAUUGGUCUCUUAAUUCAUCAAAACGUGCAUCUACAGUUCUUUUUGUCAACUCUGUCAGAGUUCCGUCAAAAUGAGUCAUGUAGAAAAUAUCAUGGCUAUAAUUGGAUUAAAGUUGAUGGACUAUUGCUCCAAUUGAGUUAAAAUUGAGAAAUCAUUUCUCCAAUUGUGUUAAAGUUAAGGGACCAUUGAUACAAUUUUCUCAUUUGGUUUUUCAUAUUUGCCCUUUACUAACGAAACUGACGAAAAAAAUGGUAGGUGCACGUUUUGAUCACUAUUGCGUGGGCAGCAAAUAGUUUUAUCUUAUAUAGCUGUGAGCAUAUAGACUCAAUGAAACGGAUUAUUAUGAAGGAAAACUAAUGUAAAGAGCUUGAAAAUUUUGAGUUUUAACGAUAAGGACAAAAUAAAAGGUAAAGUGAAUAGUACCAUGAUUGACCUUUUAGUGUAAAAAUGUGGUUCUUCAUUAAAGUGAACAGUACCAUGAGCUUUUCGUUAAAGUUCCCUUUAUUUAUGAGGUCAAUCUUUUGAGUUAUAUGGCUAUUAGAUCGAUCCAAAUGUCAAUUAUGAGAGACACUGAAGAAGGCACCAUAAAUGUCAACGAGGUAUGUAAUAACGUAGUAGCUAAUGUCAUUCGUAUUCAUUAGAUAGAUAAUAUUGUAAAUAUUAUGUGGAUGGCCCACAUGAAUAGUUUGUUACUAUUUAUUCACAUUAUUUUCAUUAUUCAUUUGUGGAAAAUUUGUAAGGUGAAUAGUGUCCUUUGAUUAUAAAAUGAAUGAGAAGAAGAGGAAGACUGAGGGUUCACGGGAAAGAUGGGAAUGAAAAGAAAGAAAGAAAAAGAGGAAGGAAUGAAGAGGAAGAGAGAGAAGGAAGAGGAAGAGAGAAAAUAGAGGAAGAUGAGAAGAGAUAAUAGAGAGAGUUAUCUUUGUACUCCUAUUAUUUCAAAUUAUAAGGAAAGCACCACUGCUGCCCCGAGGAUGUACUCCAGUCACACUGACUGUAGAGGAACCUCGUAAAUUUUGUGUCUUGUUUCAUUUAUUCCACUGCACCCACAGUUGAUUUCACAACACGUUAUCAGCACGAAAAGCUCUCAUGUCAGUGGAAAGUACAACACCAUAAAUCUGGUGAAGCAUUAUCUACCUCUCACCUUGGUCAACUAAAAUCUCAUAGAGUAGAGACGGCAAGCCAGACAUGUCAAACAGGGAAGAUCAUCUUGUCACAAAAAUCCAUCAACCUUUCUUUUAUCACUUUUUCUUUUAUCACUCUAACUAUUGAUAUGCUAAUCCUUAUCUCUGCUAGACCUGCAAUCUAUUUUUUCUCGUGGACAAGAAAGAUGGAGAGAUCUUACAGACAAACAAAGGUGCAGCAAAACAAGCAAAGGUAUGUCCAUUUUUCGGUUCUCCUACCACGCCAGAAGCGUUCCACCGAAUUUCGGUGCGAAUUGAAAUUUAUAACGACCUGAAGUCGUCACGAGAUAAGAAAACUCGUACCUGACAACUGGUUUCCAGAGAUCUAGAAGAAUCUCAUUAGACUUGGAAACCCAGAUCAUGUCGUUCUCAAUGGAUCUCGAGGACCUCCAUAAAUCCUCAGUUGUCUGAGAUGGUGAUGGCAUGACUGACUCCACACAGGCCUCCCUCUCUUGUGCCUUCGUCAACCUCACUGUCAUCUAUGUCUCUAUGGAGAGGUUCUUGCUUUGCGAUGCCAUGUUCUUUGGGCCAUGCAAGAACAAUGUCAGUCUCUGGUAGCCUUUUUUUGGAUUGAAUUGGUUUUGUGUAACCCCCAUAACAACCCAGCUGGUACUGGGUUUCGAGACUGGUAGAGAUAGACAAAGAAAAGGGGAAAUGAGGCCAAUGAUUUAGAAAGGUGCGUUGCACCAUGUAAAAUAAAAGAAAUAAAACCAAAAGUUUUUGGAAUGUUGUAGCAUGUGAAUGAAUAAGAAAAAUAAUAAUAAAGGUAAAGGUUUUUGGAUGGUGUUACACCAUCUGAAAAGAAAGAAGAAAAUAUGUAUAUAUUUAUUUAUGUGCAUGGUGUUGGUUUAAAGCCCAUGUCACAAGUUCUAUUUACUUUAAAACAAUUUAUUUAUCAUGGACGGUUUUACCGCCUACUGCUUUAAGUUUUGAUUUAUGUGAAUGGUGCUGAAUUAAAGCCCUUGUCACAAGCUUUAAUUUAUUUAUUGCACUUAUCUUUUGUUACAAUGAGUAUAUAUAAGACCUAAAGUUCAUGAUCAGAUCAGAACCUGCAGUUUCUUGAUCAUCAUCAUAUAAAAAUGAUUGGACCUGAAGUUUCAUCAUACAAAAAGGAUCAGGCAUGAAGUCCCUUGAUCUUGAAGAUCAGGACAUGAAAUUCCUUGAUGAGUAUCGUAAGUUUGAAGUGCAACAGUGCCUCAACUUAAUUGUAAUAAAAGACGUAAGAGUCUCAGUUCACAUACUAUUAAAUAAGGACCAGAAGUUCCACAUGUCUAUACUCAAAAUGGUUUAGCAGAAGCAUUUAUUAAGUGGGUGAAAUUGAUUACCAACGCUCUGCUCAUGAAAACGAAAUUGCCAGUUUUCUACAUGGGGACAUGUAAACUUUACAUGAUGCAUUAUUAAUUCGGUUGAGAUAUGUUAUCAACCAUCAAUACUUCUCAGUACAACUCGGGUUUGGGAACCAACCAAACAUUAUACAUUUACGAGUUUUUGGUUGUGUUAUCUAUGUGCCUAUUACACUGCCACUACGUACUGAAAUGAGGCAUCAUCGCUGAUUGGGCAUUGAUGCUGAACACCAUCUAUCAUUCAAUAUUUGGAAUUCUUGAUUGGGGAUAUGUUUACCGCAUGGUUUGCGGACUGUUAUUUUGAUAAGACAAUUUUCCUGCCAUUAGGGGGAGAAAAUAAUAUUGUUCCAGAAGAACGAUGAGAAAAUAUCAUUCCAAAAGAAUGAUGAGAAAAGACCGUUCCAGAAGAACGAAGAGAAUUUGUCUUAUUUUGAUUCACGAAGCAAUCAAUGAGAAAAUGAAAUAUGAAUAAUUGAAUGAUGCAACGAAAGUGAUGAAAUCAUAUAUACUUACUGCAAAUGUGCCUACAAGAAUUGAUGUCUCUGUUGGAUAAAAUAAUGAGACAGUAAAUGAUUUAUCUGUUGCACGCCUGAAGCGUGGCAGAUUUUUAGACUUAAAAGGUUCAGUUAUUCGAAAGAAGAAUAAUAUGGCACUACUGAACUAUUGCAUUCCCGAAUCAUAAUUGUUGCAUGCCAGAAGCAUGACAGUCGCCGCAUGGAUACACGUCCCAGAUAGGACAAUCCACAGACAUGGGAAUGUUGAUGUCUCAUACAUGGAGCAUAAUAGACAUAUAGGUUCCAAUGACUCAACUCCCGGGAAGUGGAGAUUAAAAUCCAAGCUCUAUAACGCUCAAGAGGAGGUUAUGAUCCACAUUCUCUAAAUUAUGACUAUUCUGGAAGAGAUAGCGUCAUGCCCUUGAAGAGGCAAUGGAUAUCCAAAAAAAUGAAAAGCUUUUAUGCAUGCGCAUGCACAUGAGAAUAUGGGAUCACGGAUUGAUGAUAACCAAUGGUAAUUUUGGUUUUUACAAGUAGCUACUAAAUUCAUCAAUGAGCUGUGUUAAUAUUGAGUCACGUUCUUUUGUUCGUCGACAAAAGAAAAAUUAUUGGCCAAAAUGGAGAAAGGCAAUUCCAUUACAAUUUUGUAAGAACGUGGGCAAAUGAACCUAUAUAUAUUUGAAUACAAUACAAAUAGCCAAAAGAUGUUGAACCAAGGAGGUUACAUAUGGGUAUUUGUAAUACAGUGUAAUACACUCACAUGAUAUGACACAAGGUUACUAAUUGAAACCUGAAAUUAUACUCUUGUAAACAAGUUCACAUAAAUGGAGAAUUAUAUACGAAGGGUUGUGAGUCGCCCACAUUAUAUCUCCAUAAGUAAAUCCCUCAAGUAUACAUGGGAGCAAAUUGCUCUGUAUAAAUUCCAAAGGAAAAUGUGUCAUGAAGUGUAGAAAACCCUUGAAGGAUUCAAAUUGCUUGAAGUAAGCCUCUGAAGGGUAAAACAUAAAAUAUGUACUCAAUACCAAUGGAUGAUAUAAAUUGCCUUAGUGAGUACUAUCAUUAUGAUAUUGUUGCAACAUACUAAAAUCUCUUGCAAGAGUCAAUGACAUUAAAUUAUAACUCUUGAAGAGUUGAUGAUAUUAAAUUGGGACUCCUGCAGAGUCUAGAAAAAUUAUAAAGUGUUGAAGGAAUUAUUGUCUCGAGCUGCAGAUCGAACAAUCUACCAACACGAAUCUUAUCCAUGAUAUUUAUGAUAUUAAAAGAACCAUAUGGAUUGAAGAUUAUGAGUUGAAUACUCAUAUGAUGAAGACACUAAGAAUAAUCAUUUAUCUUCGUGAGGGUAAAGAUAAAUUAAUAUUUGGUCCAGAAGUACCACAUCUUAGUGAAGUAUAUGCUUUAUUGUAUUUGGCACAAUACAUUGAAUGAAAUAAAGCUUAUUUAUUAAUAUCUCCAAGAAAUUACAGAUAUGUACAUAUACAUGAGUUAAAACAAACAAACAGGAUGGAGCCUUCACAAAGGUUGCUCAUGUGAAGCCUCAGUACUUGGAAGUACCCCAGAAGGGGGAGGCACUGGAGAUUGAUCAUGUGGCACCCCAAUACUUAGCAAAACACCAGAAGGGGAAGGCAUCAGUUGCUUUCGGAAUCUAGCAACGAACCUCUGGUGAUCACUUUGAAUCCGACUUUCGGAUUCCUGCAGUUGGACGAGCUUUCUUUUCAUGCUCGUAGAGUAAUUAUUUGCAAGCACGUGUAACACCCUAUUCUCGUGCUUGAGCCCUCUGAUCUCUUGUUUAAGACUUGCCACAUUCGCCAUUAAUGAUUCAACUUGGCGAGUUUGAGCAAGUAGGCGUUGGCCCAUAUUGGAAACAGAGCCAGCACAUUGAACACUGAGAGCCAAGGAGUCUUGAACGGCCGACUCUUCAGACUGUUCUGAAAGGAUCUUGUUAUCCCUUGGAGUGAGAAGAUUUCUAGCUACCACAGUAGCGGUUAUGUUAUUCUUCAUCACAUAGUCCCCAACCGUAAGAGGACCAUUAGAAGAUAAGAAGGACGGGCGCCAUAUAUUAUCCUGACGCUGCUCGUCUGUAUCACUCAUAAGACUCAAAUCUAAGCAAAUGUUAGAUGGGCAAGUCAUUUUUCAGAAAUGAUGAAGGAAAAACAGAGGUCAAAUAAAAUUUCAAAAGUGCAAGAUAAGGGAAAUUUCUACAGGCAGCAACUUUCUGAGCAUACUCUUGAACACAAUUGAUGUCUUUAUAAAAGAAGAGGCAACAGAGCCACUCAUUCAGAGAUCGAAGAUGCACCACUCUCCGAAUUUCAAAAGCCAGAUUUUCCUGAAUAAAAUUCGUUGGCAUUUUUCAGACGUAAUCUCAGUUUUCUCAGAUAUCGCGUGCAACUUUGUCAAAGAUCUCUGACAAAGUUGAAAACGCGUAAAUCUUACUGUUCUAUUUACACCACAGUUGCUGACAAGAGUAAAAGCACAGCACCACCACUUGCUAUUGAGAAAUAUCUAUAUAUGUCGACCUCUGUUCUCCAUAACAAGGCAGACCUGCAACACUGCAAGAAUACCUAACUCUUCUUCAUCUCCGAGAAUGCAUCUUCAACAUAGCAUCUCGAAAUACUCAGUUUUCUUCCUCUCCGAGAAUACCUCUUCAAACAUGUCACACCAGAGCAAGAUUAUCACAUAUCUUCAGGGACCAGAGCAAGAUUAUCUCAUAUCAUGCAAUUUCCCUGUCCUUUCCUUUGUCCUUAUUCUUGCCUGCAAAGAUAAAGAUAAAGAAACCAAUAUGUCGGAACCUCCACUCAAACUCCCGGUAAGGAACCGACUGCCUGGAACAUUUCCUGAUUGCUUACCUAGUAUUGCUCUCGAGUAGUCAUCUUCAACGGUUGGAGCUGGGUCUCCAGUCACCAAGAAGUGAUGAACCAUUCAAAUGCAAGGGUUUGCAUUCCUUUCCUACAUCAGGGGACAAAUCCUACAAGAGAAGAUGCCAUACAUGUAGGGGAAAACCAGGGAAAAUACCACUUAAGCAAGGGGAGCAAGUAAGACAAGUGAAAAUGAUACAUUGAAGCAUGUGGAGACAAGCGCAACAAACACGUGCUGAUUCAUCCCUGACAAAACCGAAGAUCACUUGCCAUAUGAAGCUCUUAACGGUACAAUUUCAUUCAAGAUCAAGCCUCGAAGUCUUUGAAAAAAUCAUAAGUCCGAUUCAAGAUCAAGUGUCCACCAUUUUUGAAUCAAAUUCCGCUCCAGAUAAAAGGUGUAAAUUCAGAUCUUCGAUGCUAGUCUAGCAGAAAGUCCUACAACCCAGUUCAAGAGAAAGCCUGUGGAAAGUUAACAACAAGUAAAGCAACUCUUUCAGCAACUCUUCUUACUAAGAGACUAAAGCAGAACGAUCAACGAUCAACCUAAAUGAUUUGAAAUCAGGGGGAGAUACUCAUCAUGGGGAGCAUCCAAGACAGAUCAAGAUUUUAACGAGUCAAUUGAAGACUUGUGGCCAUCCAAUGGGGAGUAUUGUAAAUAUUAUGUGGAUGGCCCACAUGAAUGGUUUGUUACUAUUUAUUCACAUUAUUUUCAUUAUUCAUUUGUGGAAAAUUUGUAAGGUGAAUAGUGUCAUUUGAUUAUAAAAUGAAUGAGAGGAAGAGGAAGAUAGAGGGUUCACGGGAAAGAUGGGAAUGAAAAGAAAAGAAGGAAGGAAGAGGAAGAGAGAGAAGGAAGAGGAAGAGAGAAAAUAGAGGAAGAUGAGAGGAGAUAAUAGAGAGAGUUAUCUUUGUACUCCUAUUAUUUCAAAUUAUAACGAAAGCACCACUGCUGCCCCGAGGACGUACUCCAGUCACACUGACUGUAGAGGAACCUCGUAAAUUUUGUGUCUUAUUUCAUUUAUUCCACUGCACCCACAGUCGAUUUCACAACAGAUAAGAUAUUGUUAAUAUGUCGUUGAUUUUUAAAAUUAAUAAAUUUUUGGAUAAAUUACAUUUUACACCCUCAAAUAUGGGGUUAAUUACAACCUCAUACAACAUCUUUAAAACAUUUCAAUUUCAUACAUUUAGUUAUAUUUUCUUUUCAGUUUCAUACCUCUGUUAAAAAAUCUGUUAAAUUAACUGUUAAGUGAUGAAGUAGCAAAUGUAGGGUCUAUAUUUACGCUGACAUAGCUGUUAAAUUUGCAUCAUGUGAAUAAAAAAUAAUUAUUUAAUAAAAAAUCAAUUUAUAUUAUUAAUUAAAAACUAAAAGAAAAUUGAAAGGGGUAUAUGGGCAAAGUUUAGCCCAAUAACCCCAUCUCUUCCUCGAUUUCAUCCCAUCUCCUCUGUGCUUGUCUGCAACCAAUAAUCCCAUCUGGGUUUGGGAAGCUUCUUAUGUCGCCCUAUAGAACUUCAACCUUUUCUUCUUCGUCCAACCUUCUUCAUCCCUGCAAAUCUCACGCAUUGCACAAGACUCCCUGAACUUCCUCCCUCCAUCGCCACGCACCAACACACUGCAAAUCCCUGCCUCGAGAUGAACUAAGUCCGGGAUGGCGCCGGAUAAAGAAUUUGAGGACAACUACACGUUAUUUAGUGAAAUCAGGUCCCUGAACGAAGUGGGUAUUUCACCAUUGAUGGAAUUGGAGGAAAGGUUUAAGGUUUCAAGAUUUUCAAGGAGUGUGAGGGAACUGGUAUCUUCCCCCGAAGCUUAUUGCCGGAAAAAUCGAUAUGGGUAAGGUUUAAAUUCAAGUGUUUCAGAAUGUUGCCGGUUAAAUUGACGUCGGAAAUGGUGAUUGACCUGAGCUUCUUCAAGCUUCCGAUGAUGAUGAUGAAGGGUUUGGAAGCCUUGACUUGGAUGUUGGAGACGAUGAGCUCGGUGAGGUUUUGGAAGCGAGCGAGCCAGACGCAAGUGAGGCGGCGAAGGAAGUUGAUGCAGGUGAAUGAGUGGAGGGAGACGACGAGGUCGGAGGGGAAGCCGAUUGGAGCAAUGGGGCAGUUGAGGGACUUAAGGGAUUAGAGGGUGGAGAAGGAUUUGAGGGCGGUGAAGGAGAUGGCAACGUCAUCGGAGCAAUUGGCAAGGCGGAGGGAAAAGAGGUGGCAGAACGGCUUGGAGGAGUCGCAGCGGGUGGCGUUUGGGUGAAGUCGCCACCUCUUCUGUUGUUAUGCCAUGGCAGAGCCGCCAUCUCCUUCGUCGAUACGCCACCACACCCACCAUUCUCUCUCCCAUGUGACCACUUAAGUUCCCUAUUUCAACCACGGAGGCUCUCGAUUUCUACUGAUUCAUGAAAUUCCUAAUUUCAAACCAUGCUAGAUUUGAAUUGUUAGGUUUCAAUUGCUGCGAUUUGGUUGUGGGUAAGGGUGUCGUGUCGAGGGUUAAUGGUGAUGGAAAGGCGUGUUCUUGGUGGUUAUGAAGAUGGGGUUGAUCAGAGGGAGAAGAGGUGUGGGCAUGGUAGAGAAGCGAAUGAGAAGUUGACCAGAGAGAAGAGGGGUCGGGUGGGGUUGAAUUUUUUUUUGUUGACAUUUUAAUUAUUUAUUAAAUAUUUCAAAUAAUAAUACUUUUUUUUAUCCACAUGGCGCAAAGUUGACAUCCACCUCAUUAAAAAGUGGGUCCUAUAUCUGCCACAUCAUCACUUGACAGCCAUUCUAAUAGAUUAUGUAACGGAUUAUAUGAAAUUGCAACUAAAUCAUAUUUGAGGUAUGAAAUUGUAAUGUUUUACGGAUGAUGUAUGAGGUUGUAAUCUCACUUAUACUCGAGGGUGCAAAAUGUAAUUUAUCCUAAAUUUUUAGUACUAGUAUGGCAAUUUUUUUUUUUGAAAAAAUAAUAAAUAUUUGACACAUUUUUUCUUUUGUUAAAUUAGAUAUUAAAUUAAGAAGUCAACGGGAUUUGAACUCACUGUCAAUGUUAAGUUGUUAAAAUGACACAGGUAAUGCAAUAUCGUCGUUAGAGUUUUUAGCGGGUAGAUUUGAAAAAGCCCACUCAUUAUAGAAGCUUGGGAGGGCCGGAAGGGCCCAUGAGUUGAGCCCAGACCGCGAGGUGUGAAUUCCCCAUCCUCAGCAGCUGUCAGUCAGCACAUCACCAGCUGCAGAGAUUUCUCUAAAUGCCAAAACGAACUCCAAACAAACCUACGAUUUUCUCUUCCCUCUUCCUCCUCCUCCUUCUUCCCACUCUCCAACUCAUACACCAUUUCUUGGUCUGCACACGAUGAAGUGAAUUGGGUCGGGUCUUCCACCAAUGUCCGAAGAAGAAGAUGAUGAGAAAACCCAUGGCCGUCAUCUGCCACCCACCUGAGCCCUUCCUCUUCCUCCUCCUCAAACCCUUUUAUUCCAUUUCCUCCCCCGCCACCGCUCCCCUUCCCCUCUCCCCCGAACCGCACGAUCUCUCCGCCCAGCUCUUCUCCAUUCUCUCCCGCCCCAAUUGGCAGCGCCACCCUUCCCUAAAAAAACUUGCCCCCUCCAUAUCCCCUUCUCAUGUCUCCUCCGUCUUCGCUCUCAAACUCGACCCCCAAACGGCCCUCGGAUUCUUCAACUGGAUUGCCCUUAAACCCGGAUACAAGCACACUGUCCAGUGCCAUUCUUCCCUCCUCAACAUUCUCCUUCCCAAUGGGUUUCUCCAGGUCGCGGAAAAGAUCCGAAUUUCCAUGAUUAAGGCGUCCAGUUCCCCACAAGAUGCCGUUUUUGUGCUCGAAUAUUUGCGGGCAUUGAAUGGCGCCGAAGAGUUCGAGUUCAAGCUCACCCUCAGGUGCUACAAUUUUCUUCUAAUGUCAUUGUCUAAGUUUUCCCUGUUUCAAGAUUUGAAAGCUCUGUACUUGGAGAUGUUAGACGAUAUGGUUUCGCCAAAUCUGCAUACUUUUAAUACCAUGAUCCAUGCUUACUGUAAAUUGGGUAACGUGGCCGAGGCGGACUUGUAUUUCAGUAAGAUAGGGCAGGCGGGUUUGCACCCCGAUACGUUUACCUACACUUCAUUGAUCCUGGGGCAUUGUAGGAAUAAGGAUGUGGAUAGUGGUUGUAGUGUUUUCAAGCUAAUGCCGCAAAAGGGUUGUCAAAGAAAUGAGGUUUCCUAUACUAAUUUGAUUCAUGGGUUUUGUGAGGCUGAUCGGAUCGAUGAGGCUCUCAAGUUGUUUUCUCAAAUGGGGGAGGAUAAUUGUUUUCCGACUGUGCGUACAUUUACAGUUCUUAUUUGCGCCUUGUGUAAAUUGGGAAGGAAAAUAGAAGCUAUGAAUCUGUUUAAAGAGAUGACGGAAAUGGGUUGUGAACCAAAUGUUCAUACUUAUACUGUGCUCAUUGAUAGCAUGUGUAAGGAAAAUAAGCUUGAUAAGGCAAGAAACUUGCUAAACAAGAUGUUGGAGAAAAGGUUGGUUCCUAAUGUUGUCACGUACAACGCAAUGAUUGAUGGGUACUGCAAGGAGGGAGCAGUUGAGGCUGCACUUGGUAUUUUGGCUUUGAUGGAAUCGAGUAAUUGUUUUCCAAAUGCUCGGACGUACAAUGAAUUGAUUUGUGGAUUUUGUAAAAGGAAAAAUAUACACCAGGCAAUGGCACUGCUUGGUAAGAUGCUUGAUCGGAAACUCUCACCAAGCCUAUAUACAUAUAACUCAUUAAUCCAUGGGCAAUGUAAAAUAGGUCAUUUGGAGAGUGCUUAUAGGCUGCUUAAUUUGAUGAAAGAAGGCGGUUUGGUUCCUGACCAAUGGUCUUACAGUUCUCUCAUAGACACACUCUGUAAGAAGGGGAGACUGGAAGAAGCUCAUGCCCUGUUUGAUUCUCUCAAAGAGAAAGGCAUAAAGUUGAAUGACGUGAUCUUUACUGCUUUGAUUGAUGGUUAUUGCACGGUUGGGAAAAUUGACGAUGCCCAUUCUUUGUUUGAUAGAAUGCUUGUAGAAGACUGUUUGCCGAACUCAUACACUUACAAUACCUUGAUAGAUGUGUUGUGCAAAGAAGGAAGACUGAAGGAAGCAUUAUCACUGGUAGAAAAGAUGGUAAGUAUUGGUGUGAAAGCUACAGUACAUACUUAUACAAUUCUAAUUAAACAAAUGUUGAAGGAAGGGGACUUUGACCAUGCUCAUAGGCUUUUAAACCAGAUGGUUAGUUCUGGUAAUCAGCCUGACCUAUUUACUUACACCACCUUUAUUCAUGCAUAUUGCGGCAUAGGAAAUGUAGAAGAGGCAGAGAAAUUGAUGAUUAAGAUGAAUGAAGAAGGAAUUGUAGCAGAUUCGUUGACUUACACAUUGCUAAUUGAUGGAUAUGGACGCAUGGGAUUAAUUGAUUGUGCAUUUGAUGUUCUUAAGCGCAUGUUUGAUGCUUCUUGUGAUCCUUCGCAUUAUACCUAUUCCUUUCUGAUCAAACAUCUUUCAAAUGAAAAGUUGACAGAGACAAGGAAUAAUAUACUGGGAAUGGAUUUGAUCUCAAAUGUCUCCUUGAUUGAUAUUGCUGAUGUGUGGAAGAUAAUGGAUUUUGACAUUGCUUUAGACCUUUUUGAAAAAAUGACUGGACAUGGUUGUGCACCCAGUACCAACACUUAUGACAAACUUAUAGUAGGUCUUUGCAAAGAGAGGCGCUUGGAAGAAGCCCAGAGGUUAUACAGUCAUAUGAAAGAGAGGGAAGUUUCUCCCAGUGAGGAUAUUUAUAAUUAUCUUCUUAACUGUUGCUGUACAUUGCAAAAGUAUGGAGAGGCAGCAAUCUUGGUGGAUGCGAUGAUUGAGGAUGGUUAUUUACCGACAUUGGAGUCCUCCACGUUGCUUGUAUGUGGGCUUCUUGAUGAAGAGAAGAGUGAGAAGGCAAAAGCAGUUUUUCGUACUUUGCUUCAUUGCGAAUAUAAUUACGAUGAAGUAGCUUGGAAAGUUCUCUUUGAUGGUUUACUUAAGAGGGGUCUUGGCAAUAUAUGCUCUGAGCUCAUAAGCAUCAUGGAGAAGUUGGGUUGCCGGCUUCAUCCUCAGACAUAUUCAAUGUUGAUUGAGGGAAUCGAUAGUCCGUAAAACUGCUGGGUUUUUUUUCUUCUGGGAUUUAAUUCUUUAUCUGUGAGCACUACUACAAGCAAAGUGAUUUUAAAACUUAUAUUCCCAGAUAUCUGGUAAGCACUAUGAAUUGUGAAUACAGAGUGUUCACACUAUAAGAUGCUACAAAGAUCAUUAUUUAUGUCUCAGGAGAAUAUGAUACUGGAUUUGCAGUCUUUAUUUGCGCUGUGAAUGUACCGUCUCUUCAGUGAGUGCAUAUAUGUUUCUCUGGGACGAGGACCUUGGCAUUGAGGAUUUUGACUCAAAAUGGUCAGUAUAACCAGUACAAUCCGGUAAAACGUUCUUAGCAUCCAUGUGGUAAGUGCUGUUAUAUUUCACUGUUUUGGCUGAUUUGAUGUUUUAGAUAACUGAUGCAUGAAAUACCCACAGAUUUAUGCAUGCUUAUUUCCUGCUCACCGGCCAGUAGCCACUAGGUACUAACUGCAAAUUGGGAAUUGGAAAUAUUAGAAUUUUAUGCUUUUGUUUGAUGUGGGUGCACAAGAAGUUAAGACCUAAAAUGGUGGAAUGUCAAAUUACCGUUUCAAAGCCAUUCAGUCAACGCUUUAUAUAAAAGAAAAUUGGGCACUGGCUUUAUAUUUGACACAUAGACAAAUGUGAAUGUACAUUAAGGCAUGAUAAAUUUCCCACAAAAAAAAAAAAAAAAAAAAAAAACUCCACUCAAAUGCAUACCAUGUAGUAAUAUCUCAUAUUGUUUGCCCUUCCCAUAAAAAGUAAAAAUAAAAAAUCUCACAUUCUUGGAAAUGAAGGCAUUAUUUUUUCCCCCAAAAAAUGCAUUUAAAUAUCAUAUCACUAGGUGAUUUUCGGAUCUUCUACUGAAGAAAAAGAACUUUGGAAAGAAAAACUAGUACAGGCGAUGAGGCCAAAACCAAUUUUUGUAUUUUGUACAUACUAGACACAAUUUCACGUAAAUGAUUUCUUUGUUUAUCCUUUUUGUGCUAUUGCAUCAUGAACACGUUAAAUUUUGUGUAGAUAUCUAAAAGUACCACGGGAAGAUGGACUUGAAAUAUCAGAGCUAGCUAUUGAUGACGCCAAGUCAGAGCUGUAUCAUUCAAUCAAUAGAUGUAUGAAGAAAUCAGAAGUGCAGAGGUUAGUGUAUUUCUUUUUUCUGGACAAGUGGAUUUGUACCUUUUUUUUGUCUUUUAAACCAUAAGCAUGUCUGCCUUCACUUUGUUCAAGUCGAAAGUUUUGUUAUCACUAGCCUUAUGGUGUCAUUGUACUGGGGAGAGUCUCAAACCCCAAACCCUAAAUUAAGGUUAAAGUUUUUGCUUCGCAUUCCUCUUAACAGCGCCAUCUUAGUUUCUCCAAAAUUAUCUCACAUUUGAUCAUCCUACUCCCUGUUAGGCCAAAAUUAAUAAGGGGAUAUUGAAAGGUGUUUGAUGUAUAAAAGUGGUGGUGCAAGUACAAAUCCUUUGCUGCUUCUGUUUUGACUUCACUAUGCUUGGCAAGGAUUUGUUUUGGGAGGUAAUUGAUUGCUUAUUUUGUGCUGGCAGGAUGAGCUCAGCUUUGGCGCUGAUGUUCGAUGUUGUUCACUCUUCAUUCCAUCUAUUCAUUUGCACAAGUGAGUAAAUUAGUAAUGCCCUUCCUCCUCAGAAAAAGAUUCAAAAACAUGUGUGUUUGAAUUCUUUGUUAAUUUGUUUUCUUGCAUUGACAAUGGAAACACGUCGCCUUUCAUUUUCUUCCAGUGGAACCACUUAUCUAGUUAGUGUGACUUAUCGGGUUGCUAGGAUGCUGGUCCGGUAUUGCAAUGAAGAUCUCGUGCGGUAAAAGGGGUUAACAGUGUUUGGUUGCCCCAUGCAUAUGCCAACUAUAUUAGCAAACCAAAUGCAAGAAUGCAAGGUCGGUGGUCGCCAUUCAUAUACUCAUCAGAAAACAGAAAUCAGUACUGUAUGGCUGUGAUUGUGCGUGCAGAUUAUCGGGCGCAGAACCGGCUGAGCUGGGGGAGCUUGGAGGGAAGUGGCUGGUAUUUACUCGAUCGUACAGCCUCACCUGCUGACAUGAUAUAUCUCAAACAAUGUAUAGAAUUUUCGUGAUGAUUUCAGACAGCAGAUGACAAAUAUUUCAAGUCUGACGAGCAAUCAAUUUACGAUGUAUUAUGUUCAUGUCAAGUUUCAACGUAAUGCGAUCCCGUUUAAAAAGAUUGUUCAGUAGAGGACGUAUGGUUGUACAUUUCUUCAGGUAAAUUAUUAAUGUUCAUCAAAUUGCAUUUGUGUAUACAGCAACCUCAUCAUCUCUGCUCCUACAAGCUUUUUCUUUCUAUUUGUAACAGGUUCGAUUUGUGCGCGUCGUCCUCAUCCUCGUAGUUUUAUCGACCCCACCCCGACUCAUGAGGACAUCACCAAUCCGGAUCCUCGAUCAGAUUGGUUGUUGGCUAAUUAAAACAAACUAAUUGGUAAUCAAUACUACUAAUUCUCAACAAACUGGAUUUGGAUGUGGCUUACACCAAGAAACCAAAGUUGAUGUAGGCGAUCGUUAACGAGACAUUGCUUCAAAUUCCGAAGCAUCAAGUGGCAGAAAUGAGAGAGGAAGUCAUAAGAUUGAUUCCGAGAGUGAUAUAUGCAGAUCCAAGGGCAUCCUGAUUGGAGACAGUUGAAGAUGCAUUCGAAAUAGCAGUUAAGGGAGUGCUUGGCAAAGUACAGAAAACUAGGAAGGACAUGAAAGAGGGUAAAGAUCCUGGCAAUGCUUUCUGGGAAAUAAACCCUACUGAAUUCGAUAUGCCUAAGCUCGGGAUGAGGGGAAGAAAAUUUAAACAGAAGUAUAACCGAUUGUUUCUUAAUAAGCAACAAUCGUGUUACAAUGCAAGUAUUUCCAAAAGUUAAAUCACAUUUGAAUUUGGAAUUAGCUUUCUCUACAUUUAUAUAGUACCUUCCUUGUCCUAAGUGUAUACCAGAAAAGAACGUAGAGUGAUGAAUGAUUACUUUUAUCCGCCAUCGAGGUCCUUGGCAUGAGCCAGCAUACAUUAGGUUACAAUGUUGGCAAACCUGUCUCCUGUUUGAAACUUCUGGACCUCGGUUUCCACACCAGCAAUUAGCUACUGGAGCCAAUUAAUCAAACCUUACAGCGAGCCGAUUUAGCUGCUACUUUGCUUUGCAUCGCGGAUGUGGAACAUAAGCUGCAAGAUAUGCAACUUCAGACCAAUCAUAGAAAUAGAGCAGACACACGCACUAUGAUAUGUAUACAAUUGUCUGCUUAUGGAAAUGUUCGGGUUUAGGGUUUAUAUCAGAAAGAAAAUUGAACGAAAUCCUGAAACGUCAUUUUGAUACAAGAUAAAUAUAAGCCCAAAAUACAUAAGAAAAUAUCUGAACUCCUAAUGACUGGGUUCCAUUAUAUUUAGGCAUGAGAAGAAAUAGUGAAAUUACUAUAAAAUAAAUUUUUUACGCAUUUUCCAUCUCAAAACAUAUCCACAUUGCGAAACUAAUUCUAAAAGGCGACAUAUUUAAACUUCACCGUUAAAGAAAUAAGCAGAUAAUUGUGACAUUACCUUUGUCCCUACAUAAAAUGUCAAAAGCAUGCCUGCCAAAACCGGAAGUCCUGUACAAAGAAUAUCAUCAGUCCUCCCAGAAGCAGAAUUGUGUAAGGAUAACAAGAAACCUCAGGACAUGAAAAUUCAAGUUACCUUCUCGUUUAAGGAAUUGAGAAAUCAACCAACUAAUCCCAGAUGGUCCAAUAACAAAACCAACAAGGUUUGCUACCUGCAGAAACAUUGAAUGCUUGUAUUGUUAGCAUUUACGAAUUCUUGUAAACACAUAAGGUGAUUCCCAGUUUGCAAUACCCACUAGUUUGGCAAAUGCGUAUAACACGAUACAUUUUUAAGUGCUAAGUACACUGAAACCAGUGGGAUGUGCUAGAGAACCAUUGCAAAAAUGAAACUCUUAGGCUACCCUUCACUCUUUAAACACAUAUGUUUCAAUAAACUGUCACUGUAAAAAGGCCUUAAGUGGUUUGAAUCAUUUAGCCUUUCAAAAGAGAAAAAGGCAAACGAAUUUCGCAAAGGGAAGGAAAAGACUACUAAAUGUUUAUAUUUGACAAGCAGAGAAUUUCAGAUAUAUAAGCAUCAUCAAAUUAGUCUAAAAAAUAAAGAGCAAAAUGACCUUAUUAUUACUUCCUUUUCACUCAAGCAAAAGUGCAAAUAUCAAAAGUCAAUACCAGCAUCAACAAGAAUAUAAAAAUAGUUAUGAUUGAUAUAUGCUUUAAUCAAAUGCAGGAUACAGACCAUGAGACAAGUGAUAGUAAUUGCACCAGCAACCGCACUAAGUUCACGAACAACAAAUUCCCCAUGAGUACUCUUAACCUGACAACAAAUACAUGACAAAAUCAAAAUUGUUAAGCUCGACAGAUAAAAAUAAAGGUUAACAUACUCCUCUUCUCUUCCUCUCCCUCCCUAAGCUUCGUAUGUGUGUAAGUAUAAAAUAAUGAACUACAACGAGAGAAAUCACAAAGCAAAAGGGUUGCCAACAUGGUUGAGUUCUAGAGCAAGUUUGUGAUUUUUCUUACAAAACCUUCAGGUGCGUUUGUUGCAUCAGACUAUCUCGGACUGGACUAGCUUUAUAGACUAAGCUGGACUGACUUAGACUAGACUAAGUUGGAUUGACUUAGUGAAGUGCUUGGUGCAGAGUCGGACUAAGAAGCAUAAUUAAGGACAAAAAGGAAAAAAGUCUUUGUUAACAAAACUUUCUCCAGAAUUUUCUAAUGCAAAGAAAUUGAACCCAACAUCAAAAAUUUUUGUAGAAUCCAACUACACCUAGCAACCAAAUUUUACAUUCUCUCAACCCAAAAACAAAACUUUCCAAUAAAUCAAUGGAACCCAAAAGCCCAGCUGAAAACCCUUCGAAUUUUUCAAUUGGGAACUCAACUUACUCAUAUGAAUUAGAAGAACCCAGAUAAAAAUCACAUUGAUUUUUCGAACUUUCAAAGUCAUAUUUCCAUUGAUUUUCAAUCUUUCCUCAUUUUCCAAAUUACCCCUCCACUCCUUUCUCUCCCCAUCCCCCCUCAAACUAUCAAAUAUGCGACAAAAACUUAACCCCUUUUCAGGAAGCCAAACAUCCACUUUCUAUAAAAGAGAGAAAGCACUGAAAUUUCCACAGAGCUCCAAGACUUGUCGGUCAUUUGAGUUCUUCAAAUUCAAUGUGAUUUUUCAACUCGGGACUCAAAAUUCAACUUGGAAGUGGGCGUCUGCCAUGGCCAAACUCUCGAUCUGCUUCUUGGCUCGCAGAGUUGGCAGUUUCUCCAUCAACACCCCAAUUUUGGCUGUAACAUCCACCGACAGCGGCGCCUCUUCAGCUGUGAGCUCCCCCCCUGACUUAGGCAACGAAAGAGCAAGCACUGCGAUGCCCUGGUGACGAUGCCGCAAAAGAAGCGGGGACUGGAUGUUAGUGAGCAAAACUUGGGGAUUGGAUGUCGGCCUUCCUUUCUAGUCCCCCUUAAUACCAAGCGAAAGCUUGGGAUUAGACUUAGCGAACCCCGGAGGGCCUCAUAGUCGAGGCGAGUCCCACUUAUUUUAGUUCGAGGACAUACCAAACACAGUAUUAUAGUCCUACUUAAGCUAGUCCCUCUUAAGGAGGUGAAACAAACGCACCCUCAAAGUACAAGAUUAAGUCCACGAUUUUUUUUCGCCUAAAGGUUGAAAGUCAGGGUCCAGGCUUCAAAUUGAUUACCAUCCAACAAAUCAGAAACCCCUAAUCCGCAAGCCAACAACAGCUAACUGAUUGGCUUUAUGGGAGGGACGAGAAUUGGGAUGAUCAUCCUCCCAUAAGUUAAACCAAACAAUAGAAAAACAGCAAUGGUAAUAGGAACAAAGAGGUCACCUGAAAUGCAUUGGUUGCUGAUUUCAAUAUCAUUUCCGGAAUAAAGAAUAAGCAUGUCAGCCAUGCCCACGAAAGAAGCUUCCUAAUGCCAAAGAUAGAAAUUAAGUUAGAAUAAGGAACAAAUUUCAAUAAGGCUCUACUCCCAUUUGACAGAAAGCUAAGAUGUAUUCAAUAAGAAAAAUUCAACAGCAACAAGUACCAUUCUAGAUCAUGCCAAAUGGCAACAAAUGUGAAUACAACCCAUACAUUGAGAAGCUUCCUCCGAGUGCCCCCAAGAGGAAUGUACAAAUACCUAUUGUUUUCAUUUCCCAAACAAACAUGUCAGAGUUAGAAACAGGAUUACAAGAGAAAUUUGAAGCACAACAGGUUGAAAGUUUCACCUCACAAGCCAUUUGUUGUAGGAAGCAUGCCAGUUCUUCCAAAAAGUUUCCAAGUUGUAGCAAUUAUUUAUACACCUCGGCAUAUUCUCAGGGACCUCAAUGCCACAUAUCUGCAGUAAUUAGAAAAAAAAUCAUUGUCCCACUGCAAAGCAAUAUCAAUACUAAAAGAUACAACUAAUUUAUAGUAGACGGACAACCCAGCAGUAAACGCCAAAGUUCGGAAGAAAUGGAAAUAAAAAUUUAUUGACAUAUACACACCAGUGACCAGAACCGGAAAUAGCGCCAUAUCAGAAAAAACUUUAGCCACAUGAAGAUUAAAACCUGCACCAUCAUAAGAAAGUAAAUCACCUUUACCUAAGCUAAAACAAAUAGAUGAAGUCACCUAACAACUAGAAUGGAAAUCCAGACAAGGUGAAAGGAAAAUACUAAAAGACCCAAUUAAAAAAAGGGUCUGAUAAAAGUUCACCAAAUAAAUUAUUAUAUCCAGGUAAAGUAACCAAGUAACUUUACUUUGCAGCAGACAGCAGAGUGUAUGAAUAUGGUGAGGAACUUGAAAAUACUUGCAUAAGAAUUCUUACAUCAUAUCUAUGAGGAAUGUAAAGAUUACAAUUUAAUGAUUGAUACUAUUACAAAUGAACUUAUUACAAAUAACACUUUGGGGAUUGAUUUAACUUUUAAUAGCUAACUCUCUCAUGCAUUUUUCUUUGCUCAAAGAAGGUUAUGGAUACCACGUAUUUUAAGAUAUACUUGUUCAUUAUUUUUUAUAUUCUCAUAAGUAGGAACUAUCACAUUAUUAAACAUUUAGUCCAUGCACAAAGAGUCUAAGGUAGGUGUGUUUUGUAUUUUCUGGAAUUAAUUACUACAUUACCACCUCAAAUUAAAAGAACAUUAUGCGGCUUCACAAUGUAUUUCAAUCAUAUAAAAAGCUUGAGAUACUAAAAUUCUAAUCAUCAAAGACCUUGAUACUGUAAGGAUCAUCUCUUACCCCAUAUCCAAUAAUAAACACAUCCAUAGGGUAUAACUCUUUCCACAUGCCACUAAUAGGUACAGAAAAAGAGAACCUAGUUAAUAUCCAAAAGAUAGAAUACACACAUGCGUGGGUGUGCGCACAGACACACAUACACAAUACAGGGUGUAUCUUUAACUAGACACUCACCUGAUUGCAAACGCAUUGUAAUAGAAAAGAUGUGUCAUUAGUUCCAUCAGAAGAAGACUGAACACCCAGCGCAAACCAUACCAAGCAAUGUCCUUAGCUGAAAAGUUAUUUUGAGGAACAUCCAACUGAAAGAAUAUUGCAAUAAAGGUAAAUACUGAGACUCUGCAGAACAUACAAGCAUGGACUAUCAUCUCCAACAAUAUGGAAAGCACAUCCAGUGCACUUGGCAAUCCAUAAAUGACCAAAUAUUUCAAAUUAUUUAAAAAAAACAGUACCAAUAUUGAAAGUGACAGACCUGUGAGGCAAAUGCAUUGAAGCUUACAAUUGGCCCAGUAAGAUAAAGAGGUGCAUACACCAAAUACGCAAGGUAAGUCGUAAAGGCAUACAUGUCAUUCUGGACACCUGUCUCCUGAGUAUAACAAACACAAUUAUGAACACAUGGAAAAUCCAUUUGGAUGAAAGUUGAUUUAAGGAUCCACCAACUGCAAUAAUACUAGGCUUGCACUUAAGUAGAAAGCAUAAGCUAACCUGUAAAACAUGGUAACAAGUUUUCCCUGAUUUACAAAUAUUGCAACGCUGAAUGUGUUUCUGCAUACAAGACCAAGAAACAUUAGCACUUUGUAAAUAGCUAAAGUGCAAAGUAUUAAAUCCUUGACAAUAAUCUGCAUGCAUGAAUAAGCAGAGAAAAUCCAUCAGAAUGAACUAGGAAUCACUAAGAUUCACGGUAAUAGCUUUACAUUAAACAAAAGAGGGUUGCUGAAAAUAUGUUAAUGGAUACUGGCACAUGAAUUGGUGUAAGAAUUUGUAGUUAAUACUAUAAUAAAUUCUGUUAACAUAGCAAUUGGCAAGCAUGUGAAGGACAAUGUUAAAGUACCAUUGAGUGCAACCACAGAAAACUAACUAGAUAUCAACUUCAAAAGCAAGCUGCAGAGCAAGAACAUUGAAACCAUGCAGGGUUGAUUGAUGUGAAAGUAAUAACCACUCUUGACUCUCAUCCAUAGAACAAGCUGGAAAGAAAAAUACCAUAAAGUUCUAGAACAAAAAGUAACACAAGCUUGUUAUUAUUUCAGGCCACAAUCAUAGGUGGGCUGGAGACUAACCUCUAAGUCAAACCAGUUUGGCUUAUACAAAGUGGCCUAAUAGGCUUUCAGAGGAAAAAAUUAAUCUCCUGAAAAGGUUUUGAUGUAUUAAUUACAUGGUGUAUUUUAGGUUCAUUGUUUUGGACUCUCAUAUUCAAUGUCUUUAAGUCUCUUAUUGUCACAUGAUUAGGUGUUGUGAAUUUUCUUUUAGGAUUUCAAAGUGUAUUAGCUGUGAGGCUAGAUUUUUUUUCUAAUUUCUAUGAAAAAUGAAUCCAAUACACCAAUGGUUUUUGCCAAAGGCCAGAGAGUGAUCCCAGAUCACUCUUUUCUUCCUUUCUCUUACUAGUGGCCCGCAUCACCACCAUAACCAGAAGCGUUGGACGGUUAGUAACAUCGUUUCCAUGUAGACUCCGUGACAAAGUAAUCCAAUAAAAUACAUACCAGAAAAAAAAAGGCGGAGGGACAGAACAGAGAAGAUAGCAUACACAUCACAGCUCAAAGGAACACAAAUACCUUAUGGUCAAAACGAGAUUCUCGAUGUGCCCAAUGGUAAUCAUAGCCAAAGCUUAUCAUCCGCAAAACAACUGUCACAAACAACCAGAAUAAGAGAUUAAAAAAAACCAUAUAAAAGAAUCACAAAUAUAUACUAAUGUAUAAAAGCAGGUUGCAACACUACUCAUAGUGCUUUGUGAAUCCAUUCUUUUUUUCUAUUAACUUCCAUUCAUAUUAUCUCAAUUGAAAGUUUUACUUAUUUUUAUACAUGCAAUUACUGAAAUAAGAAUCUAGGUACAAUGAACUCGUCUCCCAAAGAGUCAUCUUGACAACAAAAACUUCACUGCCUACUUCAUAGCUUAAUUGGAGGCUCCAAAACCACAAUUUUACACCAGCAGACAUGAAAGAGAUCAUAAUUACCAAAUACAGCCAUAACUCGUUGAAACGACUCAAAUUUUCAAACAUAUUCAUCCACCAUUUUGGUUCUGAUAUAACGAGCCUUACACACCCUUGACCUAAUCCACAAGGCUCCAAUCUGUGGCAUUGUGGGUCUGCUCCAAACUGCAGUAAUCAUGGAAUAAGUUGACUGUACUUGGUAAUUAUGGGAACCCGUCUUUGCAGUCUGAGAACCCAUUUCCAAACUGCUCCAAGCAGCCAACUUAAUAUAUAAGAGUAUUCAACUAUUAGAUGUUGGGGAGUCCAAUCUUAUGAGUAGGAUUCUCAUACUGUAGAGAUGGGUGAUGUCAUUAGGUUCUCAGAAAGUUAGCUGCUUUUUCGGUCUCACAGAUCAUAUUGGCAAACCCGUCUGGGUAUUUUGUAGGAUUGCAUACAUAGAUUUGUGGCUACAUAGUAGAUUUGUGUCUACAUAGGUAUUCACAUAUUUCACGAAAGGUCAUAUGCACAUGAUAUGGAAAAGAAGAUGAAUACACAGUAAUGAAAGUAUGAUAACUAGAAUUAAAAUGUCAAAAUGAGGAAAGCACAAUACCAAAGUUAAAGCAAAUGUGCCAUCUAAAGGUGCCCCGAAAGUUGUCCAAAUAUGCCCAGCGUUGCCUACAUAAUAAUAUGCAGAAGCAGAUAUAUCACAAUUUAUCUGUUAAGUACCCAAUGAAGUACUAAAUAGCCUAGCCUAGCCAACAAAACUCACCCAAUUAUGGAGAAUGAAUAUCCUUCAUAAACACGAUUGCACAGAAGAAAGAAUAUGUUGAAAAUCCAAAAUACAAAAGGGAAAUACUUUGUUCGUGCAAAUAUCUGCAAAAACACAAGUCCAGUAAUGUAUGGCAAGAACUCAAAACAGUAGGGCAUAACUCUAACAAAGCAAGAAACAAAAUGAACUCUUGGAAUAGGCUCAAAACAGUAGCCCAUAUAAUUGUACAUUCCUCAUAAGAGUAUUUUUCUUUCUAAAUAUAGAAAGUGUGGAAAGCACUUUUAGAUUUUUGGAGUGACAAUAACAAUUCCCUAAAAGAAAAUGCAUUGCAUUAUGUAUCCAAGCAUGAAUGGAGCUCACCUUUACCAAAAGAAAAUUCAUUGAAGCGAUUGCGAGGAUAAAUAUAAUGCUUGCAGAAACAACGGAAGUCAGAUAACUGCACCUCCUAAGAAAGAGCAUAUAAUCCAAGUACAGUUAUGAAGGUAAGACAUACCAGGCUCCAUGCAGAUAUGCUAGGUAUGUGAAAGAAAUCAAAAUCCAAAUAAUGGACAUCCCUCUCGCUUUUAAAUGAAAGCUUGUCCUCAGCAAAUUAGCAAUCAACGUGAACAUUGUGAAGACACCAGUAAGAACAGGAAAAUUUCCUCGAAAGUUUCUCCAUUGAGCAUCAGAAACAUCCUAAGCAGAAAAAGAAAGGUGCUUUUCAGGUAAGAACAGGAAUGUCAAAAUAAAACUUGUGUAGUUUUGUUAGAACUUUCAGUACAUCCAAUGUUUUUAACACCAUGGUACUGCAGUAAAUCAACACACGAACAAGAGUCGUAUAUAGAAACGGAAUAAUGCUUCUGGAAUUUGAAAAUCUAUCUGCUAGUGAUAACGUCUGCCUCAAUCUAAUUCACAUUUCCAGCCUCAGGAAACUUUCCAAAGGUUGAGCAUUAAUGUGCUCUGAUCCCCUAUUUUUCAAACCAUUAUUUUCUACGAUUAUAAUUGUGAAGGAACAGAAUUUACAUACAUACGUGUAUCACGCACACACACACAUUAUAUAUAUAUAUUUAAACACCAUGCCAUUUGAAUGGCACCAUUGGCCCUUCGGGCAACACUCUAAAUUUCAUCAUACUCCUUGUUUAGCCAGCUCAAAACUCAAGAGCUAAACGCGGAUCCCUAAAACCCGACUCCACACCACAACAACAACAACAAAGCCUUUUCCCACUAAGUGGGGUCGGCUAUAUGAAUCCUAGAACGCCAUUGCGCUCGGUUUUGUGUCAUGUCCUCCGUUAGAUCCAAGUACUCAAGUCUUUUCUUAGGGUCUCUUCCAAAGUUUUCCUAGGUCUUCCUCUACCCCUUCGGCCCUGAACCUCUGUCCCGUAGUCACAUUUUCGAACCGGAGUGUCAGUAGGCUUAAAACUAAUCGAAAAACUUAAAAAAGAACAGGGAAACACACACAUACACAGAGAACUAGACCGCCCGAACAGCGGCAUGUCACAGUCCACUUCAGAAUUUACAUAUACGUAACAGUUACACUGCACCAGAGAACUUUCCCAACUGUCUAAAGUAAAAUUUCCCAAGUUAUCUUUGAACAAAAACUGAAUUUUAUAAAGAGAAAGUAAAAAGUAAUGAAAUUGAAAGAAGAAACCCACAUUGAGGCGAUGAGGAAUGAGGCAUCCAGGACGCAAACCGAAGAGCUUAGCAUGAUGAUCUGCGUAUCAGAAAAAUGGGUUUUCAAUAAAUAAAUAAAGACAAGAAGAAAAGAGAACAAGAAAUGGAUGAUACCGCACCGCGAGAGAGUUGGAGGGAUCGAUGGAUGAUGAAGGCAUAGAAAGCAGCUGCGUAGAGAAUGAGAAAUCCCACCUCUCCUUUCAACAACUUCAUAGCUUCUGCUGCUGCUGCUUCUGCUUCCUCUCUCUGUCCUGAAUUUCAAACUUUGAUUUUGUUGUGUGGUUUGAUCUUGGUGGCCAACAACGGCACCAUCUCUCUCGUUUCUGCUCUGCUCUCUCAGCUUUGUUUAAAGGGACCUUCUCCUGCCACCUAAUAGUAAAAGAGAUCUCAUAAUACCAAUAAUUACCAGUCUGCCACUAUUUUCACUGCCAAAAUUCGGAAAUUCUUAUAGGAGGAAAUUGUAGUCUCAAUUAAAAAUUCGUGAUUAUUGAUGUUCUAACUCAUCAAAAUGUGCAUUUAUGAUUAUUUUCGUCAAUUCCUUUUGAACUUUUGUCAAAAUGAGUCAUGUGUCAUGCACGUGAGGCUGAAUCAAAAGGCAAAUAAAUAAAUCCAAAUAAGAAAAAUUAUAACAAUGUUUCCUCAACUUUUAUCCGAUUUGAGAAAUGAUCACUUAACAAUUUUGAGAAAUACUCUAAUUGAGUUAAAGUUGAAGAACUAUUUCUACCAUUUUCUCUUCUAGGGACUUCCAUUUACACUCUCAAUUUUGGGAAAAACAUUUUAAUAUAUCGGAAACACGACUUGAAACCCUAAGUAUCAUAAUAUAAUUAUUUAAUUUUUUGUAAGUAUGUAAUUACUUGUAUUACAACAGAAGUACCGAAUCGUGUCCUGGAUGAAAAAUUCUACAAAGCGAGUGGUUUUUAUUUACAUUAGCAAGCGUCCACACACACUGUAUAAACAUUUUUAUUUUAUUUUAUAUUUUAUCAUGAAGUGGGAUUAGUUUUUAAAAUUCUAAAAAAAAAAAUCAGUUAUGAAAAUUGGAGUAAUUAUGAGAAGUUUCUUGGAAUACUUUUUGUUUUUUACUUUAUUUUUUGUUUAAUUUUUAAAUAGAACAUGUUAUACUAAUUUGGUUGUGAGGGGUCAAAUUCAGAGUAAAUUGUAGCUAUGGUCCCUUAACUUUAACUAAAUUGGAGCAAUGGUCCCUCAACUAAAAAUCCAUUACCUUUGGUCCCUCAACUUAUCAAAACGUGCAGCUAUGGUCCCUCAACUAAAAAUCCAUUACCAUUGGUCCCUGAACUUUAAUUCAAGUGGAGAAAUUGUCCUUUAACUUUAAUCCAAUUGUAGCAAUGGUCCUUACAAUAUAACUCGUUUUGACAAAUUUUUUGACAUAGUUGACGAAAAGAACUAUAAUUAUACACUUUGAUGAGUUGAGGGACCCUAAUUAUAUAAAUGGUCAUUCCAACAUAGCUUAUUUUGACAAAAUUUUGACAAAAUUGAUGAAAAUGACUAUAGCUACACAUUUUGAUAAGUUGAGGGACCCUAAUUAUAUAAAUGGUCAUUCCAACAUAGCUUAUUUUGACAAAAUUUUGACAAAAUUGAUGAAAAUGACUAUAGCUACACAUUUUGAUAAGUUGAGGGACCAAUGGUAAUGAAUUUUUAGUUGAGGGACCAUUGCUCCAAUUUGAUUAAAGUUGAGGGACCAUUUGUACAAUUUACUCUCAAAUUUAUGUUCAUGUAAUUACUAAAUUUGUCCUUUUUUUUUAUUUGAGUCCAGUUUUGGUAAUGGAGUUAAAAUGGUAAUUUUAUAGUAUUUUGAUUGUCAUCGAGGAUUUAUUUUAAAAAAACUAAACAAAAGAAUUUGAAAAUUUUAAAUUUGAUCAAUAAAGACAAAAUAAAUAGGAAUAGACCUAGGGUGGGUGUGCCUAGCAAAUGAACGGGUUCAGUUAAGAGCCCUCGUCUUCCUUCUUCGUUAGUAUAAAAGACGCUCACAGUCGGGGACACACAGAAAGUGAUUGAAGGAGCUGGGGAGAGAGAGAAAGCGCCAGCCUCUCCCUCGGUCCGUACAAAAGCGCGCGGAUUAUAUCUCCAACAACCCUAAAACCCUAAUCCCCCGAAUCCCAUUUCUGAGACUCUGACAAUUUUGAUUGAUCGAUUCGAAAUUCUUUUGAUUUUUGAGAAAUUUUGUGCCCACCAAUCGCGAACAACAAGAAGAUGUCGUCGUCGUCGUCGUCGUCGUCGUCCAGGCGAGUCGUGAAGCGUGUAAAAUACAAGGAUGCAGUAAAAAAUCCUGGCACUCCCGGCGUUUUAACCAUGGUGCCCGACUUUUACUUAUUUCUUCAAGUUUUUCUCUCAUUCGAUCGCAUUGCUUUUCGCGUUUCACUAAUUACUGCUGUUGUUGUUCUGCAAAUAUUGUAUUAUUUUCUACGAUUGCUGAUUGAUGGUUAAGAUUUAUGGGAUUAGGGACAUAGUUCAAAAUUUCUUACAUUUAAGGACAUAGUCGAUGUGGAUAAAGCUUGCAAAUCAUGCACCAACAGUUGGGUUGUAUUAAUGAGUUUUGUCCUUGGUUGUAAGGAUACCUUUGCUGCAAGUUUUGAGCCAAGAUAAAGUUUUUGCCUAAAUAUGCGACGAUCGGAUUUCAUUGGUUUAAUGUUAUUUUUGUGAAUAUGUUGGUCUGUGUAGGUUGAGAACAGGUUUGUGUUCAAGCCAAACGAUCCCACGUCUGCCAGAAUGCUUGAUGUGGAGUUUAGACAUAUUAAAGGUACACCUCGUAAUCGCUGCGGAUUUAUUUCUAUGAAGCAAACACCUUGAUGAUCAUUAUUUUGCUUCUUUUUUUUCAAAGUCUUGGUACUUCCAAACUAAAAGACCCAUAUCUUUGCUAAUCUUGAUAUUCAAUCAUUCAAUUUCUCUGGAUUACGUGCUCGCUAUUGGAGGUGUUUUUUUAAUUCCUUUUUCUUGUUCUCGCUCUUGAACUUUCAGGUCACAAAAACACUAAGGAGGGAUCCAAGCAACCACCUUUGCUUAAUCUCAGCAGCAGUCGUGAGGUUUUCUUUUAGUUGUAAUUUAUGUUACAUCCUACCACAAUUUAGAGCUACUCUGAUGCAGUUUCUCUAUUCUUUAUUGACGGGAUUCAUGCAACUGUGAUGUUCCAGGGUAUAAGUUACAUUUUUGAGUUUCAAAGUUAUCCCGAUCUUCAUGAAUGCCGAGAUUUUGUAGGUAAAUCCCAAUCACAUCCAGAACAUGUAUGAAAUUCUAUGAUGUUGUGGUUCAAAGGCUUAUUUUCACAUUCUUCUUUUGCUCUAUAUUGCUUCUUGUUGUUGUAACUGUUUAGUCUUGUGUCGACUGCCUUUACUGGAAUGGACUGCAUCGUAAGAGAUAGCCAGUAGCCAUUGUUUUUCUUUAGAAACCACUCAAUGACUCAUUCAUCUGCAAAUCUAACAUUCUGCUGAUUAAUUCAACUUCUGUUGUUUAGUUGAAUUUUGAGAGUUUUCCAUGCAAAUACUGCCUGUAGAUGUGGCUGUAAGAGGAGGACUGUUUUGAUGCCUUUACCUUUUGUAGUUAUCUACAAGAUUCUACAUAACAUUCAGUUGCCAACAGUGUUUUUUUAUGCCACAUCUUUCCUUACGAGCUUUGUCCACUGAAACUUAUUUUGUUUUGUUCUUGUUAGAUUAUUUGACUUUUCUGUCUGGGUGUGUUUUAGUUAAUUAUUUACUCUUAGUCUUAGAUUGUGCUAUGUGGUGUCUUUGAAUAGGCAAUGCCCUAUCUAAGGCUACAGAAACUGCAAAAACUGCUUCUGAGAGAGAUGGAGUUACAUUCCCUGAUGAACAACUCAGUGCAGCAGAAAUGGAGCUCCGUAUGAAGUUAUUGCAAGAGGACAGGUAGCUUUGUCUCCUCCCGAUCAGAUAUCAAACACCAGCAUCUCACAUUUUGUAGCGCCAUGGAAUAGUUUUAAAUUAAUUUUAUUUCCUUAUAGAGAUGUUUUAUUUUUAAUAAUUCUUUGGUUGAACUAUAAUAUGGGUUUUUACUUUCAUCUUAAUGCUAUAGAAUCUCAGCAGGACAGAAUUAGGAUAACCCACCCUUUCUACAAGUUCACACAUUUUUAUUUUCUAUUUUGUACCAUAUUAUAUAUUACAGUUUUCUAGUCAUAGACUUCUGCCCAGAAUAAACUACUAAAGAUUGUUAAUGACAAAGUAAAUCUGAUGAUAGCUAUUUAAGAAUCAGGACAAUACACACCACCAACUCGUAUGUUGUUUAUACAAGAUUGCCACUCGUUUUUAUUUUUUAUGUACUUCUUCUAUAAUAAUUCUUACAUUCUCCUAGUCAUAACUUACCCCUAGAAUCAACUUUUAAUGAAAAAUGUUGACAUAAAUUAUAUAAAUCUAAUGAUAGCUAGUGAAGAAUCAUGAAAGCGCUCCAUCAACUCGUAGAUUAUAAGUUCCCACCUGUUUUUCUAGUCAUAAGUUUUCCCCCAAAACCAAUUAAUAACAGUUGAUGUUGAAAUAAUUUAAUGUAGAUUCUGAUUAGUUUGAUUCCUAGCAUUGAUAGGGUACAACUCAUACUCACAUACAGACCAAACCUGGAUGGACUCCACUUCCAAAGUGCUUCAGUCCCUUUUCAGUUUCAGAUUGCUGAAUUCAAGCAUUUGGUUGCUUUCUUGUCUUUUCUGCAAAUGAUUUGGCCCCUUGGUGUGUGUUUUCGACGAACCAUAUCCUGGUACAAGGAGUCCACCAAAAAAAUAAAAAUAAAAAAAGCAACUCCACAUGAACAAAAAUACCCAACUAUCAUGUUGCCUUGUUCUGUCUACAAGUUAUUUUCUUUGGCCUUUGUUUUCUAGGUGGAAAUUUGGGCGGUAAUGAUAGUUAUAAAAUCUUGUAAUUUAUGUUUAUGAUGAGCUGAGGUUUUGAGAAGGUGUGUUGCAAUUUCUUGUUACUAGAUUGUUUGCUUCUGAGCUUUCUGUGUAUAACUACUGUUUUAUGUCACUAAAUUUUACUCUUCACAGUGAAUUGCAGAAACUUCAUAUGCAGUUUGUAAUCAGUGGUGUCUUGACAGAAUCUGAGUUCUGGGCAACUAGGAAGGUGAGAUACCGUAAUGAAGACAGAUUCUUAUUCAUGUUUAUAUAAGUUGUGUUAGUUUUUCUUUUCAACUGCAAGCCUAUACAUAGUGUUGGUUCCCCCCCACCCACAGUACUACACUGACAAUUGAAACAAAUUUAGCAGAUAGUGUAUGGUGGUUACUGUGACAUUUCUGCCUUUCCAAAUUUAUUGCAGAAGUUGCUUGAUGGAGAUAGCCGUACAAAGCCAAAACAACGGGUUGGUUUUAAAAAUUCAAUGAUUUUGGACACCAAACCUACAAGUGACGGUCGGGUAGAACAUUGAACUCUCUCUCUCUGAUCCAUGAUUUGUUUGUUCUUGCCAAUAGUUACAGUUGGCACCUCCUUGAUGACAUUUUAAUAGAACUAAUUUGUGGAUAAUAAAGGGUUCCUUUAGGUAUCCAUAACUUUUUCAUAUCAUCAACUUGUGGUUCUGAAACUAACUACUUUUGUAUUUUUGUUUUGGGAAUUGUCCAGAUGAACAAGGUUACAUUUAAUUUCACUCCAGAGAUUAAAUAUCAGGCAUGGUUCUCCAUUUUACACUUCUUUGAGAUAAUAGUUCUUUCAUUUUCAACAAAUAGAAGUACUCUGAAUGAUAGUUUAGCUAUCCAUAUUGAAAACCUCUCUUUGGCGCUUACACUUAAGUUUUUGUUACAUUGCUUUUCAGAUCUUUGCUCUCAAACCAGCUGUUCACCAGGCAUUUCUUAAACUAGUGCCCAGUAAGGUAGUGAGGAUAUCCAAACAAUUCCUUACAUAACCACACUAUUCCAUGUUAGUCAUCACCCUUAGUUUGUUUGAGGAUGAUAAUCUGAAAUUGAGUAGUUUGUUAUUGGCUUUCUUACUUCGUGCAAAGCAUUUUUUCUAGCUUUUCCUGUUUAUAAUUCCAGAUGACAGAAAAAGACUUCUGGACAAAAUAUUUCAGAGCUGAAUUCCUCCACAGUACCAAGAAUGCUGCUACAAUUGCAGCAGAAGCUGCUGAGGAUGAGGAACUGGCAAUUUUUUUAAAGGAGGAUGAAAUAGUGGCAAGGGAAGCUCGUUGGAAGGUGCUCUUAAAAAAAUUGUUUCCUUUGCCCUCUAAGUCUUGAUUUACCUUGGAUGCUGCUGGUGCAUUUGUUUAUAUUCAUAUUUUUAUGUCUUUUUGUUUUUCUAGAUUCGACGGGUUGAUCCAACUUUGGAUAUGGAAGCUGACCAAGGGGAUGAUUAUACACAUCUUCCUGUAUGUUUUCUAGAACCUUUCUUGAGUCUUUUAUUUUAGUAGCCUCUAUGUUUUCAUAAAGGCAGCCUUCUAAUUUUCUUCAUACCCCCAAAUUUUAUGGUGGUUUGUCAUAUGAUUUGCAGUCAUAGAUGUGGUACAUUGGAGAAACAUUCCUCAGCGGUUCCCGUAUUUCAUAUUGAUAUUCAGAAUACCCACUUAUGCCUUUGAUCCACAAUGAAUUUUUGUACUUGUGAUCCUUAACGUCGUCUCUAGGGAUGCCAUAAAGUUGAUUUCAUUUUUACCGUGUCUGAUCUGGUUGAUACGUCUUAAAAAUCAGGAUCAUGGGAUUUUUCGUGAUGGUAGCAAAGACAUCACUGAACUGCAGAAUGAGCAGUACAGGAGGACUUUAUCGCAAGACCUUAACAGGCAAGGGGCUGUUGUUCUUCAAGGAAGAACUGUCGGUUAGAGUUUCUCCUGAAUCUAUUCGAUUUUCAUUCCUACAAUUAAUAAAUGUUGUGAGCCACUUCUAUCUACUUGCAUUAAGUAUAAAUGAUUUUGGUGUUGUUUGAUUAACUGGCUGAGCUAUAUUUUUCAUCUAUUAUUUAGUAGAUAAUUUUGAACCUGACUGCAGAUGGGGAUUUAGAAGAUCCAGAAAAUGUUGCAGAGGCACUUAUGCGGUCAAGACAGGGUUAGCAUUGUCCUUUGUUUCCCCCCUUGGUUUAUCCAUUGGGAUUUUCUACCCAUGCCGCCCUCCCCUCAAUAUUUCGUCUUUUGUCUGAUGGCAUAUCAGCAUCUGUGCUUAUCUUUCACCGGUUGUUUUUGCAGAGCCUGAUGAGAGUGCUGUGCAGGAGAGACUAGAUAGGAUUACUCGGAUGAAUGAGAUAGAUGACCUUCGAGAACCUCGCGAUCAUCCUGUUGCUCAAUUAUGUAUUAAGGUUCACUUUGACAUCAUUCUUCCAACAGGCCAACGGUUUUAAUGCAGAAGUUACACUCUUUUUGUUUUCUUCUGACGUUGCAGAUCUUUCAUUUAUUCUGAAAACAGGAUCCUCGAGACUACUUUGAUACGCAACAAGCUAAUGCACUUAAAACUUCGGAUGACUCACGAAUUGGAAUUGAACAAAAAAAAUGUAGCAUGACUACUGAGGAAGCAUAUGGCUCAUUGAGGGAGUCUAUAUCUAAAAUUAAGAGCAUUGGAUUGAAAAAUUCCACGGUUGAAUCAGAAAUUGCUCUUACGGUAAUAUAAGUGGCAGGUCUUUUUCUAGAUAUGAUAUGUACAGUUAUAAAAAUGUAUACUUCAACUGCCAGAAAUUUUACUGCCCAUUUAUGCGGUGUAGGUUCUUAAUGGGCUGACUCAGAAUAUUUCAAGUACCAAGUAUCAACUUGGAAAGAAUCCUCGGGAGAGUAUUCUGGACAGUUUGCCAAACAGAACGAAAGAGGAACUGUUGCAUGUGAGUGAAUAACAUUCGUUUAUUUUCUCUAUACUAUUAGCUGCUUUGUAAGUAAAGUAUUAUAGAAAAUGUUAACUGCGGCUGGCUCUGUUCUUUUUGACAUAGAGUUGAUAAAGUUGCAUUAGGUUUUGUUUACUUCACAGUUCUUAUUUGAUUUAUGGGUACGUUCUUAUUCCAGCAUUGGAUGUCCAUUCAAGAAUUACUGCGGCAUUUUUGGUCUUCAUAUCCAAUUACGACAGCUUAUCUUUCUACAAAGGUUAGCUCUGUUUCCUUUAUGCUAUAUGAAAAUCAUUACUCAUGAACAUCACUGUUUGAAUCUCUUCAACAUGGGUUUUUUAUUUAAAUUAUUUUUGUUCUUUGUGGAUUCAUUAAAUUAUUCACGCAGGUAGGCAAACUGAAGGAUGCCAUGUCACAAAUCUAUCGACAGCUAGAGGUAUGAUUCCAGCUAUUUUAUCUUUUUCUCAUUUGUUUAGUUUCCGGGCUAUUUAAACAUAACCCACAUGCAUUUUCUAAGCAUAUGAAACACCUUAUUGUGGUUUAUAAAAAUGGUUGCCAGAAGUUCAAAGCUAUAACCGAUUUUGGUCUCCUUUAGUGUCAUUAUUGAUGUUGAGCUGUUUUAAAUUUUUCAUGUGGAAUGUGGAGUAAUUUUAUAGUAACUGCUGAAACCAUCCUACUAGUGUUGUCUGCCUCAUCUAUUCGAGGCUCCUUCACCUCAAAAGUAGUUAGUUCUCUUGGUGCCUUCUUUGCCUCUUGGCUAACAUGGUAUCAUCCUCUAUUAAAUCCGGUCUCCAUAUAGCUUUAUGACAAUCAGUUGGGGAUCUUCUGUGAAUGUGUCUUAUAUCAAACUGCCUGUCAAUGGAAACCUGGGUGUAUGGUGGAUCUUCAUUGGAAUGGAUAGAUGCAAAGAGAUUUGGAGAAGAGAGAGACAUUGGUUUCUUAUUGGAGGAUUUGAUGCAUAAUUUAAUUUACUGCUUUGACUGCCCAGAGAUUCUUAGCUAGUGGUCCACCUUUGCAGUUCAAUAUCAUCUUAGUUCUGUUUCAUGAAAAAGGGUGUAGGAAAAACAGAAAAAGAAAAAAAAAUUCAUUUUGGUCAUCUUUUGAAACUCUCGUUUUUUGUUUUUCAUAUAUGCAAUAUUGAUUUCAUGUUUUAAAUCCUGCAUUUUAAUCAGGCUUGAUUGUUUUGAAAGAGGGUUUAGGAUCUACUUGGUUCACAUAUCGAUUGAAAUUUUCCAGGAGAUAAAGGAAUCAGACUUCCGGCACCAGGUUUCACUCCUUGUUCGUCCAAUGCAUCAGGUCAGGACCUCGCUUCCAUUUUUAGUUUUAACUUUAAGUGAAUGAAUUAAUUCACUUGAAUAUGAAUGCCAAGAAGCUAUCUUGUUUAUAGGAUUUUUACGAGGUGUUAUCGAUGACCGAGUAAGUUGGAAACUCUCCAAUGCUUUAUAAGAUCAACCUUUUGUAACAUGCUUUGCUGCUUGUUCUGUCGGCCAAGUGCGCUCUUUCUGUUUUGUGUAUUCUUUCAGCGAAAAAGAGUAUUGUCUUAAAGAACCAAUCCACUUGCGCAAAACUAUUUACUUUAGUGUUUAUAUUUGAUUGUUUUGGUUGCGGUUAGUGGCCUUUAUCUAUAGGCUCUUGAUUGGUAGUGGCCUUUAGUGUUUAUAUUUGAUUGUUUAGUGGCCUUUUUCUAUAGGCUCUUGAUUGGUAGUGGCCUUUAGUGUUUAUAUUUGAAUGUUUUGGUUGCGGUUAGUGUUUAUAUAAUGAUUAUUUUGGUGCAGGCUCUUGAUGCGGCCUUUCAACAUUAUGAAUCUGACUUGCAGAAAAGAGCUGCAAGGAGUGCAGAGAUGCCGAAUGGAAAUGCGUAGGAGAAAGUUUUCCCUUGAUUGGUUCACCCGAUGUCCCGCGUUUUAUCUUGUUGCGAUCGUAUACAGCAUCCAAUCAAUUUUGCUAUGAGGUUGUGCUAGAUUGACGAGGUUUUUUUGACGUUGUAGAAUAUACAUUGAUGUUCUUGAGUACUGACCAAUUGUGUCCAAUUGUUCAGUAGAGGAGUCAACGAUUGGGUGGAAGUGUUCUUGUGUGUACUAGCGGCUUUUGCGCAGCAUUAUGUGUUGCUUCUAAUAAUAUACAUUUUUCUCUCCUCCCUUUUUGACUCCCAAGUUUGCGUUUGCAGUAGCCUACUCGGUGGCACUAGUAAGUGCACAAACUAUUUGGGAAGGUUUUUAACCGAGGCUCACUACAUUAAUGUGAAGAUUAAAAUUUAGGAGUGUGCUUGUGUUUCUUUUUUUGUUUUUGUUUCUAUCGUUAAGACAACUUUCAUUACAACAAAAACUAGUACAAGGCCCAAAAAGGACCGGGUAAACAACUAAACAACUACAGGGAAAGUAAAAGGCCCAAGCAAAAUAAGAGCAACAACUCAAGAUACAAUGGGAGGCUUGCACAAGCUUAGGCCCAAAGGCAAUAGAAAACAUACAAUAAAAAACCCUAAUCUCCAGCAGCAAAGACCACAUCGCUGCCGCUGUCACAUCCUAAGAGGAAGCCAGAUUCCGAAUUGAGAAAGUAAACACUAGAUCCAAGUCCCCUUCAUGAACCUCUGCAAAUAUAUACAAACAAAGUAACAUAUGGGAAGAGGUUGAGGCUAAGGGGUAUGUAAAAUAUCCAACACUUGGCCUCAAUGGAGAUUCGGCAUGUUGGUUGGAGAGGGGGAAGUGAAGGAGGGAAGUGGAUCUGAUAUCCAAUUUCUGCCAGCCGAUCCAAGCACAUGGUGGGAUGGGGAUGAAGUAUCGCAACUAGGGAGGAGGAAGGAAAAUAAAAGAGAGAAAAACAGGCAAAAAAAAUGCCGGAUAAGAGGCAAGAAGCCCCAGAUAGUUGAGACUCAGCUUAAGGAAAACUGAGAUUAAACUCAAGGGAGAACCAAGAAUUAAAAAGGAAGGGAGAAAACUGGAAGAAAUGAAGGAAGAGGAGAAGGGAAGCAGAGAGGGGGAGAAGCAGAGGAGAUGAGGGGGAAAGAAAAUAGGAAAAGUGCAAAGGAAGGAGAACGAGAACCUGAGAAAACUCAAAGGAAAAUGAGAAGAUGGAGGAAAAAAAGAAAGGAAGGAAGGAGGAAGGGAGGAUGCCUCCGGCACCCAAGCCAAAGGCUAGGGCUGGCGGUGAAAUUGCUAGGAGUCUUUCACAUAGAGAAGUUUAGAGAGAAAAUGGGAGACUUUUUGUCUACGUAAUUCGUCCAUUCCUAUGUUUCUUUUGUUAUAUUUCUUUGUUUCGUCCUGUGAUAAUGUUUAAGUAGUGCAUCUUUUAAUUCUGAUGUUUACAUUUGAGUUUUGAAUGGGCUAAUUUGGUCUCUUUACUUUUGAGUGAGAAGGCGAGGCUAGAGCCCAACAACUUGCAAGAUGACACUAUUAACACUCAAAAUUGUAAGGUAAACAAUCUUAAUUAAAUAACAUAAGACGGGCGAUGGGCUAAAAUUAAAUAGACUCAAAUAUGUAAGUGGUUCACUCUUUAAAAUUGGGCUACAUCCAUUAUGUUGCUCUCAAUAUAUUGAUUUCAAGACUAAAUAGCACUCAGCUAAUGCAUUCACUCUAUUUUGUCCAAUUCGUUUGACCCUUAUUAUGGAGGUCUCUACUCGCCCCCUUAAGGCCUCUUAAACCGACAUUUAAUGUGCCAACCACUUGUUCUAUCUUUCUGACCACUUUUCACUUAUUCGUCCAGGUUUCUGUCAAUGAAGUGACGUUUUGGCAAUCGAAAGGCACACACCCUUCAAGGGUCAGGUGGCCUGAGCAUCCCACUCUGACUUCGGUUAAUCUGCCUUGCCUUGCUGAGCAAUGUCUCAAUUGCCCUUAUGUCCCAUCCUAGGUCUCUACCAUUGUCUGCAGGUCGCUGAAUAGCCUAAGUAGCACAAUUCAGUUUUUGGAGAUUUGUGCCAUAAAGUUGUGAACACACCCAUGUGAUCUCAGUCUGGUAGUCCUUGUUUCGUCUCGAAUGGUAAGGCUGGCUCUCUCCGAAUUCCUUGGGCCUUGGUUUUUCUGGCCUUUCCUUAGGCUUAUGUCCGUGGGUGGGCCUAAUUGGGCCCAUCGUUAACAAACGCGAAGCCUUGAAACACCUAAAACAUCAGUCCGAAAGAAACCUAAUACAAUAAGGGGGCGUUUGUUUGCCCUCACUACGUGGUACUGGACUAGACUGGACUAACAAUUAGUCCAAUCCAGUGUUUGUUUUGUACUAGGAUUAUCUUUAAUGAGACUAAGAAGGACUCGCACGGACAAACUCCUUCGCUAGGAGUUCUUGGCCAGACCCCCCAAUACCCAUGGGAUUGCUAAGACCUCGUCUACUCCGUCCUCAUCGUGCUCUUAUCUCUCUUGCUCUCUGUUCUCUUGAGCACCGACAGCCACCAUCACACCACAACUCGCCAACUCCAGCGAGACCAUACCACCAGCCCACCACCACUUUCUCCCUCUCUCCUCACCCUAAACCCAGAAUUUCAAACUGAGGAAGAUCCCGCUCUUACCAUUGUCUGUCCAACUCUAGCCGUCCUCUGAUCCACCUUCGAGGAAGAUCUCGCACUCGCCGUCCUCGAUUCAAUACCAUCGAGGAGUUGUGUAGGUUAAUUUAUUUCAUUUCCUGUAUUUUUUUUUUUGUUCAAUUUCAAACACGUGAUGCAACUCUAAAAAGGGCAGCAAAGCCUUGACUUGCAGCUCCAACACCGUCCCCCUUCUCCAGCCCCACCAGCUUGUUAAUCAGUUUUGUGUUAAUGGGUUUGAUAAAAUUAUGUUAAUUUGGAUUAAUUUAUUAAUUUAUGGUCAAUUACUUGGCUUGAUUUGUGAUUUUUGCUUUGUUUUUGCUACUUAGUUUCCUUGUCGUCACUUUUGAAAGAGGCUAUGGUUUGAUUUUGACCAUAAUCCAUCACCAGCGCCUUACCUUUCUAGAAGUGGAUAACCCCAAUUAAAGUCCUUAAAUAAGUUACUCAGACCACAGUAUUUCACUGGUCAAUUGAAGGUCCUUGAAUAAGUUAUUUGAGUAUUGUGCAAUCAUACUUGUUCAGGUUUUUGUCAUGUGGAAACAUCACAAAUCUAUGGUAUCAAUCUGCUUAUUGUGUUAAACUUUUGGUCUUUAUUUGUUUUCCUUGUAUGAAUGAAUUUGAAAAUUCUUUUGAAUGUAGCCAAGAUGGAAUGUUUGAGGUUGUGAUGUUGGUCUCCAUAUGUGGAGGAAAUUGGUGUGUUUUGGCAUUUGGUCUUCAAUGGUCAAGUAUUUUGGGAUCAAUUUUGUAGAGUAACUCAGACCGUGAAGAUUUUUGUUUGAAAAGAAAAAUGAUGAAUUGCAGCACUACUGUUUCACAUUCUUUUUUGUACAAGGAAAGCUAUCUUAGCUAUGAGUUUGGCUAUUGUAGUUGAUAUGGUUCUGAUAGCAUGCCAAGCAUUCUUUGGAUAUGGGACAUGUCACAUACGCCAUCUUGAACUCGUUGCUAUCUUGGUGCAGAAAUAUCUUAUUCGUGCAACAGUUUGGGAUCCUACGUGCACUCGUCCUAUUUUUUUGCACAGGAAGUUCUCAUUUGUACAUGUGGACUCCUGGUGUUACCUACAGUGUGAGUUGGAAUUGAGUUGAUCUAAAAUGGAAUUGAGUUGGAAGCUGUCUCCUCUUGAAGGAUAAAGAGUUGUUUUGCUGCGCUUCUGUUGCAGUUUUUGAAUUGAGUAAAUAUAGCUCGGAUGAUUGAGGCAGUUAGUUAUUUUCCAGAGUUAUUGUAAAAAAUUGUAGAAUGUACAAUUAUGCAGUUUACCUUUUUCUGCUGUGUACUUUGUUAAUGUAGUAUUGGGAUCUUUCAUUUGUUCUAGUUGGAACAUCCAACAGUUUGAUUAAAUUGGUGACCUUUCCCUCUCUCAUUUGUUUUUCCUUUCAUUGGAUUAGCACUAGUGCACAUGGAAUUGACUAACUGACUUGCUCCGUUGUGAGGGAAGACAUUUUAAUUGCUUAGUUUAAUAUACAAAUGGAAUGCAUAAAUUGUCCAUAAUCUCUACCUUUUGCAUAUUGUUACUAGUUUUCUUCAAACUAGUUGGAGCAAGCCAAUUUACGUGCUAGGAAUCCAAAUGUAGCAAUGAUCAAUGCCCAGUUAUCCAUUUGUCAUUGUGCCUCGCAUCAUUGUGGUCUUGGGAUUGAAUGCAAUUUUCACGGUAUGGACUGAAAUUGGCUUAUACAUACAAGAGCAAUUCCAAGUAAUUAUUUCACAAUUGAGUAAAAAAUUGAACUUGUUAGACAUCAAUUUUCGUUCUACUCAAAUACAAGUAUUUACCAACACUUUUAACUUUAAUCUACAACUUUAAACCAAAGGUGAAUGAUUAAGAAAAGCAUCCUGAACCCUGUCGAUUGUUGGGAGAACACUUUGUUAUAUUGAUGUUUGGAAUAAUGCUACUCUUUAAUCAUGUAUUUUCGUUUUUGUAUUUUUAUUGAGUCUCACUCUCAUCCAAUAUUAUUAAUUUUAAUAAUAUCUUUAAUAAAAAAGAAACUAAAAUAGAACAAUAAUGUAGUCCUAGUCUGAGCAAACACCAAAUUGAUUACAGUACUGCUUUCAUUAUCCUGCUUUUUAGUCCGAUACUGCACCAAACGUUUCACUAAGUUAGUCCAGCUUAGUCUAGUCUAAGCCAGUCCAGCUUAGUUCCUAAAGCUAGUUCAGUCAGAGAUAGUCCGGUGCAACAAACGCACCUAAGGGCCACUUCCUAGGUCAGCAAACGUGAAAGGAGAGGUUUUUUUUUUGGUCGGAAAAUAACGCGGGCAGGGCAAAGCAGAUAACCACCAAACCCCUUCUUCCUUCUUCCACUUUCAUUUCCCAGAUUGCUAGGGUUUAAGUAUUUGCACCUCUCUCACCGUCACAGUCUCACAGCAAUGUCAUUCUACCGCCUGCUCCACCGCUCUCUCCGCCGCCCUUCCACCCCAACAACCCUACCCCUAACCCAAUCCCUCUCCUCCCUCCACCUCCACAACCCUAACCAUCACAUUCCUCUCCAUCUCACUACCCCCACGCGCACCUUCGCCUUCUCCUCCGCCGAAGAAGCCGCCGCUGAGCGCCGACGCCGCAAGCGCCGCCUCCGCAUCGAGCCCCCGCUCAACGCCCUCCGUCGGGACUCACGCCCCCCUCCCCCACGGGACCCGAACGCCCCCCGCCUACCUGACACCACCUCCGCCCUCGUCGGUCCCCGCCUCAACCUCCACAACCGCGUCCAGUCGCUCAUCCGCGCCGGAGACUUGGACGCGGCCUCCGAGGUUGCGCGCCGCUCGGUUUUCUCCAACACUCGCCCCACCGUCUUCACCUGCAAUGCCAUUGUGGCUGCAAUGUACCGCGCCAAGAGGUAUAAUGACGCUAUUGCCCUCUUCCACUUCUUCUUCAAUCAAUCAAACAUUGUUCCUAACAUUGUAUCUUAUAAUAAUUUGAUUAAUACUCACUGCGACGAGGGCCGUGUCGAUGUGGGCCUGGAGAUUUAUCGGCAUAUAAUUGCAAAUUGCCCCUACAGUCCCUCGCCCGUGACAUACCGGCAUUUGACUAAAGGGUUGGUCGAUGCUGGGAGGAUAGGUGAGGGUGUGGACUUGUUGAGGGAGAUGUUGAAUAAGGGCCACGGAGCGGAUUCUUUGGUUUAUAAUAAUUUGAUUAAGGGGUUCUUACAUUUGGAGAAUAUGGAGAAGGCUGUUGAGCUUUUUGAUGAGCUUAAAGAGAGAUGCUUGGUUUAUGAUGGGGUCGUGAAUUCAACGUUUAUGGAUUGGUUUUUCAACCAGGGGAAAGAGAAGGAGGCGAUGGAGUCAUACAAGUCCUUGCUUGAUAGGCAGUUUAGGAUGGUCCCGGCAACUUGUAAUGUUCUCUUGGAGGUAUUGCUUAAGCAUGGGAAGAAGAAGGAAGCCUGGGAUUUGUUCGAUCAAAUGUUGGAUAAUCACACCCCGCCAAACUCCCAGGCUGUGAAUUCGGAUACAUUUAACAUUAUGGUUAAUGAGUGUUUUAAGCUUGGAAAGUGCGAUGAGGCAAUUGCCACCUUUAAGAAGGUGGGGACAAAGGUGAAUUCAAAGCCAUUUUCUAUGGACGUUGCGGGGUAUAACAAUAUCAUUGCUAGAUAUUGUGAGAAUGGGAUGUUGCCGGAGGCUGAGACAUUGUUUGCAGAAUUGUCCUCAAAGUCAUUGACCCCGGAUGUCACGACUCAUAGGACGCUGAUUGAUGCAUAUUUGAAGGUAGAGAGGAUAGAUGAUGCUCUUAAGAUAUUUAGCAGGAUGGUGGAGGUUGGUCUGCGAGUGGUUGCUAGUCUUGGUAGUAGGGUGUUCGAUGAAUUGAUUAAGAACGGGAAGGUAGUAGACUGUGCGCAGAUUUUGAAGAAAAUGGGAGAAAAAGAUCCAAAACCAGAUGCCAGUUUUUAUGAAGCUGUGAUCAAGGGGCUUUGCAACGAAGGUGCGCUUGAUACAGGCCGUGAUUUAGUGGAAGAGAUGGUGAGGUAUGGCAUUGGUGUUCCUCCAGCAUUACAGCAGUUUGUAAAUGAGGUUUUUGGAGAAGCUGGGCGUGGUGAAGAGAUUCAGAGAGUAUUAAAUACAAAUAUGCGGGGAUACCAACCACUACCUAGAGAGGCACCACCUCGGCAAUUCCAACCAAGAUCGCCUCAAAUGGCAGGACAGGAGCCUCCGUCAGGACCUUCUCAAAUGGCAGGACAAUAUCGUCCGUCUUCGGCACCGCCCCAAAUGACUAGACAAUAUCAACCGCCAUCUGGACCCUAUCAGCCACCAUCUGGAACGUAUCAGCCGCCUUCUGGACCCUAUCAAAAGACUGGAACUUACCAAUCACCACCAACACCUCUACAGAUGGCUACAAGCCAGCACCCCACAGCUCAAUCCCCUCAAAUGGCUGGACAGUAUUGCUCUUCAUCAGGAGCCUCCCAAACGGCAGUACCACGCCACCCUCCGUCCAGACUCCCUCAUGUGGAAGCUUCGAACCCGCCAUCUGAAGCUUUUCAGAGCUUAGUACCACCUGCUCAAGGGACAGGAUCUCACCAAUCACCAUCAGAACCCCCUCAAAAUACAGAACAGGUAGCAGCUGCUUGAUCCUUAGAUAUCAAGUGAUUGAUAGAGAUGCCGGCAAUUUUGUCUUGAUUGUUAAGUUGGCCAAUGCUACAUUGAACUUACGUUAAGUGUCUCUCCAUGCUGUAAGCUUAAAGCGUUCAAUUGGGUGUAUAAGGGGCUCUCGUGACAGGAUUCUCUUUUAUAUGGUCUAUAGCGAUUAAUAGGAUAAGUUAUUUAUUCUUGUGCUCGGCCAUCUUUAUGGUUGUUAAAGAUUAUAACUUAUAUGAAAAUUACCAUUCAGUUAUCACGUCUUGUGCAUGUUAAAUAUGUGUGUUGAGAUUCACAGCCUAAAGAUGCACGGUAGGUGAAUACAUCCUAGUGAAUGGUUCGGUUUAGUAGUUUGAUUGUUUUUCUUCAAACUGGUUCCUUGUGGUGACUUGCAUUUAUGCACCAUUUGGCACUGCCCCAGCUUUAGUUUUUCAGGGGACUAUGGAUUCAUUUUAAUUUCGGGUCAAUUCAGUACAUGGUGCUGUGACUUUGGCUCGGUUGAAAUCAAUUUUCCCCCCAUUGCUUAUGUAUUUAAUUGUUGUCUAUGCAUUCUAUUGUGUUCUUAUACAGUCUUGUUUCAUUAUUUUUUAUUGAUAGAAGAAAAUUAGUGACUCUGUUAUGGCCCCUCAUUCUACAUCAUUUUCAGUAUUUUGUUUUGAAUCAGUAUGUCUCUGUAUAUUUCAUUUUUGCUCCCAUUGACUUGGCUCCUUUUUAGUCGACUAUGUAUUUGUAUUUGUAUUCAGGCAAGUACUUGGCCUUGGUUUGAGAGAUGAAAAAUCAUAAAAGACCGUCUUAUCUCUUACUUUUCGAGCAGGACUUGUUAAUGAACUUGUAUUGAGUAAUGUUUCAUUUUUCGCUUCUUUCCUUUGUUUAUAUGUGCCUGCUAGUUAACUACAAUAUACUGUAUACGUAUACACGCAUUAAUGCAUACUAUUUGAAAUUCUAGGACCGCUGUAGAAUAAUGUACUGCGGGUUGUGUUUCAUAUGCGUAUAAUUCUAUGAAUGCAAUGCAUCCUCUCGUCUUGAGCAGUUGAGCUAACGGUUAGGGUUGGGGGGGAUCAUUUCAAUUUUCUUAUGAGAGAGCAUUACAGAUACGAAUGAUACUCCCCCUUGCUGCAGUCUAAUGUUGGAACACAAUAUCUAGCUUGGAUUACAGGUAAAACAGGAUUAGGGGUUCCUGCCAAGACUUGAUGGGAGUUUCCGGUAAAUACCCGCUGUCGCUGUGCCAGGAUUAGGGGUUCGCUGCAGUCUAAUGUCGUCGUCAUGUUGCCGGAGCAACGGACAGUCUCCGCCCUGCUGCUGAUUAGUCCACUAUAUUCUUCUCCAAAGCCGCUUCUCCUUCCCCCAUUUUCUCCCAAUAAAGUCGAAGUUAUUAUAUUCUGAAAAAUGUAGGGGGAAUGUCAGUCAUGAUUCGAAGAUGUAUUGCCUUUGUUUGGACCGAGAUUUUGGUUUCCAUUGUUGGUCAGAUUUUGCUUGUACGAGUGUUUUUGUAAAUGUGAACUUAGAAAAGCAGAUACCUGAAUUGUAACGCUCGCUGACACUCUAAUAUAUGUAAAUUCCACAUACGGAUAUAACAAGAAUAAUAAGUCAAAUUACAUGCACAGUCGCUGUAGUUUCACGAGUAUCCCAUUGGUUGUCAUUUGAUUUCACCAAUACAACACAAGCCAAAAUUCGAGGCUUUCUCCAAUGUUCAUCAAAAGUGCAUAUUUAAGUUACACAUUAUAACAGUCACUUAGUACUACGGUUUAGUAAUAUUUCUCUUCAUUUGUAAGUUAGAGGCUUUAUGUUCGAUUUAACUAAAGGUGGAUUUGAACCACAUUAUUACUAGACCAUUAUGAGACUUAGCCCGUCCCCUUCCCUUUUAGGAUAAAUAAUAGGAAACUUUCAUGAAAAGAGCUUGAGCUAAGUUUAUUUUAAUAAAAAAUCAUGUUAUAACUUUAUUUAAUUAAAAAGACUUAAAUUUUAAUGAAACACCCUAAAAUUUUAAUAAAAAUGACAAAAUAACUUAAAUUUUAAUGAAAAAGACAUAAUUUUAAUAUUAAAAAAAAAUCUGACAUAAGGACAUCCUCACACAAAUUGUUUAUGAAACUUAGGACACUAUUUAUGAAACUUACUGCAUUGUUUAUGAAAACUUACGACAUUGUUUAUGAAACUUACUACACUGUUUAUGAAACUUAACAAUACUACAUUCUUCUCUCUCCUCUUCUUGAAUUUUCUUAGCACAUUCUCACCUUCCAAACACAUUUUCUUCUUCUAAUUUUCUUCGAUACUCAUUAAAUUUUGUCUAUAUCUCUUCAAUUUUUUAACUUUCUACACCAAUUACUUAAUUUUCUUCUAUUGUUCGCCCAUCUGCGGCUUCCUCUUCUCCUCCACCAAAUGAAAAUGUUGUGCCCUACAAACACAACACUAAUAUCAAAUUAAAGUAAAUACUUCAGUGCCUGUAAAUUGACAUAAUUAUUCAUUUUUUGUUACAAAUUCACUAACAUGAAAAAGCAUUCGAACCCAACGACUUGACAAUUCAAACUUCACCAUGUCAACCCAGAAUACACAAAGUAACAUCCAUUGAACACCCAUUCAGAAUCAAUCCAGCUAUAUGCUGCAACGCUUUCUCAGCAUCACUACUCGAAUCAUCACUAUCCUUUGAGCUUAUUAUAAUCACACGUCCCUCAUGUCUCUGCAAAAAAAAAAAGCAACAAAAUCAGUCAAAAAAACCCAACCGACAAAACCCUAACGAAACAAAACCGAUAAAGUGCUACACACAACAAUGGCGUCGGCGAUUUUGAUAUUGGCCUUGGUCUCUUCGCGAAUCUUCUGGGUGAUUCAACACCCUUCCUUCCCUAUUACUUUUCUGAUCAGCCGAGAGGGAAUUUUCUUCAACCUCCUCACCAAUCUCAGAACUUCCGGUAGAUUUUCAAUGCUUUCUCCAUUUCUCAACUUCCGACCCGCCGAUCGGUGUUAGGUUUUUAUUUAUUUAUUUUUUUUUCUCUCUUGUCUUUAUCAUUAAAUAAAGGUAGCAGAUGGUUUUUGGUUAAAACUCAAGGUUUUGAAGCCCUUUUAAUUAGUUUUUCUUAAAUAAUAUCGUUUGUUAAAGAAAAAGUUACAUAUUAUAACAAGAAUGGUUAAAUUAUUUGAUUUAAUGGAAUCUAACGACUGUUGUUCUAUUGUGUAACUUAAAUACGCAAUUAAUGUGCAUUGGAGAAAAUUCAAGCCAAAUACAUUUAUAUUUAACUUUUGUAUAAUAUUGAUGAUUUCCUUCCGAAUUUUGAGAACCAAUUCAUCCUCCCAACUCAAUGACGGAGAGAACCAACUCGAUAAUUUCUCAAUAUCCAAAACUACCUGCCUGUACAUUUUUGCAUUUGGGACAAAAUCGACUCGAGUCCUACCAAAAUUCUCCGCUGAAAAAGCCGGAAAUUCUCAAUAUUCCAUCACCGCCGCGGCGAGCUUGAGCAGAGGCUCCAAUGCGGUUGGUGCAAACUUCCGAGCAAAUAGGUAACAUAUGGAUGUCAUCUCCGCAUUGUACUGACACGGCUCUCCAUUGUUCCUUAUCGACUGCAUGAAAUCUUCUGUAAUGUUGUCUCCUCCGUACGUUGCAGGGUGCGGACCUCGCAGUGACCAGUCAACCCACGUCACAGUCCGAUUCGAAUUCAGCGACCCUUGGAGCAUGUUGAUGUAAGUAGGCAGGUAAUGCUCAUCCGGGUAGCAUGCAGGCAAACAAUAGUUGCUGAAGAUCGUGUAAUACUUUGUUUCCGAAACUAUAUAUACAGAUAACGCACGGCUAAGUUCAAACCACUGCGACCCUUUCCUCCACUGAUGCAGUUUAAUAUCGGGAAACAUUUUGCGCCUGUAACGCCCGCGGCCAUAACGCCCAGGAUCAUCGUAUGACUCGACAUAGCUAUGGUUUGAACCAACGAGAUACUCGUAGACCGUAGUGAAAUUAUAGAUCGGGAUGCAGCUCUCCGAGAGAAGAACAAAGCGCUCAUUUGAGAAGUCAAGCAAGGCAUUCGCUAGAAGGCGCCUCUCUGCAUCAAGCAACGUUACUGUCCCCCAUGAAACCGGCUGCAGAGAAGAAAUUUUUUAAAGUUAAGCAUCAGGUAACUCAUUAAGAACGUAGACCAUACUAUCUUCACGAAUGAUAGAUGCACACAAAAUAACAGUAUAUGCUACAUACUCUCGGGCCUUUUUUUUCCAUCUCCGAUUACUCGAUAAUUCAGAACAAUCUCGGGGUACAAGUUUAAGACAAAUCUAAGUGAUCUAACAAUACUGUAUACCGCUACCCAACUGAUACGUGGACAUUACGCCCAUUGAAACUCUCUUAAACAAAGAAGAAGGAAUUACAACACCAUGCUAAAACUUAGUGUUACGAGGACAAACAACUAAAUCUACUGUAAGGAUCACGAAGAUGAAAUAACAAGACAUGGAUUCAGAAAAAACAAGUUUUUUUGCACCAAAGCAAUAAUGAUUCAUAGAACUUCAGUUGAGGCUAUUUGUACCUGACUGGGGAUUUGGCGUAGAUAAAAAGGAGAGGUGGUAGAUACAUUGAGCUUAUAACCCGGAAUUACGUGGACGUAAAUUGAGAAAUACUUGUCAUGGCCCUGAAAGAACCUCUCCCACAAUGGCAGCAAGGGCAAAGGUCCUCUAGUCAAAAACAUGAAAGCCACUUUAGGCACUCUCUCGAAUGGAAACUCUCGCUUUCUCGGCACCAUUGAAGCUCUCCAAAAAAGCUCAUCAUCAGACAGACCGUGUGUCAAAUUCUUCGGCUGAAGAAACGUCUCCAUGCUCAUGCAAUCAACCUUGUCACUAACUGGCACAAUUGUACAAGUCUUCUCCUCGUGCGGCAUAUUGGCAGAGAGGUGAUUGAUAAACGAAUAGUUCUCAGUUUGGGAACCAAAAUACCGGCUCAUAUGCGCCCUCGUUGCUAAUCCUAUAACGACCCCCAUAACAAAAACUAUCAAGAAUGAGAGAGUCUGCAAGAGUUUGAGCAAACCCGGGUUCUUCUCAUAGUCUUCUCUGCCUCUUGCCAUGUCUUUCCAGUUUGCAGUAAAUAAAUUCAAAUCUGAAUUCCAAGUAUAAAUUCUCACUACAAUUUAUGUUAUAUAUGAACACACAAACACUUCAAUUCUGGAGAAUCAGCAAUGAUUUAUUACUGAAACUGUGAACGAAUAGUGCCUCAAACCACAAUUAGAAAAUCAAAGGAAUAUAACAUAACUCAAUGUCCUUUGGGUACCUCUAACUCAAUCGAUGAAUGAUGGAUGAUGAAGAUAUCAUCCAAAAACUAUAAACAUCCCGGGGCAAAUUCUGGGGAGGAAGUAGAUGAAGCAGAGAGAUUUGAUUUGGCGAUGAGAAGAACAUAGAGAGUGGUUCAGAAGGAAGAUGAGAGGGAGUUUGAAAACAAGAACCUACAAAUCCGAGCAUAUACAAAGUGGGGUUGGUGAUGAUUUUGACUGGGAGAGAGAGAGAGAGAGAGAGAGGGGGAGCGUGUACUUUGGGGGCUGACUAUGACUGAAUCCGAGUGCUUUCUUUGUUUGUUUACGGUUGAAAGAAUGAAAUACAGCACCAGCAAAGUGGAAAGUGGAAAGUUUUGGAAUUUGGAUUUAGAUUUACUUUCGGGGGAGGAUUAUCUCCUCUCCUUAUCUCUAUUCUCUCAUAGUUCCUCUCAUAUUUCCUCAUAUUUGAAUAGUUUGGAUUAAGUUAUAUCAACAUCUUAUAUUGAGUUUUUCUAUAAAAAUAAUAAGAUAAAAAAAAUAAUAUGUAAGAGAAGGGAAGAGAAGGGUAUGUGAAUAAGGAAGAGAAUCUUACUCCGUUUUUCCUGACUUGCGCUGCCCACUUUAAACCCCCAAUUUAUUUAUUUUUUAACAACCGAUAUUAUCUACGUUAAAGAUGAGUAUGUAAGAGAAGGGAAGAGAAGGGGAUGUGAAUAAGGAAGAGAAUCUUACUCCGUUUUUCCUGACGUGCGCUGCCCACUUUAAACCCCCAAUUUAUUUAUUUUAUUUUUUAUUUUUUUAACAACCGAUAUUAUCUACAUUAAAGAGGAGGGGUGGACUUAGCCUCACAAUGAGCUAUUGAUAAUGUGGUUCAAAAUCGUCUUUGGCGAGAAUUGAACUUAAGACUACUCACUUACAACUGAAGAGGAAUACCACUAGACCGUAGUACUAACUGGCUUAUUUAUUUUAAGGAAAACUAAUGAAAAUGACUUGAAAACUUUGAGUUUUAAUGAUAAAGACAAAAUAAAGAGUAAAGUGAAUAGUAAUAUGUUUGACUUUUUAGUGUAAAAAUGUGAUUUUUCAUUAAAAUGAAUAGUACCGUGAACUUUUGGUUAAGACUCCUUUUAUUUUAUUCACUUCGUACAAAUUACAAAGAGCAGCUUAAAACAGUCCAAUUAAAACUCAAAUGUGUAUAUCAAAAAACAAAUCUUUAUAUUAAAAAAAAAAAAAAAUCUUGUUGCGUAAAAACGAUAACGAGGCAUAAACAUACAAAGAAACACGUCUCGCCUCUUCAAUAUCAUAUGUCAAUGCAUAUAGCAAACUUCAAGUUAGUCGUAGUACGCUAAUUUAGUAGGGCUUAAUAAAAACUUCUCAAAGAAAAUCGCACGUAACAAAAUUUGGGUAGGAAAAUUAGCAUUACAUAUCACUGUGAAAUUGUGAUUUGACAUUAUUUUAUAUCACUUAAAUCUAGAUUGAGAUAUGGAUGAUAAAAAAAAUCAAAUUGCAUUGUAACUAUAAUUGAAAUUCAAAUUCAAAUGAGUAUCAUGAUUAUUUCACGUACACUUGUCUUUAAUUCAGAUAAUCAUGACAUGCUGCUAAAUGUCACUCAUGAUUUAUGGAAUUAAGUUAAUUUAUAAUUCAAUUUCCUAGACAAUUUUUAGGUGAUGCAAUGAAAGUAAAAAUUUUCUAAUGAUUACGUAAAUAUAUAUUUUGUAAUAGUUACUUAGUCUCAACUUGGCAGAUCUAUUAGCUAGGAGUCGCUGCUGGGUUUGUUUUGGGGAUCGGAAGGAUCUAUGGUUCACACCGGCGCUUGCAUAGCCUCUUUGCUCGGACAGGGUGGCUCUCGCAAGUAUCACCUUACCUGGGAAGGCUCAGGUUCUUCAAAAAUAACCGUGACCGACGGGAUCUGAUUACCUGUGGUGCUGCUGCUGGUGUUGCAGCUGCCAUUCAAUUCGUGUCCCAGUUGUGGGGUCCUUUUUCCACUAGAAGAAGCAGCUUCAUGGUCUCUCUCUCAUGCACGUACACACACACAUAUCUGUUCUGUCGUGGAGGAAAAUUUGUUUCCUUUAGCAAAAACUUCUGGGUGGAGGAUAUUGCGCGCACACACACACAUAUCUGUUCUGUCGUGGAGGAAAAUUUGUUUCCUUUAGCAAAAACUUCUGGUUCUGGGUGGAGGAUAUUGCGCGCGCACACACACACAUAUCUGUUCUGUCGUGGAGGAAAAUUUGUUUCCUUUAACAAAAACUUCCGGGUGGAGGAUAUUUUUUCACAACAGCUGUAGUAGCGGUAUUGGGGAAGGAGGUCUUAUAAUGUUUGAUGUCAAUUCAGCAAAGGUCAGCUAUAGCAGCGGGGAUCUACGGCAGUCAUAAUAGAAUUCUAUGGCUUAACUUUCCUGUAUUCUAUAAUCCUGAAUAAAAAUAUAUAUAAUCAUUUUUACAAAAUGAAACAAAAAUAAAGGACACAAUAUCCUUCCUAAAACAUGACUCUAAUAAUUACAAAAUAUUUACAUUCUUUUUCUACUAAAAUAUAGAUUCACUGCCAAUACUCCCCCUUAAGUUGGAUGUAGCAUAGAUGUUACACAUGCUUAACUUGAUAAGUGAGUCAUCGAACCUCCUACUACACACGACAUGAGUAAGGAUAUCUGUAAGUUGUUCCUCUGAGUUCACGAACGGUAUUGACACAAUCUUCUUUUCUAGCUUUUCUUUGAUAAAAUGUCUAUCAACCUCAACAUGCGUAGUCCUGUCAUGCUCUACUGGAUUCUUAGCUAUUUCUCUAGCAGACUUAUUGUCACAAUACAAUUUCAUUGCCUCCUUCUGUUUAAAACCAAGACCCCAAAGCAACUUUCAUAGCCAAAGGAUCUCACACACACCAUGUGCCAUAUCCUUAUACUUGACUUCAGCCGAGGACCGUGAUACCACAUUCAGCUUCUUGCUCUGCCACGUAACCAAAUUACCUUUAACAAAUGUGAAAUACCUAGACGUAGACCGUCUGCCAAUCACAUCACUUGCCCAAUCAGCACCAGUAAAUCCCUCAAUCCUCAUAUGUCCAUGAUGUUCAUACAAAACCUUUCCCAGAGCAGACUUCAAAUAUGCCAAGAUUCUCAUUAUUGCCACCAUAUGAUCCGCACUUGGUGAGUGCAUAAACUGACUAACCACACUUAUGACAUAGGCAAUAUCCAGACAAGUGUGAGACAAAUCAAUCAGCCUCCCCACUAGCCUUUGAUAUUUACCCUUGUCAACUGGUUCCUGAUCUGGAUAAAUCCCCAAAUAAUGUUUCUCUAUGAUGGGAGUGUUCAUAGGUUUACAUCCCAGCAUGCCUGUUUCCUUUAAUAAAUACAUAACAUAUUUACGUUGAGAGAAAAAAAUACCUCUAGAUGACCGAGCGACUUCCAUUCCAAGGAAAUAUUUCAAAUCUCCCAAAUUCUUCAUCUCAAAUUCAGCGGCAAGACUUUGUUCUAAUUUCAUCAUCUCCUCCGAAUCAUCAACCGUUAUUAUCAUGUCAUCCACAUAAAUAAUUAAGGUCGUCGCCGUACCACUUCUUCAUUUCACAAAUAACGUGUGAUCAAAGUGACUUUGAUAAUACCCAAUCCUCCUCAUAACUUGAGUGAAUCUACCAAACCAUGCAUGAGGUGAUUGCUUAAGCCCAUAAAGUGACUUUCGCAACCUACAUACUUUGGUUUUCCCUCCGGCGUUAUAUCCUGGAGGAAAAUCCAUAUAUACUUCUUCUUCCAGGUGCCCAUGAAGAAAAAUAUUUUUUACAUCAAACUGUUUCAGUGGCUAAUACAAAUUUGCAACUAAAGAAAUAAGAACUCGUACUAUAUUCAUCUUUGCUAUUGGAGAAAAAGUUUCCUGAUAAUCAACACCAUAAGUUUGUGUAUAACCCUUUGCUACUAACCUUGCUUCAUACAUGUCCACUGAUCCGUCUACCUUGUAUUUGAUUGUAAAGACCCAUCUACACCCAACCGGUUUUUUUCCUUUUGGUAGCUCUGUUACCUCCCACGUAUCAUUCUUAUGUAGUGCCAUCAUUUCUUCAUCCAUUGCAGCAGCCCAUGUAGGAUCCUUCAAGGCCUCCUCAACUCGGGUUGGUGCUUGGAUUGCUUCCACAUUAUUUACCUAGGCUUGACGUUCCGGUGCAAGGUUCGAGCAUGACACAUAAUUAGCUAUUGGAUACUUCACUUUUCCUUCAAAAGAAAACAUGUCAGGUGGAACACCAUUGUUAAAUCCCACCCCCAUUUUAUUUAAAAAUGGUUUUUAGUUCUUAAUUGGUGAGCCAAGGGGCCCACCCUUUUAUUUUUGUAUCCCCCGUGACCCUCUCCUUUCCCUCUUUCCCUCUUUCUUCGUCUCAACCCUCCCGUGCAUCUCUCUCUCCCUUUCUCCCUCAAGCUCUCGUCUCUCUCUCUCCCCCUGGAUUCUCGAAGACCUUAGCACCAUCAGGAGGGACUCCCCACGAAGCAGGGACCCCUGCCCUGCGAGGUAAACGGCACGGAGCAAAGCUCCGACGAGUUUUCUUCCUUUUUCAGUAGGGGUAAGUCUCGAAUCUCUCACUCUCGUACCUAGCUAAAUGUUUGGUCGUGAUUUAUAAGCGUGAACCUUCCAUUUUUACGUAGGUUUUACCUUGGAAACGUUUUGGGUGAGCACACCCAUUUUUCCGGCGAACCCGUGCACUCCGAGGGCAUUUCUGGUCACCUCCGACCGAGUUACGGUAUUUGGAAGGUAGAAAUCUCUUCCUCUCUCUUUGUUCUUCAUUUUCGUACCAAGAUCGGAGCUUGAAGCCCCCGUUUUCAGGUGACCGGAGCUGUAGCAGCUCCGGCCUUUUUCUUCCUCGGCACCAGGCCGUCUGGCCUCUCCCAUUUCCUCCUCGGGCCUUAGGCCCGUGUGGUCUUAAACCCAAAUCCCCAGCCCCUUUUUCUUUUAAUUUUGUUAGUUUAGUUUUUAAAAACCCAAUGGGCUCGGGCCCUAGUUUUGUGAGGCCUUGGGCCGGUUUAAUUAAAGGGCUUAAGCCCUGUCUUUUUUUUAUAAGGCCUUAAGGCCUUUAUAUUUUGGUGGUGUGUGUGUGUGUGAUUAGGCAUGCACAUGCAUGCUGUGCAUGUGUGUGUGUGUUUGUUGAAUAUAUGUUUGGGCUUAAGCCCAAACUCCUUUCUUUCACCCUAAUAACCUUUUAACCCAAAACCCUAAACCCAUCCAAAUCCCAAUCCCCUAUUUUAAUUUAAUUCAAACUCAAUAUUUUAGAAAAUCCUUUUAUUUAUUAAUUAUAUUUUUGUACUUAGGGACAAUUAUUUUGAUGUUCUGUCUUCGCUAGUGGCGCAGCUUUUGGCGGUUAAGUACUGUGAGUGGACCCCUUCUAAAAUUACAUGAUUUUAUAGUAAAUGCAUAAUUGAUUAGCAUGCCUACGAAUUUAUGAUUUGAUUUAUGUGGAGCCUGUUGUUUUAAUAUAUUGAUUAUCGUCUCGUGUUUUUGGUGAGGAAUUAAUUGUUGGCUUAUAUUGAGCUAUAUUUUAAUAUAUCGUAUUUUCUAUUAAAACCAUGAACUGGUAGACUAUCUGAUAAAUGGCGAUAGGAUGCUAGAACAUGAUUUUGAACCCCUCUUUAUAGUGUAGACGAUGAUCGGUAACCUACGCUAUGAAGUGGUAUUUACGAGAGGCGUAACAUUUUGUGCGUAUCUAGUAGACAUUAUGCCGCCUGGGGCGAGGAUCUGGUGUUGGCAUUUAGGCCGGGAGAAAUAAUCCCUAGCUACGGGCUGAGGGACAUGAAGAGGCAUUGGGCCGGGUGGUAGUUAUCUCUGGCUACGGGCGCAGAGACUUAGGUGCAGGCAUUGGGCCGGGAGUUAUAUUUAUUCGGUGAUCUUACUAGCAGCACACCGCGUUUACGAGACGAUCUACGAGAUGUUUUACGCGAUGAUUUAUAUGAUGUUUUCCGCGUUAUGGCUUUUGAGAUAUUUUGGCAUGCUAGGAUUUUUAUUAAAUCCAUCACUUAUUAUGCUAGUAGUUUUCAUUAUAUAAACUUUGGGGGUUUAUACAUUGAUAACUGUUUUAUUAUUAUUAAUAUAAACUUGGUCCACUCACCUUUGUUUUGCGCCCCCAUUCAGGACUUAGAAUCAAGGCACCUAAUCCCGACGUCAAGGCACUUCCGCAGCAGCAUCUUCGGAUCCUCUCGAUGUAGGACCCACUCAUCUAUUCAUUAAAUUUUAUCUUAAUUCUUUUUAGUGAUUAGGUUUAGUUGUAUGCUCUGAACACGUUCCUAAAUUGUUAGUUCAUCGUAUUUCAAAUUUCUAACCCUUAUUUAUUUCUUAUUCUUAGCUUUUGUAUCAAUUAAUGGCUUUCGUCACCCUUGGGUGUCGGCCAGCACGUAUCGGUCCUGGUAUUCGGGGAAUAUCAGGGUCGGGGCGUGUCACCAUGAUUUUGCCUUGGCGGCAACUUAUACGUACUCAUAAUAUUAUCUGGAUUAGUUACAUGAGCAUGAGUUGAACUUACCUCAGGAAUAUUUAGAGAAGACACAUUGGGUGCACUAUUGAGCUCGAAAGCGAGGGGGGUACGAGUUCGGUAGCUGCUGGUUCGGCAGGCUCCUAUCAAUACUCUGCAUCAUACUCGGCAGACUGUUGCCGAGAAGCAUCAACUGUUUCGGUGCCUGACAACUGAACAUUAGUCCAAUUUUCGACAGGUUGUUGCCGAGAGCUCUCACUGUCUUCAUUCUUGGCACUGUCUUGCCGAUAGCCUUCACAAUUUUCGUUUUCAACACACGCUCCUCCUGAGUUACAUAUUACAUUGUCUGGUAUCUCCAACCACCCAAGAUCACCACUAGUAUUCUCCCCCUGGUGAUCAGAAGGUGAUGGAAUCGAAGCAUAAAAAAUACUCGGAUUCUGAGAAAGUAACAUCCAUGGUCACAUACAUGUGUCGAGUUUCAGGGUGGUAGGACUUAUACCAUUUCUAUUGGGGAGCAAACCCAAGAAAGACACAUCGGAGAGCACAUGGAUCUAAUUUACUACGAUGAAUCUUGUGAAUAUGAACAUAGGCUACACAUCCAAACACACUAGGAGUGAGAGUAUUAGUGGACACUACGGGAACAAAUUCUGUCAACACUUGGAGAGGUGUACGAAAGUCCACAACUCGGGAUGGCAUACGGUUAAUCACAUACACGACAUAAGUAACGGCUUUAGGCCAAAACCGUUAAGGCACAGAUGCACCAAUAAGCAAGGCACGAGCAGUUUCCAAGAUAUGACGAUUUUUCCUCUCAACAACCACAUUUUGUUGCGGAAUAUGUGGGCAGGUAGUUUGAUGAAUAAUUCCACGAUCUUGUAGAAACCGGGAUAACUCAGAAUUUAUGUACUCUUCACCAUUGUCAAAAUGCAAAAUUUUAAUAUUAGAGGAAUACUGAGUUUUAAUCAUCUGUUGAAACAGACGAAACACAUCACAAACCUCACUUUUAUUUUUCAACACAUACAACCACGUCAUAUGAGUGCAAUCAUCCACGAAAGUAACAAACCACCUAAUUCCUGUAGUAGUACUAACAGGGGAAGGCCCCCACACAUCAGAGUGUACUAGCGCAAACGGAGAAGAUCUUCUAUUCAUACUUGGACGGAAUGAAGCACAAUGACUUUUGGCUAAAAUACAUACUUCACAUUUUAAUUCUGAGUCUUCAAUACCACUGAACAUAUCAGGUAAUAUAUGUUUUAGAUAACCAAACGAUGCAUGCCCCAAACGACGAUGCAAUAACAAUACCUUCUGUAGAUUACUAUUACGUGACACAUGAACCAAAUUAGCUCCUCCAGGAACCACGUCAUCCACAUAAUAUAGCCACUCUCUCUUAGUGCCAUGCCCAAUGAUCUCUUUUGUUUGAAUAUCCUGAAGCAAGCAAAAUGAAGGAUAUAUUAAUACAACACAAUCCAAUUGUUCAGUGACUUGAGGUACAUACAAUAAGUGAUGGGACAAUGACGAAACCAAUAAACAAUUAUGUAAGGGAAGAGAAGGUGUAAGAGACACUGUUCCCGCUCCAACAACAGCAGUAAUACCAUUGGCAGUUGCCACACACUUUCUAUAAGGAUAUUUCAUGGACUAAAACAAAGUUCUAUCAUACGUCAUAUGAUCCGUUGCACCGAAAAUCCAACCGGUAUUGGUCAUUGUAAUAACAACUGUCACAUCCCGGCCCGGGGCGGACCACUUCCCGGGCCCGCUCCACCACCGUAGCACGAUAUUGUCCGCUUUGGGCUUACCAUUCCCUCACGGUUUUGUUUUUGGGAACUCACGAGCAACUUCUCAGUGGGUCACCCAUCCUGGGAGUACUCUGGCCUCCUUCUCGCUUAACUUUGGAGUUCCUACGGAACCCGAAGCCAGUGAGCUCCCAAAAGGGCUCGUGCUAGGUAGGGAUGAGAAUAUACAUUUAAGGAUCACUCCCUUGGGCGAUGUGGGAUGUUACAAUCCACCCCUCUAGGGGCCCGACGUCUUCGUCGGCACACUUCUGGCCAGGGAUUGGCUUUGAUACCAUUUGUCACAUUCCGGCCCGGGGCGGACCACUUCUCGGGCCCACUCCACCACCGUAGCACGAUAUUGUCCGCUUUGGGCUUACCAUUUCCUCACAGUUUUGUUUUUGGGAACUCACGAGCAACUUCUCAAUGGGUCACCCAUCCUGGGAGUACUCUGGCCUCCUUCUAGCUUAACUUUGGAGUUCCUACGGAACCUGAAGCCAGUGAGCUCCCAAAAGGCCUCGUGCUAGGUAGGGAUGAGAAUAUACAUUUAAGGAUCACUCCCUUGGGCGACGUGGGAUGUUACAACAACUGCACAACACAACAAACUACGCAAUUGCAGCUAACAGUUGCAGGCAACCACGCGACACAAUACUGCAAUUCCAGCAGUAAACAAGCUGAUCCACAAACAUAAAUAAUUAGCACAAAUUGUAGCCCACAAUAUAAUAUAACAAUUCACGUGCCGCAAGAGCAGCAAAUCCCCUUUUUCUUUUUCUUGCUUUGGUCAACAUAUUUACAUGUUGCAAUCAUGCAUCAAAAAGCAUCAAAUCCCUUUUUAUUUUUUUUAUCACUAGCAGCAGCCAAAUCACAGUAUAAAAAACCAAAGGCAAUUAUCUAAGGAUAAUUACCCACUGCACGCACAACAAUCACAAUUGUUUACCGGGAACAGUGCAACUACAGACUGCAACACAACAUUACACGGCAGCAGCAGAAAUCUACGUCUGUAGCUCUUACACGGGCAUAUAUCAUAGCAAUUGCGAAUCGUGAUUACAAGUAGCAGUAAUUGUAGAACAAACACACCAAUACACGACACAAUUGCAAAAGCACAGCACCACACACGGUAGUAGCAAGAUCACACUGUUGCAAUAUACACGGCUUGACCGAUUUUUGCAACAAGCAACCCAGGAACAAGUUGACCGAACACAGCAGCGGAAGAAAAAAAAUUGUUUUACAAUUUAUAGGGUUACGACAAACUUGGCUUUGAUUCCAAAUAGAAUUUUACGGCUUAACUUUUAUGUAUUCCAUUAUCCUGAAUAAAAGUACAUACAAUCCUUGUUACAAAAGGAAAAAAAAAUAAAGGACACAAUAUCCUUCCUAAAACAUGACUCUAAUAAUUACAAAAUAUUUACAUUCAUUUUCUCCUAAAAUAUAGACUCACACCUAUAGUCAUAUCCCUUGGUGAUGCGGGAGGCAGGCCUUGAAGAAAACAAUUUGAAGACCCAAGGGCCAAAGCAUAGUAAUGGUCUUCAAAUUGUUUUCUUCAAGGCUUGCCUUUAGUUGUUUCUCCUUCUAAAAUCAAGCGUUUGGUUUGGUCGUGCGAGGAAUCCACGAUUAUGUUGAGCAAGCUCCGUUGACCCUGGUUAAGCAAAUCCCAGGCGACCAUCCCUCUUCUCUUCGAGACCCUUAAUUCUUUCUUGCAUCACUUGGAGUUAUCGGAGGCAUUUUUGGAGGAUUUGGACAUUCAGGAGGAAGAGAUGGAGAUGUAUCUUGAUCUCCACUCCCUUUAUUAAUACCUCACCAUACACCAUAGUUGAAAUAAUGUCCCUUGCUAAACCUUCUACUUUGUUUCGGGAGCUUGGCUUCAGGCACUGGCUGGUAGUGUCUUAAUUAGACAAAAGGGUAUGUCUCUCUCUGUUAACAAUUCAAUAUGCAUGUGUCUAGUGUUUAGUGAUUAUUACACCGAUGAAAAAGAAGGUGAAAUGCCAACUUACUGACAGUUUAGAGUUGUAACAUUGUUCUGAAUCAUAACAUUUUGCAGAGGCCUCCAACCGUUAGAAUCUUGAUGCGGCACGAUUUCAUGCCGGAGCACAUAUUGGUACUUUUUCCGCAGUUGAAACCUCACGAGUAAAAGUAGCAAUGCGCGUAAGCAAACUGACAUUUUCAUUAAUUCUUGUUUUGUAAUGCAAUGCUAUCUUGGAUUAUACAAAGCCUUGUUUGAUCAAAUUUUAACCUUUAAGAGUCAAUAGUAUUUUCAUUUAUGGAUUACUGUGAUACACAAGUUUUAUUAGUUUCUAUUGGCUAUUAGGAUGUAAGAUCUCUUGAGUUUCAGAAGCUGGGAAAUGCAGGUAGCUCCAGCUGCCCGGCCACCUUUGUCUCCACCUCCAUCAUUAAUUCGACUGGAGAAAUCCAAUAACAAAAACAAAACUGCAAAUUGAAAAUAGAAACGAAACCACAACAUGCAAAUCAUUUAAAACAAAAAAACAGAUCGAACGAGAAAGAGAGCGUUUUAUACUGCUAGGGGAAAUUGAGCUCCAGAUGCGCAAUGCUGAGAAGCUCGCUCACGCUUAUCGGAUCCGAUCGAUUCAAUUCAUUCGAAAAAUGGUGGAAUUCGAAUUGAAUUGAAAACGAAAACAGAGAUUGGGUUGAGAGAUGAGAAAGGAAGAGAGAGAGAUUUGAUUGGUUCGAUUGCAAAAAUGGAAUAUUGUUUUCGUGCAAAGAAGAGAUCGAGAUAGGGCAGAGAGAUCGGGAAAGGAAGAGAGCGUUUAAACAGGCAAAUGUUUGCCGUCAGGGGCAAAAUUGGGAACUCAUUAUUGCUUAGGUCGGUCUUAUUGGGCUAGUUUGAAGUUGGAUUUGUUUUAGCCAUUAAAUAAAGUUAUUAAAGUGCUUUUGGUUAAAAUUCAAUGUUUUGAAGCUCUUUUCAUUAGUUUCUUUUAAUAAUUUUGUUAUAAGGGAGCUGAGACAGAAAUCUAGUGGCUGACUUGGGAGAAGAGAGUUGCUUGUAGACAGUUGUUGAACUUUUAUUGUAGAAUACAAGUUUUAAAUGUUGUUGUUUCCCCUUCUUGUAAAGUACUAUGUAAAUUACUUUGUUUAGUGAAAUGCUUUCAUUCAACACUUUCACCUGUUAUUAGUUAAGUUUAAGUUAUCCUUUAAUUCACACCUUAAAAAAAUUUAAGAUGUGAUGUGGAGAUUCAAUACAUAGCAUCGAAAGCUCAGGUUGUAGAUAUCUUUACCAAAUGCUUAUAUAAUCCUAGUUUUUACAAAACUUCAACAAUCUUAGGCGAGGAAUCCCCAAUUGAGAGAAUCUAAGUUAAGCCAUACAGAUCGAGUGCAUGUGUCAUGGUCUUAUGGUACAUUACUUGAAUUCUAGUUCCUGCAGAAGAAAAUGCUUUGACUAUGUGUUUUAUUCUUCUCAUUCAGAGGUAUAUAUAAUCAUAUACAAUCCUACUGUAAACAGAAAAGAAUAAUUACAAGAUAAUUACAAGACAAUAUCUCCUAAACUAGGAAACCCAAGAUUAAAGGGAUCUCGAAAUAAUAGGAAAUCUAUACAAAGGCGACACCUGCUGUGUCCUUAAAUUGAUUUGGCUCAACCCUGGAAGAUUUAAUUAAUGGUUCUUCAGGUGUGUUUUUACAUUUGGGGUUGACUGCUGCAAUAUUUUUAGGGAUGUGCUAUCCACACACCUCAUUUUACUUCUCACACACCCUUUGAUAAUUUAUGUCUGUUGAUCUUCUUCAAUUCAUCCGAUCCGACGGUUGAAAAUUGAAAAAGUGUGUGAAAAGUAAAAUAGGAUGUAUGGAAAUCACACCCCUACUUUUAUGUUUGUUUUGUUGAAGAAGGAACAGCGGUUGCUAGGAAGCAGCGCUGGGGAAGAGGGAUUUAAUAAAGAAUAUCGGAACAAACAAUGACUUUAUUUUGUCAUUACGAACAACUAGAAUUAUUGUACCGUUUUUGUUUCUUGUGUUUUCGGAAAUAAAAAAAAGAAAAGAAAAGGGACAGAUGUCAAUUUGAGAAGCAGCAAUUGAUCCUCCUAGACUAGAGACUCCCGUGAAGAGAGCGGCUUCCUUGCUUCUUCCCACUUGCCUCCAUUCAUGUCAGCCAAAUCUACCAAACUAGUCUCCUCCCCACAAAUCCCAUUUUAUUUUUCUUAUUAUACCCAAAAAAAUAUCCCAAUAUUUAAAUAACCUCUUACCAUUCAAUCAUAUUCCACCACGUAAUCUACCACAAAAUUGUAGUUUGGAGAGGCACGCGAUGCAUAUGAACAAGUUAAUUUGAGCAUCUCCAGUUGAUUGCUAUCCAAUUGUUGACCUCAAAUCUUCUGUACUCGUGACCCUUCUAUGCCAUGUUUAUUUGAGUGAUAAAUGUCUAUCUACUAACUUCGACUAACAACAACAACAACAACAACAAAGCCUUUUCCCACUAAGUGGGGUCGGCUAUAUGAAUCCUAGAACUUCAUUGCGCUCGAUUUUGUGUCAUGUCCUCCGUUAGAUCCAAGUACUCAAGUCUUUUCUUAGGGUCUCUUCCAAAGUUUUCCUAGGUCUUCCUCUACCCCUUCGGCCCUGAACCUCUGUCCCGUAGUCACAUUUCGAACCGGAGCGUCAGUAGGCCUUCUUUGCACAUGUCCAAACCACCGGAACCGAUUUUCUCUCAUAUUUCCUUCAAUUUUGGCUACUCCUACUUUACCUCGGAUAUCCUCAUUCCCAAUCUUAUCAUUUCUCGUGUGCCCAUACAUCCCACGAAGCAUCCUCAACUCCGCUACACCCAUUUUGUGUACGUGUUGAUGCUUCACCGCCCAACAUUCUGUGCCAUACAACAUCGCUGGCCUUAUUGCCGUCCUAUAAAAUAAAAUUUUCCCUUGAGCUUCAGUGGCCUACGACGGUCACACAACACGCCAGAUGAAGUCUUACACUUCAUCCAUCCAGCUUGUAUUCUAUGGUUGAGAUCUCCAUCUAAUUCUCCGUUCUCUUGCAAGAUAGAUCCUAGGUAGCGAAAACGGUCACUUUUUGUGAUCUUCGCUAGAUUGCUUCGGUUAUUAGUGAGGAUAAGUAUAUAAAUGGAUAGAGAUAGGAAAGCAAACACAAGAUGUACGUGGUUCACCCAGAUUGGUUACGUCCACGGAAUAGAGGAGUUCUCAUUAAUUGUGAAGGGUUUACACAAGUACAUAGGUUCAAGCUCUCCUUUAGUGAGUACAAGUGAAUGAUUUAGUACAAAUGACAUUAGGAAAUAUUGUGGAGAAUGAUCUCGUAACCACGAAACUUUCUAAGUACCGGAGUGUAUCGUCUUGACUUUCCUUAUCUGUCUCAUAGGUAGAUGUGGCAUCUUCUCUGGAAGUACUCUUCCUCCAUCCAGGGGUGGUAUCUGUAACUGGUGAGAGAUGCACAAGGUAAUGUAUCAAUGUCACUUGAAGCUUACUUGUAGUUUCAGGCUUAGUCAAGCGCGAUACAAACCAUGUGUAGUAGGAGUCCCCCAAGUCGCCGAGCUAGGGAUCUGCUGAAAGAGGUGAUAGACAAGGUAAGCAAUCAGAGCUCCGGCUGAUUGUUCACAUUCUCCCUAUCUUGCAGGCAGCAUGAAGGAUAAAGAGAAGAAAAUGAGAAAGAUGAUAUGGGAUACUUUUGCUUUUGAAGAAGUAACUUUCCACAGGCUUAUUUCUUGAACUGGGCUGGAGGGUUUUCUGGUUUCAUCCUCCAGAGUAUAGGCCGACUGAAGAAUUUGAGGGUCAAAACAAGUCCAUCAUCAAAUCUAGAGUACGUUCGACCCUGAUGAUAUGUGAUACUUUUGACAGAGCUUUGACAGAGAGGAGGUAUCCGGCACGUGUGCUGUUACGCUGUCUCCACAUGCUUCCUUGUAUCCUUCUCACUUGCCCUAUCUGUUCCUCAGGCAGAUGCGGUAUCUUCCUGGAAGCAUAAGAUGUUGAAGAUGAGUACUCGAGAGCAAUGCCAGGUAAGUAAUCAGGUAAGGGGUUCCAGGCAGUCAGUUCCUAAAGGCUGGAAGCUUGAUUCCAAGUGCUGACUUAUUGCUCUCUUUCUCCUUCUUGCAGGUAAGAACAAGGCCAAGGAGGAAAGACGGGGAAAAAACAUGAUAUGGGAUACUCUUGCUUUUAAACCCGAUGAUGAUAUGAGAUAUUCUUGCUCUAGUAUAGCUUGUUUACAGAGGUAUUAUCGGGGGGAAAGAAAGCUGAAUAUUUCGAAAGGCUUCGUUGGGAGUGCUCUCUCAGAUAAGAGGAAGGGUUGAGCAUUUUUGCAGGUCUGCCUGUCCGUUGGGGAUGGAGGUCGACAUAUAUAGGAGUCUCCCUAACAUCAAGUAAUAAUGCUAUUCCUUUACCCUACUUGGUCAUAGCACGGUAGUGGGAGCUGCCAGCUUCACAAGUUUUAACUCUGUCAGAGCACUUUGAAAAAGUGGUCUGUCGUAUCUGGAAAGCUGAUGUUGCGUGUGAAGAUUACAGACAAGCUUUAUCCAAGGAGAUCCAGCUCUUGAAGUUGGGAAAGUGGUGCCUCUUCGGUUUUCGAACAAGCAAUCCUGUCGAGGAUCCGGCUCUCGAGAUUCGGAGAACGAUGCCUCUUCGAUUUUUGAGAAAGCAAUCCUGCUGGGGGUCUGGCUCUCGAGAUUCGGAGAGCGAUGUCUUCGAUUUUUUAGAAAGUAAUCAUGUUGGGAGUCUGGCUCUCGAGAUUCGGAAGGCGGUGCCUCUUCGAUUUUGGAGCAAGCAAUCUUGUUGGGAGUGUUUUCUCGAAUGUGAGUAAAGGUUGGGCAUGUUUGCUAGUCUACCUUGCCACGAAGCACAGAGGUUGACACACAGGGACUUUCCAAUUAUCCAGCAGUGGUACUGUUCCUUUACCAUCUCUUCGAUUUUUGAGAAAGUAAUCAUGUUAGGAGUCUGGCUCUCGAGAUUCGGAGGGCGGUGCCUCUUCGAUUUUGGAGCAAGCAAUCUUGUUGGGAGUGUUUUCUCGAAUGUGAGUAAAGGUUGGGCAUGUUUGCUAGUCUACCUUGCCACGAAGCACAGAGGUUGACACACCGGGACUUUCCAAUUAUCCAGCAGUGCUACUGUUCCUUUACCCUUGUGGGUAAUAAUAUGGUAGCUAGACCUUCAAAAAUUAUGUGUCUAAACUUUGUUAGUGUUGUUUUUUUGCUAUUCUUUUACCCUUCUUGGUCAGAGCGAUGUAGUGGGAGCUGCAAGCUUCACGUGUCUCAAUUUUGUCAGAGAACUUUGGCAAAGUUAUAUGUGGUACCCAUGAGCUACUGUUGCGUGUGGGAAGUGGGUGAUUGAACAGUAUAAUUCAUGUGCUUUCUACUUCGCCAGAAAUCUUCGACAAAAUGCCCAUAAUUUCCGCAAAGCUGAGUGUGCGUGUGACAGGUGCUGACAAGGCUGGAAAAGUAGGUGCCUCUUUGAUUUCUGAGAUCGGCCCUCAUGGUCUCUGAGCAGCCCAGCUUUUGAGAAAGCAAGCCUCUUCGAUUUCUGAGAUCGGCCUUCGUGGUCUUUGAGCAGCCCAGCUUUUGAGAAAGCAAACGCCUCUUCGAUUUCUGAGAUCGACCCUCGUGGUCUCUGAGCAGCCCAGCUUUUGAGAAAGCAAACGCCUCUUCGAUUUCUGAGCAGGCGCCUCUUCGAUUUUUGAAGCUUCGUCGAGUGCAGAUUUUUAUAGGGGCUGACAUUAAGUUCCAAAACACACUUGAAUAUCCACCAGUAGAAAGCUCCAUUCUUGCACUUCUAAAGAUCUUGAUUUGUCCGACCUCUUCUCUCUUCAACACCUUUGAAAAUGUCUGGCCCCUCCGACCGUCGUUUUGACUUGAACCUUGUUGAAGAGGCAGCCCCGCCUUCUCCAGACAACAUAUGGCGCCCAUCCUUCGUCUCCCCUACUGGUCCUCUUACCGUUGGGGAUUCCGUGAUGAAGAAUGAUAUGACCGCUGCGGUAGUGGCUAGGAACCUUCUCACUCCCAAAGAUAACAGACUACUUUCCAAACGGUCUGAUGAGUUGGCUAUUAAGGAUUCUCUGGCUCUUAGUGUUCAGUGUGCAGGUUCAGUGUCUAAUAUGGCCCAACGCCUAUUUGCUCGAACCCGCCAAGUUGAAUCAUUGGCGGCUGAAGUGAUGAGUCUCAAACAGGAGAUUAGAGGGCUCAAGCAUGAGAAUAAACAGUUGCACCGGCUCGCACAUGACUAUGCUACAAAUAUGAAGAGGAAGCUUGACCAGAUGAAGGAAUCUGAUGGUCAGGUUUUACUUGAUCAUCAGAGAUUUGUGGGUUUGUUCCAAAUGCAUUUAUUGCCUUCGUCUUCUGGGGCUGUACCGCGUAAUGAAGCUCCAAAUGAUCAACCUUUGAUGCCUCCUCCUUCUAGGGUUCUGUCCAGUACUGAGGCUCCGAAUGAUCCCCCUCCGGUGCCUUCUCUUUCUGGGGCUCUACCGACUGCUGAGACUUCUCCUAAGCAACCUUUGUGAAGGCUCCCUCUUGUUUGUUUAUUUUGACUCAAGUAUAUGUACAUAUUUGUAAUUUAUCGGGGAUAUCAAUAAAUAAGCUUUCCUUCAUUUCAACGUAUUGUGUUAAAUACAUCAAAGCCUUCUUCGCUAAGUUCUUUGAAUUUUCUUUUGUUGAAGCUUGUAUGUUGAAGCUUUGUGAGUGGAGCAUGUAGGUUGAGGUAGUGUUCCCUUAAUUUCCCAAGUGAGGAAAACUUCUCGGUUGGAGACUUGGAAAAUCCAAGUCACUGAGUGGGAUCGGCUAUAUGAAUCUUAGAACGCCAUUGUGUUCUGUCCUGUGUCAUGUCCUCCGUUAGAUUCAAGUACUCGAAGUCUUUUCUUAGGGUCUCUUCCAAAGUUUUCCUAGGUCUUCCUCUACCCCUUCGGCCCUGAACCUCUGUCUCAUAGUCGCAUCUUCUAAUCGGAGCGUCAGAGCGUCAGUAGGCCUUCUUUGCACAUGUCCAAACCACCGUAACCGAUUUUCUCUCAUCUUUCCUUCAAUUUCGGCUACUCCUACUUUACCCCGGAUAUCCUCAUUCCUAAUCUUAUCAUUUCUCGUGUGCCCACACAUCCAACGAAGCAUCCUCAUCUCCGCUACACCCAUUUUGUGUACGUGUUGAUGCUUCACCGCCCAACAUUCUGUGCCAUACAGCAUCGCCGGCCUUAUUGCCGUCCUAUAAAAUUUUCCCUUGAGCUUCAGUGGCAAACGGCGAUCACACAACACGCCGGAUGCACUCUUCCACUUCAUCCAUCCAGCUUGUAUUCUAUGGUUGAGAUCUCCAUCUAAUUCUCCGUUCUUUUGCAAGAUAGAUCCUAGGUAACGAAAACGGUCGCUCUUUGGUAUUUCUUGAUCUCCGAUCCUCACCCCUAACUCGUUUUUGGCCUCCAUUUGCACUGAACUUGCACUCCAUAUAUUCUGUCUUUGAUCGGCUUAGGCGAAACCUUUAGAUUCCAACGCUUCUCUCCAAAGGUUAAGCUUUGCAUUUACCCCUUCCUGAGUUUCAUCUAUUAACACUAUAUCGUCUGCGAAAAGCAUACACCAAGGAAUAUCAUCUUGAAUAUGGUCCUGUUAACUCAUCCAUUACCAACGCAAAAAGGUAAGGACUUAAGGAUGAGCCUUGAUGUAAUCCUACAGUUAUGGGAAAGCUUUCGGUUUGUCCUUCAUGAGUUCUUACGGCAGUCUUUGCUCCUUUAUACAUAUCAUGUAUAGCUUGGAUAUAUGCUACUCGUACUCCCUUUCUUCUCUAAAAAUCCUCCAAAGAAUGUCUCUUGGGACCCUAUCAUACGCUUUUUCCAAAUCUAUAAAGACCAUGUGUAAAUCCUUUUUCCCAUCUCUAUAUCUUUCCAUCAAUCUUCGUAAGAGAUAGAUUGCCUCCAUGGUUGAGCGCCCUGGCAUGAACCCGAAUUGGUUGUCCAAAACCCGUGUCUCUUGCCUCAAUCUAUGCUCAAUGACUCUCUCCCAGAGCUUCAUUGUAUGACUCAUUAGCUUAAUACCCUUAUAGUUCAUGCAAUUUUGUACAUCGUCCUUAUUCUUGUAGAUAGGCACCAAAGUGCUCGUUUCGCCACUCAUUUGGCAUCUUCUUCGUUUUCAAAAUCCUAUUGAAAAGGUCAGUGAGCCAUGUUAUACCUGUCUCUCCCAAAACUUUCCACACUUCGAUUGGUAUAUCGUCUGGACCUACUGCUUUUCUAUGCUUCAUCUUCUUCAAAGCUACAACCACUUCUUCCUUCCGGAUUCUACGAUAAAAAGAGUAGUUUCUACACUCUUCUGAGUUACUUAACUCCCCUAAAGAAGCACUCCUUUCAUGUCCUUCAUUGAAAAGAUUAUGAAAAUAACCUUUCCAUCUGUCUUUAACCGCGUUAAUGACAAAAUAAAAGGUAAAAUAAAUAGUAUCAGGUUUGACUUUUUAGUGUAAAAAUAUGAUUUUUUGUUAAAGUAAACAAUACCGCGAGAUUUUUGUUAAAACUUUCUUGAUAAUAUCUAAAAUAAAAUAAAAAAACCAAAAAUCAAGAAAAACAAAAAUAAAAUCUAGCAGCCUCCAGCAUCCCCAACCUCGACGGCAGCCCCUACUUAACCACAGCAGACAACCACCAUACCCCGCCUUCGUGCUUCCUCUGCUCCACAUCGCUGAACAAGGCGUUUCUCUCUCUCUCCUCUCAAAAUUGCUACACCAUAUUUAGGAUUUAGAUCGAUAUCGUUCGAACACAUCACCACCAAAUCAAACAAAAUCGUUGAUGUUAACUCAGUUUCCUUCCCUUCAGUUUCAAAAUCGUACAUUUCUAAGUACGGAUCGGCCGCCGAGGUUGAUCUCGCAGCAGUGUCCGAAGCCAUGGCCUCCGAUUUUGGCACCUUAAUGCAUACAGAUUACAUAGCGAGGGGAGUGAGAGAGGGUAGGGCUUUGAUUUUGGGGUGGCUUUGAGAUUGUAGGGUUCUGUGCUCAUAAACUCACCGAUGAAAAUUUCAAUGUGGAAUCUAUGGAUAUGCUCGCCGACAGUGACCAGAGAAAAUGACUUAAAGCAACUAAAUGAUCAUGAAUUACAGAAAAAAAUUCGCAGUAAUUGAAAAAUCGAAAACAGAAACGCUUGCAAUAAGAGAUCUAAGCAAGCAAAGGCCGCCGGUGCUGAAUGUAACCACCCCAAACAAAUACAAACAAAUAUCCGUAGUUACGAGCAACAGAAACAUUAAUAAACUAAUAAAUUUUCAGCUUUUUAGACUAAAUGGUCUUUUAGUUUUAUUUGAAAUUUAAAAUUAAUAGAAAUAAUUUUUAAAUUUGUUCACUAUCAAUUAUUUUAGUUUUUUUGUAAAAAAUUAUAUUAAAUAAAAAUAAAAUGAUAAAAAUAUCAUCAAUUUAAUAAAUCAUGGGUCAAAUGAUUUGAUAAAAAUUGAGACUGUUUUUAUCAUUUUAGCUUUAUUUAAUAGAAAUUUUUUAUGGAAUGAUUAAAAUGAUUGAUUGUUCACAAACUUAAGAACUAUUUCUAUUAAUUUCAAAUUUCAAAGAUUAAAAUAAAAAAUUACAAAUCUUGAUCAUUUUAACUUUUUAAUUUUUUAAUUUUUUUUCUGAUUAUGACCAAAUCUAAUCACAAACAUAUAACAUGGACGGCUAAUAUCAAUUAAUCUAGGAUCCUCACAAAAAGGAUUUUUAUCCGCCUCACUCGACUCCCACCUCCCACACCGAACAAUGCGGAUCCAGUUUUUCUCCUACUUUCCGAAUUCAAUCCUAUGACGACAAACACAACACGCUAAUACAAACAGUAUGCGCAGUACGCGUCUCCCUCCCCCUAUCUUACGCACCCCCCCUUUCCCUCCCCCUCCUGCGCACCUCACUGUUCCAUUGCCGCCAUCUUCUCCGCCACGAAAAACACUUUUUUGAAAAUCCGACAAAAUCUGCCCGACUUUUUUUUUUUCAAAUAAGUCGGCCGCAAUAAGAUCUAAGCAAGCAUAGGCCGCAAGUGGCUCAAUGUAACCACCCCAAACAAAUACAAACAAAUGCCCUUAAUUACCAGCAACAGAAAUAUUAAUAAACUAAUAAAUUUUCGACUUUUUUGUCAAAAUGAUUAUUGAGAUUUGCAUGAUUAUCAAUUUAAUUUCUGAAAUUUUAAAUGAUACUUAAAUUUGUCCACCAUCAAUGAUUUUACUUCUUUCAUGAAAAAUUAUAUUAAAUAAGGAUUAAAAUGAAAAAAAUUCUCAAUUUAAUAAAUUUUUUCGAUAAAAAUUAAGAGUAUUUUUGUCAUUUUAAGUAUAUUUAAUGAAGAUUUUUCUUGAAAUAACUAAAAUAAUUGAUUAUAAACAAACUCAAAAAUUACUUCUAUUAAUUCCAAAUCUCAAUAACCAAAAUAAAAAAUUAUGUAAAUCUCAAUGUCUUUUUCGUCUUAUUUUUUUUAUAAUUGUGACUAAGCUAAUCACAAACAUAUAACCUGGACGGCUAAUAUCACUUGAUCUAUAGGGUCCUCACAAAAGGAUUUUCAUCCGCCUCACUCGACUCCCGCCUCCCACACCGAACAAAGCGGAUCCAGUUUUUCUCCUACUUUCCGAAUCCAACCCUAUGACGACAAACACAACACGCUAAUACAAACAGUAUGCGCAGUACGAGUCUCCCUCCCCCUAUCUUACGCACCCCGCCUCCCUCCCCCUCCUGCGCACCUCACUGUUCCAUCGCCGCCAUCUUCUCCGCCACCAAAAACACCCUUUUGAAAAUCUGACAAAAUCUGCCCGACUUUUUUUUUUUUUUUUUUCAAAUAAGUUGAUGGAUUCAGAUAAACCCAGCAGCUUAUUUCUGGGUAAGGCGAUGAAGCCCACGUGGGCAUCUCUGCUCCUCGUACUCACCAUCAUGGUUGUCUUUUCCUACCAAAACUUCUCGACCAUGUCGAGGCUUCCGACAUGGGUCGGGUCGAUUUGGCCAACUGGAGUAUCCGAAACCCGAUUGGAUGCCCCAGCCAGGAGCUGUGCCGGGUUCUUCGAGGAUGUGCCGAAGCGGAAGGUGGUGAUGUCCAUCGAAGCUUUCGGUGGCGUUGGCGACGGAACCACCUCCAACACGGAAGCGUUUAGGAGGGCGAUACUCCACAUGCAGGCUUUCGGUAAUACCGGUGGGUCCCAGUUGAAUGUCCCCAAGGGGAGAUGGCUGACGGGGAGUUUUAACCUCACCAGUAAUUUCACGCUGUUCCUUGAACACGGCGCUGUAAUUCUCGGCUCCCAGGUAAAGUAGUCUCUGUUUUUGCUUUGUUUGUUUAACUAUUUUACCCUGCGGAAUAUUUGCGGGUUAAGUCAGUUGGUCAGGACAAUAUAUUUACGAGCUUGAAUUUACUUUCUCGUAGAUUCAAACAGUAGUUAGAAUAUUGUCUUUGUAAAAGGAAAAAGAGAGUUGAUUUGUGUGGUUUGUUAGCUAAUACCAUUAUUCAUUUCCAUAUGGUGACGACGAAUACAACAACGGUUGAUUUGUGUCAUUUUUAUUCAUAGGAUCCGAAGCAAUGGCCUGUAAUCGAGCCAUUGCCUUCUUAUGGAAGAGGGAGAGAGAGGUUAGGAGGAAGACAUAUAAGCCUUGUUCAUGGGGAUGGUCUCACAAAUGUUGUCAUUACAGGUACCCAAAAAACCCUUCAUUUAUUUUCUUAUUCAUUUGAGUUGGCUAAGUAGUUGUACCAGUCUUUAAUUUAAAAGUUGAUAGAUUAUUAAUUUUGGUGGACAUAAAAGCUUUUCAUCAAUGAAUUAGUUUCUUGAUAGCAACUAACUCACGUUUUAUGCAUUGUUUUUUGGAUCCUGACGUUUGUAUGCAAUGAAUUAGUUUAGUUCAAUUUGCUUGUUGCCAUCGCUAUUAGGUUUCCAAAAUAUCUGUCCUCUCUUUGAUACAUAAUUUUUUUUUGUAAUUAUAUUUUCCGGAGGGUGCUUUGCGAACGAUUAUUUGGGUCCUUUCAGGUCAUAACGGGACAGUUGACGGUCAGGGAAAAAUGUGGUGGGAACUAUGGUGGAACAGAACAUUGGAGCACACCAGAGGUCACCUCCUUGAAAUAAAAAACUCUCGCAACAUUCUCAUCUCGAACCUCACCUUCCGCAAUUCUCCUUUUUGGACCAUCCAUCCUGUUUACUGCAGGUCUACAUCCCCUGCCUUUUUCCUCUUCGUUCUUGUUGUUUUCUACUUGUUAUCUAUUCAAGUUAAUGCUAAUCUGUAGUUUAUUGGAAAUCCAAAACGAUAAGAUUCUGUUAUAAGCUCAUUAUUCUGUGUUUGUUUCAGUAACGUUGUUAUCAAGGACAUGACAAUCUUGGCCCCCCUUAACGCUCCUAAUACUGAUGGUAUAGACCCAGGUAUGCUCCUCUUCUUUCAAUUUAACGUAACAUCUAUGCAUCUAAAUUAUUUAUUAAAUUUAACAUUGAGAAAAGUAUGAUACCUUUUUUGUGCAUAUAACUUGUGCAUGAUGUUUAUAAAUCAAGUAUGUUCUUGUUCUUCCAAUUUAGCACAAUGUGCUUCAUCUAAAGUCUAAACUAAUCAAGGAAGUUGGCUUUGCCACCAUAUAACAGGAAAGAUAAACAAAAGCCCAAUUCAAGAAGUUAGCGUAAAGAAGCAUGUCUCUUUAGAAAAUUUAACUUGUAUUUUGUGUUUCAGAUUCCAGUACUAAUGUGUGCAUUGAAGACUGUUACAUUGAGAGUGGCGACGAUCUUGUAGCAGUGAAAAGUGGGUGGGAUCACUAUGGAAUCAAAAUGGCUCGUCCAAGCUCAAACAUAAUAAUUAGAAGAGUUAAUGGCACCACUCCAACUUGCUCUGGAGUGGGAAUAGGUAGUGAGAUGUCUGGUGGGAUUUCAAAUAUCACCAUUGAGGAUUUGCAUGUUUGGGAUUCCGCAGCUGGGGUGCGGAUCAAAUCUGAUAAGGGUAGAGGGGGUUACAUAGCGAAUGUUAGUAUAAGUAACUUAAUGAUGGAAAGGGUGAAGAUACCCAUAAGGUUUAGUAGAGGGGCGAAUGAUCACCCAGAUAAAGGAUGGGAUCCCAAAGCUGUUCCCCAUGUAAAGGGGAUUUUUAUUAGUAACGUGCUGAGUUUGAAUUCAACGAAAGCCCCAGAAUUGAAGGGCAUUGAGGGGGCAUCAUUUGAAAGGAUAUGCUUUAAGAAUGUCACAGUACUUGGUCUGGCUCCAUCUGCAGUGUGGCGUUGUGAAUUUGUUUCGGGUUUUGCAGAUGGGGUAUUUCCAGUGCCAUGUCCUCAGAUGGAGGAUAUGGGCUCGUUUGACUCUUGUAUGCAGCGGUGAGUUUCUUUGGAUGGCUUUUGGGUACAUUUUUGCAGAUACGAGGUCUAAGGUUGGAGGGUGAAGUCGAAUUACUCUGCAGAAGUUGGGUCUGCUUUUGGAAAUGAAUGCGAACCACAUUGUGGAGAUGGGCAUAAUCAGCUAAGGCAUUUUGUAAGUGAGAUGUCUAGCUGCUGGUGUUCAAUUUGCACAUAGAGAUGCAGUUUUCUUGUGUAUUGGAUCCGUUGUGCACAAGCUAGAUGGGUGAUCUCCAGAAUUUACUGACCGGGUUACGUUGCUGUGGUCUUUAAUUAUUAACCUCGAGAAUGAUUAUUUAUUUAUAACUGCUGCCUGCGGUGGUGCUACACAUACAUACUGAGAAAGUAGAGAUGAUAGCGAUGGUGAAAACCGGAGAUAAAGCUGAACUGAACUUGUAUAGAAAUGAUACAAGGGUAAUGUAACAUUGUUUUGUGAACUUCAUAUUCAUUUCGUUUAUGAUUGAUUUAUGUUAAGAAUUUACAAGAUAUGUGAGUGUAUAUCCAGUUCAUAUAUCGUUCAAGAUACCAGGUAUUCAACCAAAGGUGAAGGAUCGUCGAAGCUUUUCAAUUAACAAGAAAUUCAGCUAGAUAGACACAUACAGUAUUGCAUAUUUGCUGCGUACAUUGUAUGAUUUAAGGUUGAGAGAAAAUUAAUAGAUUUGGACGGAUGGUUGGUUGUCCAUUUUGUCUGGGUGAUCACCAUUUCCAGAAAACAUUGGAACCACACUUGUACUUGUCCUUGCCUUCGCACUCCAAACUCAGAUCAUCAGAGAGAAAUGGUACUUUCUGCAUCCAUACGUACAUAACACCAAGUUUAAUUAAUUAACCAAAUUCACUAAACAUUGGUGAAACCAAAGAAUUUCAGCUCGCUAAUAAAUCGAUUAAAUAAAAUAAAACUAAUUUUAAUUAAACUGUAUUUAAGCAAGUUAAUUGUGAGUUUGAAGAUACCUUUUGCUUGGCGAGAUCUUGGCAGCCAGUGAAGUUCUCUGGGAACUUGCAUGUUCCAAAUUGAACAGUAAAUGCUCUUGCAAAGUUUGCACCGCUCGUUGCCAGCCUCUUCUUGUCAUUCAGUUCCUACAUAUAUAGAUACAACAAUAUAAUUCAUAUACAUAAUCAAAUAUAUUAUACAUACAUAUAUAUACACACACAUGUAUCUAUAUAUGUCUGUUUACAGAGGUUGUAGUUAGUUGUAGUUACCUUGUUGGCUUUGCUUUUUUCGAGGUAAUCAUCAAUGACACCGGCAUUGGCAGCGGAGUUGGACGAAACAGCGGUGAAAGCAACGGCCGCCAGGGAAAGCAGCGCAGCCCUUCUUCCAGCAGCUGCUUGACUAUUUUGUGUGCUAGGCUGUUGGGCCCUGAUUGCAACUACUUUGGUCUGAGCAGCUGAUUCAACUGAAGGCAUGCAAGUCGUCUUUGCUUUUGCAAGUUCAGAUAUUCCGGCACCGGAGACGGCAUAGUUGCAUGCCAACACACUAGAGUUCAUCGCUGCCAUUUGUUCCUCUCCUAGUUUCCUCUAUAGUUUUUGAGGAGAAGAAUGUAAUCUGGAUGUAUGAUAAGGAGUGAUUGUGGUGAGAUCGUGGCGGAUAAGGUGAGAUUGCGUUGCUCACAUCCUAUUGGCAAGCUUUGCACUUUCAUGCUUCUGCUACUAGUUUGGGUCAUUAUUUGGACUUGGUUUGUGUGGUGGCUUUGUGUUCUGGACCCACUUUAAUUCUACAUUUUUUGUGUGUGCGAAGGUAACAACAUUAUAUACAUUAUUAUUGAGAGAUAUACGUUGAACUGUAUAAUGUGUUUCACAUAAUAAUUUCGUAUUAAACUUGACGUCUACAAGAUUCGAAACUUAAAACCUAUCCCUUAAAAUAUGAUUGGAAAUUAGAAAAUCACAUCUUAUUCUUGGUGUUUGUACGCCUCUCCUACUAACAAUACAGUGAGCAAGAAAGGAACUAAACAUGUUUUUGGUGACGGAGACAUAACCCUAACACAAUAUUCACAAAUUUGGAAUACUAGGUAAUUACUUUGUCAUAAAGAAAUUCACUAUAACUCUAAUGUGAAACUCCCUAAUGUCGGAGACAUUUAGGGGGGGUGUAUUCAAUUGGGAUUUUAAGGGAUUUUAAUUCUUUUAAUGAAUCUAGGGGUAUUCAAUUAGGAUUUUAAGUGAUUCUCUUAAAUUCUAGGUGUAUUCAAUUAGAAUUUUAAAAUAGUUUAUUAAAAUCCUUAGAAAUCCAAGUGUAUUCAAUUAAGAUUUUAAAGAAGUUUAUAACAUUCCAGGUGUAUUGAAUUAGAAAUUGAUUUUAAAGAAUUGAGAAAGUUGAGGAAUUAGAGGGAAUUGGAGAGAUUUCGUAGUGUAUUUUAAGUAUCCACAAAUCUCACCUCUUCCCAUGAGAUUUUGAGGGAAUUGAAUCAAAAUUUUAUAUGGAAUCUCUACAAAUCAAUUAAACUCCAUAAAAAUUCAUGGAUUUAUAAAUCCAUUAAAAUCUUUCACAUUCUCAAUUGAAUACACUCCCCUUAGUGUCGUUAUGGACCUUAAAAAUUACACAAAACUAACGUGGCUUGCAAGCCCUAAAUCUAAAACCUAACUAUUUUCUUUAGAAAUGUGGUGUGAAUGCAGGCGUGCCAAUACGCGGCCGAACAGACAAGCAUAUACUUUGUUCUAGAUAUUCCUCUCGACCAGAUCACUUUACCCCUAUGGAAACCUUUCUCAGACAGUUACCCCACGGUCGAGCCAUCGACCUGAAUAAUGAAGAUACCUCUUUCAUGGAUCAAGUCUGGGACAACGUGUGCUGAAGAUGCGUGCGUUGAUAAAGAACCCCCGGAAAAGUUUACGAUUCAAGGAGCGGGCAAGACUGUCCAGACUACAGGAUCAUAGGAAAAAUAUCAAAGAUACUCACCAAUUUCAAAAACCCGGCCAUCCAGGCAUCACCAAGAAUGGCUGGCCAAGGUCCAAGCAUGCUGACCUGAGAAAUUGCUCCAAAAGCACGCCGUGGGAACCCAUAGAGAACCCAAGGUCUACUCCAACAACCGCACAACACUUUCAACCAUUCUAUUUCAACUAUAUAUCCUUUAGAGCUUUCGUCAAAGAUCACCACACACAAAUGAGUCCUAAAACAUGCCUUAUCACACGUUAAAAUGCGGUCUAGUGCUUAAUAUAUAGGCAGGCAGUGUCAAGUAGGCGAUAUUCUUUUACAUGAGAGACAAAACGACUUUACAUUUUUUUUUUUUGAGAAGUAUGUCUCUAAUGUAAAUGAAUUUCGCCCACCUAUAUAGUAUGACUAAAAUGUCCAAAAAUCUAUAUCGUGUUGUAAAUAUUAUGUGGAUGGUCCACAUGAAUAGUUUGUUACUAUUUAUGCACAUUAUUUUCACUAUUCAUUUGUGGAAAAUUUGUAAAGUGAAUAGUGCUUUCUUUUGUUUAUAUAAAGGAAGAAGAUGAGAUGAAGUGAGGAGGGUUCACGGGAGAGAAAAGGAAAAGGAAGAAAGGAAGAGAGAGAGAGAGGAAAGAAGAGGAAGAGAGGAAGAAGAGGAAGAUGAGGGGGAGAUAAUAAAGAGAGUUAUCUUUGUACUCCUAUUAUUUCAAAUUAUAAUGAAAGCACCACUGCUGCCCCGAGGACGUACUCCAGUCACACUGACUGUAGAGGAACCUCGUAAAUUUUGUGUCUUGUUUCAUUUAUUCCACUGCACCCACAGUCGAUUUUACAACACGUUAUCAGCACGAGAAGCUCUCAUGUCAGUGGAAAGCACAACGCCACAAAUCCUGUUCACCUCCUUCAGCUGGAAUCUCACAGAUAAGAAACAAUUUUCAUUUCAUCUUCAAAUCUCAGUACAAUUGAUUUUCUUGAAGCAACUAUAUAUAUUGUUGUAUGACUGUAUAUCAUCCUUUGCAGAAGCAAAAGAGUACAUACUCAAAAUUCAUAAAGAAUUUGACAGCCAUGUAAACAGCCUCUGAACUCCAACUUGCGGACCUCGGAUUAAAAUACUUUCUUCUUGAAAGUUGUUCGUCCACUCAGUAUUUACAACAUAUCAAAAUUUCAGAAACUUUAACGGUGCGAUCGUUGCAGAUGUCUGAAAUACUAAACCAGUUUCCAAUUUCCGCAGAAAACUGGACAGCCACCUUAUGAGUACCAUAACUCUAUUUCUGUAGCUCAAAUCGAAAUUGUUUCUUCACGAAAGUUGUUUGGUAUCCUCUUAUCCAUAUCAUACUAAAAUUUGAACUAAAUCUAACGGUUUGAUCUUCUCAUAAGUUGCAGACACUCUUGACUCCAAAACUUAUGGGAACCGUUUCGACUUUUUCGAAACUCACCGGAGGAGGAACACCAAUUGGAACUUAUUGUUACUUUUACUUCCUGAGUAACUAAAAGGACUUGUUGUUGUGAAAUGAAAACAUUAAUAAAAUAAGGACAAUUUGGAUGGGUGCCCCGACAGAAGUGAAGGGAAGAAAUAAUAAAAAAUAAUAAUAAAGUUGAUAGUGGGAAGUUGAUGAGACCAUCACCAUUAUGAAAAGAAAUAAUAAAAUUAUAUAUUUAUUUAUGUGCAUGGUGUUGGUUUAAAGCCCAUGUCACAAGUUCUAUUUAUUUAAAGCAAUUUAUUUAUAGUGGGUAGAAUUAUUACCCUUUGCUUUAAAGCUUUGAUAUUUAUGUGAAUGGUGCUGAAUCAAAGCCCUUGUCACAAGCUUUAUUUACUUUAAAGCAAUUUAUUUACCAUGGACGGUUUUACCGCCUAUUGCUUUAAGUUUUGAUGGUGCUGAAUUAAAGCCCCUGUCACAAACUUUAUUUACUUAAAUGCAAUUUAUUCAUUAUGGCUGGAAUUACCGUCUAUUGCUUUAAUUUAUUUAUUGUACUUAUCUUUUGUUACAAUGAGUAUAUAUAGGAUCUAAAGUUCAUUGAUCAGAUCAGAACCUGCAGUUUCUUGAUCCUCAUCAUAUAAAAAUGAUUGGACCUGAAGUUCCAUCACGCAAAAAGAUUAGGUAUGAAGUCCCUUGAUCCUGAAGAUCAAGACAUGAAGUUCCUAGAUGAGUACCGUAAGUUUGAAGUGCCGCAGUGCCUUAACUUAAUUGUAAUAAAAGCCAUAAGAGUCUCAGUUUACAGACUAUUAAAUAAGGACAAGAAGUUCCUUAUGUCCAUACUCAAAAUGGUUUAGCAGAAGCCUUUAUUAAGCGAAUGAAAUUGAUUUCCCGCGCUCUGCUCAUGAAAACGAAAUUGCCAAUUUUCUACAUGGGAACAUGUAAACUUUACAUGAUGCAUUAUUAAUUCGGUUGAGACAUGUUACCAACCAUCAAUACUUCUUAGUACAACUCAUGUUUGGGAACCAGCCAAGCAUUAUACAUCUACGAGUUUUUGGUUGUGUUAUCUAUGUGCCUAUUACACUGCCACAACGUACUGAAAUGAGACAUCAUCGCUGAUUGGGUAUUGAUGUUGAACACUAUCUAUCAUUCAAUAUUUGGAACCCUUGACUGGGGAUAUGUCUACCGCAUGAUUUACGGACUAUGAUUUUGAUAAGACAGUUUUCCCGCCAUUAGGGGGAGAAAAUAACAUCGUUCCAGAAGAACGAUGAGAAAAUAUCAUUCCAGAAGAAUGAUGAGAAACGACCGUUCCAGAAGAACGAAGAUAAUUUGUCUUAUUCACGAAACAAACAAUGAGAAAAUGAAAUUGAAAUAAUUGAAUGAUGCAACGAAAGUGAUGAAAUCACAUAUACUUACUGCAAAUGUGCCUAUAAGAAUUGAUGUCCCUGUUGGACAAAAUAAUGAGACAGUAAAUGAUUUAUCUAUUGCACGCCUGAAGCGUGGCAGAUUUUUAGACUCAAAAGGUUCAGUUAUUCGAAAGAAGAAUAAUAUGGCACUACUGAACUAUUGCAUUCCCGAAGCAUAACUGUUGCAUGCCAGAAGCAUGACAGUCGCCGCAUGGAUACACGUCCCAGAUAGGACAAUCCACAGACAUAGGAAUAUUGAUGUCUCAUGCAUGUAGCAUGAUAGACGUAUAGGUUCCAAAGACUCAACUCCCGGAAGUGGAGAUUAAAAUCCAAGCUCUAUAAUGCUCAAGAGGAGGUUAUGAUCCACAUUCUCUAAAUUAUGACUAUCCUGGAAGAGAUAGCGUCAUGCCCUUGAAGAGGCAAUGGAUAUCCAAAGAAAUGAAAAGUUUUUAUGCAUGCGCGUGCACAUGAGAAUAUGGGAUCACGGAUUGAUGAUAACCAAUGGUAAUUUUGGUUUUUACAAGUAGCUACUAAAUUCAUCAAUGAGCUGUGUUAAUAUUGAGUCACGUUCUUUUGUUCGUCGACAAAAGAAAAAUUAUUGGCCAAAAUGGAGAAAGGCAAUUCCAUUACAAUUUUGUAAGAACGUGGGCAAAUGAACUAUAUAUAUUUGAAUACAAUACAAAUAGCCAAAAGAUGUUGAACCAAGGAGGUUACAUAUCGGCAUUUGUAAUACACUCACAUAAUAUGACACAAGGUUACUAAUUGAAACCUGAAAUUAUACUCUUGUAAACGAGUUCAUAUAAAUGGAGAAUAAUAUACGAAGGGUUGUGAGUCGCCCACAUCAUAUCUCCAUAAGUAAAUCCCUCAAGUAUACAUGGGAGCAAAUUGCUCUGUAUAAAUUCCAAAGGAAAAUGUGUCAUGAAGUGUAGAAAAUCCUUGAAGGAUUCAAAUUGCUUGAAGUAAGCCCCUGAAGGGUAAAGCAUAAAAUAUAUACUCAAUAUCAAUGGAUGAUAUAAAUUGCCUUAGUGAGUACUAUCAUUAUGAUAUUGUUGCAACAUACUAAAAUCUCUUGCAAGAGUCAAUGACAUUAAAUUAGAACUCUUGAAGAGUUGAUGAUAUUAAAUUGGGACUCCUGAAGAGUCUAGAAAAAUUAUAAAGUGUUGAAGGAAUUAUUGUCUCGAGCUGCAGAUUGAACAAUCUACCAACACGAACCUUAUCCAUGAUAUUUAUGAUAUUAAAAGAACCAUAUGGAUUGAAGAUUAUGAGUUGAAUGCUCAUAUGAUGAAGACACUAAGAAUAAUCAUUUAUCUUCGUGAGGGUAAAGAUAAAUUAAUACUUGGUCCAGAAGUACCACAUCUUAGUGAAGUAUAUGCUUUAUUGUAUUUGGCACAAUACAUUGAAUGAAAUAAAGCUUAUUUAUUAAUAUCUCCAAGAAAUUACAGAUAUGUACAUACACAUGAGUUAAAACAAACAAACAGGAUGGAGCCUUCACAAAGGUUGCUCAUGUGAAGCCUCAGUACUCGGAAGUACCCCAGAAGGGGGAGGCACUGGAGAUUGAUCAUGUGGCACCCCAGUACUUAGCAAAACACCAGAAGGGGAAGGCAUCAGUUGCUUUCGGAAUCUAGCAACGAACCUCUGGUGAUCACUUUGAAUCCGACUUUCAGAUUCCUGCAGUUGGUCGAGCUUUCUUUUCAUGCUCGUAGAGUAACUAUUUGCAAGCACGUGUAACACCCUAUUCUCGUGCUUGAGCCCUCUGAUCUCUUGUUUAAGACUUGCCAUCUCCGCCAUCAAUGAUUUAACUUCGUGAGUUUGAGCAAGUAGGCGUUGGCCCAUAUUGGAAACAGAGCCAGCACACUGAACACUGAGAGCCAAGGAGUCUUGAACGGCCGACUCUUCAGACCGUUCUGAAAGGAUCUUGUUAUCCCUUGGAGUGAGAAGAUUCCUAGCUACCACAGUAGCGGUUAUGUUAUUCUUCAUCACAGAGUCCCCAACCGUAAGAGGACCAUUAGAAGAUAAGAAGGACGGGCGCCAUAUAUUAUCAUGACGCUGCUCGUCUGUAUCACUCCUAAGACUCAAAUCUAAGCAAAUGUUAGAUGGGCAAGUCAUUUUUCAGAAAUGAUGAAGGAAAAACAGAGGUCAAAUAAAAUUUCAGAAGUGCAAGAAGGUGGAAAUUUCUCAGGCAGCAACUUUCUGAGCAUACUCUUGAACGCAAUUGAUGUCUCUAUAAAAGAAGAUGCAACAAAGCCGCUUGUUCAAAGAUCGAAGCGACACGGCUCUCCGAAUUUCAAAAAGCCAGAUUUUCCUGAAUAAAGUUCGUUGGCAGUUUUCAGACGUAAUCCCAGCUUUUCAGAUGUCGCGUGCAAUUUUGUCAAAGAUCUCUGACAAAGUUGAAAACGCGUAAAUCUUACUGUUCUAUUUACACCACAGUUGCUGACAAGAGUAAAAGCACAGCACCACUACUUGCUAUUGAGAAAUCUCUAUAUAUGUCGACCUCUGUCUCCAUAACAAGGCAAACCUGCAACACUGCAAGAAUACCUAACUCUUCCUCAUCUCCGAGAAUGCAUCUUCAACAUAGCAUCUCGAAAUACUCAGUUUUCUUCCUCUCCGAAAAUACCUCUUCAAACAUGUCACACCAGAGCAAGAUUAUCACAUAUCUUCAGGGACCAGAGCAAGAUUAUCUCAUAUCAUGCAAUCUCCCUGUCAUUUCCUUUGUCCUUGUUCUUGCCUGCAAAGACAAAGAUCAAGAAAGCAAUAUGUCGGAACCUCCACUCAAACUCCCGGUAAGGAACCGACUGCCUGGAACCUUUCCUGAUUGCUUACCUAGUAUUGCUCUCGAGUAGUCAUCUUCAACGGUUGGAGCUGGGUCUCCAGUCACUAAGAAGUGAUGAACCAUUCAAAUGCAAGGGUUUGCAUUCGUCUCCUGCAUCAGGGGACAAAUCCUACAAGAGAAGAUGCCACACAUGUAGGGGAAAAACAGGGAAAAUACCACUUAAGCAAGGGGAGCAAGUAAGACAAGUGAAAAUGAUACAUUGAAGCAUGUGGAGACAAGCAUAACAAACACGUGCUGAUUCAUCCCCGACAAAACCGAAGAUCAUUUGCCACAUGAAGCUCUUAACGGUACAAUUUCAUGUAAGAUCAAGCCUCGAAGUCCUUGAAGAAAUCACAAGUCUGAUUCAAGAUCAAGUGUCCACCACUUUUGAAUCAAAUUCCGCUCCAGAGCAAAGGAGUAAAUUCAGACCUUUGGAUGCAAGUCUAGCAGAAAGUCCUCUAGCCCAGUUCAAGAAAAAGCCUGUGGAAAGUUAACAACAAGUAAAGCAAAUCUUUCAGCAACUCUUCUUACUAAGAGACUAAAGCAGAACAAUCAACGAUCAACCUAAAUGAUUUGAAAUCAGUAGGAGAUACUCAUCAGGGGGAGCAUCCAAGACAGAUCAAGAUUUUAACGAGUCAAUCGAAGACUUGUGGCCAUCCAAGGGGGAGUGUUGUAAAUAUUAUGUGGAUGGUCCACAUGAAUAGUUUGUUACUAUUUAUGCACAGUAUUUUCACUAUUCAUUUGUGGAAAAUUUGUAAAGUGAAUAGUGCUUUCUUUUGUUUAUAUAAAGGAAGAAGAUGAGAUGAAGUGAGGAGGGUUCACGGGAGAGAAAAGGAAAAGGAAGAAAGGAAGAGAGAGAGAGGAAAGAAGAGGAAGAGAGGAAAAAGAGGAAGAUGAGGGGGAGAUAAUAAAGAGAGUUAUCUUUGUACUCCUAUUAUUUCAAAUUAUAAUGAAAGCACCACUGCUGCCCCGAGGACGUACUCCAGUCACACUGACUGUAGAGGAACCUCGUAAAUUUUGUGUCUUGUUUCAUUUAUUCCACUGCACCCACAAUCGAUUUUACAACAUAUCGUUAAUUUUCUUUCUUUAAAGGAGAAACAAACCCAAAAUUAUUUCACCUUCAAUCGGCAGUGUAAACCCAAGCAAACAAGAAAAUAACAACAUGCACGUCAAAACAUGAAAAUAAAUCAAACCCUUAGAAACGCAACGGACAGAACGUAAGGCAAUGUUGUGGAAUGGAAAGGCUCUGGAGCCUUUGGAAAUGCACUGUAAAGUGCAGACUUGGCUACAUGAAUUCCAUAAGUCACUGGGCAGCCAUGGAAGCAGCCAGAAAAUGGGUGGAUUAAAAGUAAUUUUGAUGCGGCAUGGGAUGAACAGUUAUAGAUUGGAGGAGUGAGGGUAGUGAUACGGAACGACAAAGGGGAAUUCAUGGCUGCAGUAGCAAUGAGAGUUGAGGGAAUUGGUUCUCCAUUGUUGGCGGAGAUUAUGGUAGCAAGGGAAGCAGUGAUUUUUUCUCAACACUAGCAGACUACAGACGUGGAAGUUGAAGGGGAUGCUCUGAUGGUGACCACGACACUUCAACAUGAAAGCCUAAAGGAUUCAUCUCCUUUUGGGCACAUUAUUGCAAAUACUAGACAGAUUUUAAGUGGUUUUUCUCAAUGCAAGGUUACCUUUGACCGAUGCUCGACGAACAAGAUGGCACAUAGGUUGGCUAGAUUGGGUUUAGCCCUUGAUACUCCGGUAGCUUGGUUUGAGGAACCUUUUGAUGUAAUAAUAGAACUUUACCCACUGGUUCUCUUGCCACGGUCACCCACAUUGGACAAUUUGUCUUCUCUCCCAACCUUGUGCUUGAUAAUGUUUUGUGUGUCCCAUUUUUCAAAUUAAAUUUGAUAUCCAUUAGCAAGCUCGCACAUGAUUCCCUCUAUAUUACCAUAUUCCUACAACAAUUUUGUGUUAUACAGGACCUACGCUUGGGGAAGAUGAUUGGGACAAGAAUUGAACGGGAUGGACUAUACUAUCUUGAUCCACCAAAGAAAGGAACAUGCAACACCAUUCAAACAUCUAACCAUCAUCUUUGGAAUCAACGCCUAGGACAUCCAUCACAAACUGUUUCCAUGUUAUUUCCUUUUUUUCAACACAAAUCUUGUGAUUCUAAUAAAUGUGUCAUUUGCCCAUUAGCCAAGCAAACAAGAGCACCAUUUUCAUUGAGUUCCAUAUCCACUAAAUCACGUUUUGAAUUGAUAUAUGUUGAUAUCUAGGGGGUAUCAUGUUCCUUCUCUUUCUGGUGCAAAAUACUUUCUCACUAUUGUUGAUGAUUACACCAGGAGCACAUGGAUUUAUUUGAUGAAACACAAAUCUAACACACAAUAGCUCAUUGUACAAUUUGUCCAUUUGGUCGAAACCCAAUUCACUACCAAGGUUAAAAUGAUUCGAAGUGACAAUGGUCCCGAAUUCAAACUUGACAAUUUUUAUGCCAAACAAGGUAUCAUUCAUCAAACUAGUUGUGUGAACACCAUAACAAAAUGGUGUUGCUGAACGUAAACAUCGACAUCUAUUAAAUGUUGCCAGAGCCCUCCUCUUUCAAGCCAACAUGCCAAAAUGUUUUUGGGGGGACGCCAUCCUUGCUUCAGCCUAUCUUAUUAAUCGCACACCCACACCCCUUCUUCAAGGAAACACACCUUAUGAAAAGUUGUUCCAGAAAGCACCCACUUACUCACACUUACGAGUGUUUGGUUGUUUGCGUUUUGCUUGCACUCACGCACACAAACCUUCAAAAUUUGUUCCUCGUGCUCAUCGCUAUGUCUUUCUUGGCUAUCCAUAUGGUAAAAAGGGCUAUCGAUUAUUUGACCUUCAACUUAACAAAGUUUUUGUCUCACAUGGACGUGAUCUUUUUCGAAGAACAAUUUCCUUAUCACUCAAACAUUUCCACUGCUAAUCCACAGUCCUUCACUCUAACCAACUCAUUGUCACAAUUUUAUAUGGACUAUUUUCCUGCUCUAUCUCAUACGCCACACGACUCCCCCGACCAUGACUCUACCCUUUCUCCUAUCAACUCCCCACCCUUAGACACCCCACCUUCACCUUCCCCACCCUCAGAUAUCCCCGCGUCUUCCCCGUCCCCAGCCACUCCAACCUUAACCCUACCUUCUCCAUCCACACCACAAACAGCCUCGCCAACUCCACCCCGCCGUGGAACACGACCUACCAAACCUUCUACCUUUUUGCAGAACUUUCAUGUCGAGGUCUCUUUCCUGUCCAGGCCUGCUCCUACAUCUUCUACGAACGUGGUCCAGUCCUCGUCAUGUACUUCCCAUCAUCUCUCCACUUAUUUAUCCUAUGAUCGGCUCUCACUUCACCAUAAAGCAUAUACCACUAAUCUCACCCUCCUCAAAGAACCAACAAGCUUUUUGCAGGCUGUCUGAGAUCCAAACUGGCGUGAUGCCAUGCAACAUGAAAUUGCUGCUCUUCAAGCCAAUCAUACCUGGACACUCGUGCCUUUGUCGCUGCAUAAACGUCCCAUUGGAUGUAAAUGGGUUUACAAGAUUAAGCUUAAACCUGAUGGCACUAUCGAACGGUACAAGGCACGCCUCAUUGCCAAAGGUUACAGUCAAAUUGAAGGUGUUGAUUACCGCGAAACCUUUGCUCCGGUGGCUAAGUUAACCACAGUUCGCGUGUUUCUUCUUGUUGCCGUUGUGCAAGGUUGGUACCUCCAUCAACUGGAUGUGAACAAUGCCUUCUUAAAUGGUGAUCUCGAAGAAGAUGUCUACAUGACCUUGCCUCCUGGUUUCGGACGAAAGGGGGAGACUCGAGUUUGCAAGUUAAAUAAAUUUAUGUACGGUUUAAAGCAAGCUUCGAGGAAAUGGUUCAUUAAGUUAUCCAAUGCUCUCAAGGCCGCUGGAUUUCAUCAAUCAUGGUCCGACUAUUCAUUAUUCGUCCGAAGUCGUCAUGGUAACUUCAUUGCUUUAUUAGUCUAUGUCGAUGAUGUGAUAUUAGCAGGGAAUAAUUUGCAUGAAAUUGAAGAAACCAAGCAGUUUCUCUCUCAACGUUUCAAGCUGAAAGACUUGGGGCAACUCAAAUAUUUCUUGGGAAUAGAAGUUGCAUGUUCAAAGCGUGGAAUUACUCUAUGUCAACGAAAAUAUGCACUAGAAAUAUUGGAUGAUGUUGGGUUUCUAGGAGUUAAGCCUUCACGGUUUCCUGUGGAUCAAAAUUUGUCUCUCACACAAAUGGAAGGAAAGGUGUUGAAUGAUCCUUCAUCAUAUAGACGGCUUGUGGGCAGGUUGAUAUACUUGACCAUAACAAGGCUUGACUUGGCUUAUGCUGUUCACAUGCUAAGUCAGUUCAUGGAGAAACCUCGGCAACCACAUUUUGAGGCUGCACACAAGGUCCUCAAGUACAUUAAACAAGCACCUGGACAAGGAAUUUUUCUUCCUUCCACAAGUUCAUUGCAAUUACAAGCAUUUUGUGAUGCUGAUUGGGCUAGAUGUAGAGAUACUAGAAGGUCGAUAACGAGGUACUGUAUUUUGCUUGGUCAAGCACCUAUUUCCUAGAAAACUAAGAAACAAACAACUAUAUCCUGUUCUAGUGUAGAGGCUGAAUACCGUUCUAUGGCCAUCACAUGCUGUGAAAUCAUAUGGCUGAAGAAUAUUUUGAAGGAUCUAAGAGUGAAUCAUCCAUGACCAGUCAAGGUAUUUUGUGAUAAUCAAGCGGCAUUACACAUCGCUUCCAAUCCUGUUUUUCAUGAACAAACGAAGCAUAUAGAGAUUGAUUGUCACCUAGUACGAGAAAAGAUUCAAGAAGGAAUGAUACGCACGGCUUACAUAAGGACAAGUGAUCAACUAGCUGAUAUAUUCACCAAGCCAUUGAGUUCAACGCAGUUCGAAGUCUUACUUAGCAAGUUGGGUGUCAUUAACAUACACUCCAACUUGAGGGGGAGUGUUAAGGAAGAUAUCUCUAUUAAUUAGUCAAUAUUGUAAAUUGAUAUUGUAGUUAUUUACUUCCUUAUUUAGCUUCUGAUCAAGCCUUGUUUAUAGGCGAUAGUUUAGGAUCCUAUUGAUUGUAUAUCAUUGUAUAAGGCAGUAAACCUGUUUUGAAUGAUAUAUCGAAAAUCAUAAUCCCUUUCUAUGCUUCUUAUGAGUAACUUCACUCAAAAAGCCAUUUUUCCAUAUCUCAGAAAAUUGAAAUUUCAGACAGUAUUGCACAGACACACAAACCUGCAUAUGUUUAACCAUAAAGCAAGCAUAUGCCUAACAAAAUUACCCAAAUGAAAGAUCGUACGUUUUACAACUUUUGGGGGCAUGUGGCUAGGUCAUGGUGCAGGUGGAGCGUGCUGGAACCCAGUCCUUCAAAAUAAAUAUACGAAAUUGGACGUCAAAUUAUAAACAAAGAUGAGCAAAAAAAUUGUGUACUCAAUUACACUUACACAAGUCACACUAAAACUAAGAUUAUUCAUCUAUACUUUCAAAUAAUUUAUAGUAUUCUCGAGUAUUGAAUGCUCCGUCACGUAGAGCUUUUAAAUUUAAUCCAAUAAUUGUAAAAAAUAAUGAACAGUCUUUAGAUUACAUCUAAAGAGUUUAAGUGACAGAUUAUUCAGUAUUCUUAACUUUAGGGAGUGUUCUUAACUUUAGGGUUUAGGGUAACCCUAACCCUAUACUUUUGCUCAGUUUUAUUUUAAGACCACACGUGUUAAGAGUCACAAAACUCUUAAAAUACGCAAUAAAAAUUGAUAGCCAUUAAACUUUUAGAAAAUCAAAGUAAAAAGUCAAAUUAUUACCUGUCAUAGAAUUGUAAUCAAAACAUAAAUCAGCAGCAAUUUGAUCUGAAAAAGACCUGAAAAAUUUACAACAAACAAAUUUAACCAAAUGUUUAAAAUUGUAAGAUAUUAUCCACACUAAUGACCGGAGCAAUCUAGCGAAGAUCACAAAAAGCGACCGUUUUCGUUACCUAGGAUCUAUCUUGCAAGAGAACGGAGAAUUAGAUGGAGAUCUCAACCAUAGAAUACGAGCUGGAUGGAAAGAGUGCAUCCGGCGUGUUGUGUGACCGUCGUAGGCCAUUGAAGCUCAAGGGAAAAUUUUAUAGGACGGCAAUAAGGCCAGCGAUGUUGUAUGGCAGAGAAUGUUGGGUGGUGAAGCAUCAACACGUACACAAAAUGGGUGUAGCGGAGAUGAGGAUGCUUCGUGGGAUGUGUGGGCACACGAGAAAGGAUAAGAUUGGGAAUGAGGAUAUCCGAGGUAAAGUAGGAGUAGCCGAAAUUGUAGGAAAGAUGAGAGAAAAUCGGCUCUGGUGAUUUGGACAUGUGCAAAGAAGGCCGACUGACGCUCCGGUUCGAAGAUGUGACUACGGGACAGAGGUUCAGGGCCGAAGGGGUAGAGGAAGACCUAGGAAAACUUUGGAAGAGACUCUAAGAAAAGACUUAGAGUACUUGGAUCUAACGGAGGACAUGACACAAAACCGAGCGCAAUGGCGUUCUAGGAUUCAUAUAGCCGACCCCACUUAGUGGGAAAAGGCUUUGUUGUUGUUGUUGUUUAAAAUUGUAAGAUAUAAGAAUAAUAACAACUUUAUAAACUACGGAUCUUAAGCAUCUCUAAUGGAGUAGGUAAAUGAGUAGCUAAAUUUCUUUUGAUGAGCCAUCCAGGCAAAAUCUGGAGUAGUCAAUUGAGUAAGCAAACUUUGCCUACUCCUUUAGAGUAGACAACAUUGGAGAGAUGUUUUAGUGUAGCAGGAAUUCGCCAAGUACAUCAAAUGUCCUGAUUGCAUUGAAGAAGAAAAUUUUGACAAUUUAUAUUAUGAAACUUGAUGUACCGGAACGUAUUUCGGUACACUAAAAUACUUCUCGCAACAUUGCUUACUUUUAUAUGUGUAGGCAAAACUAGAACUCAAAUAUAUAUUUAUAAUAAAGUAUUCUAUGUGAGGGGAAGAUGCCAGAAAAGAUACAAGUGAAUAUCAAAUGUGAAAGACAAUAAUAAAAUAAAACUUUGCCUAUUUAGUUUGCUUAUCCUAUAGGACUGACAUAAUAUUUUAUGAGGCAAUUUACUAAGCAACUUGCCAUGUCAAUUACUAUGGUAAAUUUUUACCAAUUACUUUUGCUUACACCAUUAAAAAUGAUUAUGGGGCAUCGGAUACCUGGAAGGUUCAAACCCGAACCAGAUGUUGUGGGGGGUUGUGGACUUAGUGAGGGAGCCAUUGGUGGACAAGCAGUGAAAUCGUUUGUGCCUGAAAAAUAAAAACACAAAACAGUAAGAAAAAAAACACCCAAACUCUAGAAACUUGACCUCAGAAUCAGCUUUUGCACCACCAAAUUCAAGAAAGAAAAAAAGUUGAGAGAUUUAAUUAGUACAUUCAAGAAAAAUAAUAAAUAAUAAAUAAUAAAUAAUAAAUAAUAACGAUCAAAUAUUACCUUGGUGGUGGUGGUUCAACGGAGAAAAGAUGGUUGUGGGGUUUAGCUAGGAAGAGGAGGUCGUGUCUGGUGGUGGUGAUCAGUGGCAUUAGAUGAAGUGUUGCAUACAGAGAUUGUGUGAGCUUGUUUACCUACCCUGUAUACAAGGUUCUAAAAGACGCUAAGCGAUAGUCAGACGACAGGUUGGGGUCUAGUGCCUAGGCUCAUAGGCGGGGCUUAGGUGGGUGCCUAGACGGAUUUAAGUAAAUUUGUUAUAUUUCAUAUUAAUAAAUGUCUGUUUAUACUUAAAAAUAUAUAUAAUUAUAUCAUAAAUUACAAAAUAGAAUGACAUAUAUAUUAUAAAGUACUGAAACAUAAUGAAAACAUGGGGAACAAGCGUAUAAUGUGUGCUCAUUUAAGUAUUCAACAAGUCUCUUACAAUUUAUUUAAAAAAAUGCAAAAUGAAAGUUAUUUAUUUUCUGUCUAAGUGAGUUGCAACCUAGGCGGGUGUCUAGGUGAGUUUGGACGGGUUAGGCGGUUGCCUAGGAGGUCUAGACGGGUGCCUAAGCAGGACGAUGUCCAACGCCUAGGCAUUAGACGGACGAUGUCCAACGCCUAGGAGCUAGACGGACAAUGUCCAACCGCCUAGGCGCUAGACGGAGAUUUUUAGAACAGUGCCUAUAUAUCUAUAAACUAGUGUGUGCGUGUGUAUAUAUAUAUAUUUUUUACAAGAAAUAUAAUAGGCAACAACUUGUGCAAGUUCUUGCCUAUUAUAUUUACAAGAGUAAUCAAUUCAUCCUAUUCAAAACUAGACAAACUUUUCCCCUUCGUAUCAUCUUAUGAAGAGUAACUUCCACAAGUCGUUUCUUAUAGGUACAUUGUCGACAACUAUUAUAAAACAGAAUUAAAAAGAGAAACAAACGUAUUAUAACUAGAUAGAAGAGAAAAAUGCGAGAUGAGGGAGAAACUAGGAGAAUAGAGAUUGUACUAUUUCCUUGGGAAAAAUCCCUAUUUGCGCUAAUUACAUGAGUACAGUAAAAGGUGUUAACCUUAAUUACUCAUCAAACAAGUGCAUAUAUAAUAAAAAAAAUUAUCAUAUAUCCCUAAUCAAUAACUUGAUUAAGGUGAUCCGUAUUUACCACAAAAGGGGCAUUUUUCAUGUGUAGAAAACUUAUUUAUUAUUAUAGGAGCGACAACAUACAUGAAACUCAUUAUCCACGUAACAAUUAAAGAAUGCCGCCAUUUGAGGAUUUAGGUUUUGCUGCCCUUUGAAGAAUUAUGUUUGGAAGCCGAGUGGGAAUUACCUUUAAGAAGAUUCUUCCACCAAUGAGCUGAGAGUUUGUAAUGUCUUUUGAGUCCGUUUUUGUAAUCCACAUAGAUGAUACCAAAUCUCACAGUGUAACCGUUAACCCAUUCAAAGUUGUCAAGCAAUGACCACGCAAAGAACCCUUUCACAUUAGCGCCAUUCCUGCUCAAUCAAAUGUUAGAUACAAUCAUGUUCGUGAAAUUAUUGGCCAAGAAAUGAGAACAAAUCAAAUCUUUGCUUAAUUUUGUCAAGCAAUCACUUACUUAAUGGCUUCUUGAACGUAAUAAAGAUGCGAAUCGUAAUAUUUAAUUCUUUCUUUGUCAAUGAGAGAUUCCUCAAGUGAUAAUUUGGGAUCAUUUGCCUCGUCAACUCCUACAAAAAAAAAAUGUGAUGUUUAUUUAGUUUCAUAUGGAAAUAUAAAUGGCAAUACGUGUAUAUAUGUAUAUAUGAUUUGACAUAACUACCGUAACUACCAUUUUCUGUGAUGUAAAUAAUUGGAUUUUUAUACUUUAUCUUUGUGUAAGUUAACAGUUCUUGAAGUCCUUGUGGAUAAAUAUAAAGCCAAUCCGAAGCAGCCUACAGCCAACCAUAUGAAAUUAUGUGAGCUACAACAUGAUAUGAGGUAAGAGGGUUUAUAAGUUUAAUAUAUAUUAUUCAUUUUUUUGAAAAGGGGUGCAACUGGUGACGAACUACGGUUAUACACUCAUUAGGCCCACAGGAGGCUAACUGGGACUUGCAACUUACCCAUGAUCAUGAUCAAGCAGAUUCACAGUUUACGAACUAUCAAACUUAGGACUUCCCUUUUUUUUUUUUUUUCCUUUAAGAAGCUACUGUUCACAUUUUUCUAUUCUGCUAUUUGUUUUGGUUUUUUAAGUUUAAUAUAUGAACUAAUCGUGUAUAUAUAUAUAGUAGACGUACCAUUGGACCAAUGGGGACUCCAUUGCGGUUGUCUGCCACAAUAAUAUUCAUUUGUCAAAGUCUUGUUAGUGUGCUUUAAUUAAAAAAAUGAUCGGAAGCUAAUUAAAAUUAGCUAUUAAAAUUUUAAUAAAUUAAUUACUCACUUAAUGAUUCGACGUUGGAGUCGGUUGACUGGCUUGGCUGCUUUACAGACUUAUUGGCAGUAACAUCUUUUGCAUAAGACGAUGAGUAGUAAUUCAACCCAACAAAGUCAUAUGAACCUUUUAGCAUUUUGGAUUGCUCUUUGGUGAAGUUGGGCAAUCGAUUUCCAAUUAGGCGUUGCAUACUCUUUGGAUACCGACCGCUUGUCACCGGAUCCAUAAACCUAUAUUUAAAUAAAGAAUUUUAAACAUAUAUUAAGCAAGUUUUAAAAAAAUGUGAAUUGUAAAUCAAGUUAUCUAAUUAGUUUAACUGCUGUAGUAAUCUAAUUAUUUAGAAGAGAGUAAGUACCAUCCAUACGAAAAAUCAAGUGCUCUAACUGCAGCAUCUUUAUCUUCCGUUGAAUUAGAAAAUGGAACAGACCAACCUGAGUUAAGUGUUAUUCCGAUCACGCCCUUUUGUGUAGCCUGUGCAUGCAUGCAUAUUCAAUAUUAACAUUUGAUUUUAUGGAUAUAUGUAUGUGUGUGUGUGUGUGUAUAUAAGCGGCGAUCCCAAGUCAAUAAGGCUCCCCGCUUUGCGAGAGUCGGAAGAAAACCACUUAUCGUGCAUAACCUUACUCUUGCUUUGCAAAGAGACUGGUUUCACGACUCGAACUCAUGACCUUUUGAUCAUAAAGAAGCAACCUUUUAGUUGCAUCCAAGCUCACACUCGUAUAUGUUUAUAGAUAUAUAUAUAUAUAUAUAUAUAUAUAUAUAUAUGUAUAUAUAUGUAUGUAACUUACUUGAUACUUGUCUCUAUACACAUUUACAGCAGCUGCAUGAGCUAGAAGUUGGUGAUGUGCCGACAAAUAUGGCUCCGUUGCGGAAUUCCCACCCUCUUUGCAUUUUGUAUGGUUAGAGCAUCGGCCUGGAGCAAAUGCUCCAACUGUAUAACCCUGGACGCUAUAAGUUUGAGGCUCAUUUAACGUGAUCCAGUGCUUAAUUUUGUCACCAAACUCUUUAAAGCAGAGGUCUGCAAAGUCCCGAAAAUCACUCCUAUAUGAAAUAAAAUGUUUGUUUAAAUUUUGAACCUUAAUUAAUUGAGCAUUUCACGAGUUUAUAAGUGCUGAGGAAGUUCUUUCACGUACACACUGUUAGGGCUUAAGAAGCCAAGGUACUCAUCCUCCAAAGCCUGGGGAAAAUCCCAAUGAAAAAGUGUCACGAAGGGCUUUAUACCUGCAAUGUUUAAAAAUUAAUACGAUACAGAAAUAAAAAUGAUCAGUAAUUAGUAAUAUCUGUUUCUUUUUUGGGUCAAAUUAGUCUCAAAAGGGUCAUGGGCAUAACCAUUGGCUUGAAGCUCAUUGAGGAGAUUUUUGUAAUAAUUUAGUCCUUCCUUAUUCACUCCCCCACUUAGCGUUCCAUCUGAUAAAAAAGUUUUGGGGAGAAAGAAAAACAAUGUAGUACAUUAGAAGAACAGAAUACAACAACAAUCAAGUUUUAUCUCAUCAAAUGAGGUUGGUUGUAUCAUGUAUGAAUUCUAAAAUAUCAUUGUGCUUGGUUUUGCGUCAAAUCUUCCGCUUUUGCGGUCAUAUUUAUAUUAUAUAAUUAAUUAAAACAAUAGUCAAUUAAUUACAUUAUAUUGAUUGUCUUACUAGGUAACAAGCGAGACCAUGAGAUUGAAAAUCUGUAAAAAUCCCAACCCAUAUCCUUGAGAAUCCCAACAUCUUCCUGUAACAUGUCGAAGGAACCUUGUUAUUUUUCUUGUACUCAAAUUCUUAUAAUUAGUCUUCACUGCUACAUUCUUAAAAAAGAAUUAAAGGUAAAAAAAGUGUGACUUAUACCUUAUAGCGAUGAUAUGAAUCAACAGCCACAUCUCCAUUGCUGCGAUCCGUUAUUUUAUCUGAAUUAUUUUAUUUGUACAUAAAAUAUGUAAGCACCUUAUAAACUGAUUGGAAGCAAACCUAUUUGAUGAAAACAAUUUAGAUUUUGAGCGUUUUAAUCUAAUUUGCUCGGUAAAACAUUUAAAUAAAAACAAAACCUAAUUGCAAAAUACACUCUUGAAACUUGGAUCAGUCACUUUAAAAAUGAGUUUUUAUUACAAAUAGUCUCUGAGAUGAUCAAAGUCAUCAUUUUGGUCUCUCACUUUCAAAAUCAAUCAAUAUCGUCCCUGACAUUCACUAUCCCACAUCAAUUUGGUCAUUCCGUUAAGAUUUCGUCAACUCUUCUAUUAGUUUGUAUGUGAAACCCACAAUCCAAUGAAAUGGUGACACAUGGAUUAUACAAAAUAAUGGGUUUUGUUGCAAAUGGUCCCUGCCACUGAUCCAACUCCUCAUUUUGAUCUCUGAUUUUAAAAAAUCAAUAAAUUUGGUCAUUGACUUUCACUACCGCACAUCAAUUUAGUUCUUCUGUUAAAAUUUCAUCAAUAUUUUUCGUUUGUGUGCUGAUGUGGUCCCACUAAUCGAAUCAUAUGGCUCCAUAUGGAUUAACUAUAAGAAACUAUUUUUUACGAGUGAAGCAACAUACGAGUAUUUCGCGUUAACAUUUCUUGCAUCCCACAACCCUACUUGGAAAAAAAAUUCAAUCUAAAUUCGAUAAAAUCAAAUCCAAAUUCAAUUCACAUUUGAUAGGAUCAUAAACAACUAGAGAGAGUGAGGAAUGAGUUCAGGAGGCCAAGUACUUUAGUGGUGUUAUGGUGUGUUUUUUUCUUUUUGAGCAUAUCUUGAUGAGGACGACGAUGACUUUUUUUUUUUCUUUUAGUUUUGGUUUUUAGUUUCUUAUUUUACUUUUAGUUUUAAAUCUUAAAAAAAAAAGUUUCUUGUAGAUAAUCCACAUGGCGCCAUAUGAUUGGAUUAGUGAGACAACAAAUAUUGACGAAAGUUUAACGGAAGGAUUAAAUUGACGUUCGGUAUUGAAAGUAGAGAUCAAAUUUAUCGAUUUGUAAAACUUAAGGACCAAAAUGAGGAGUUGAAUCAAUGUCAGGGACCAUUUGCGAUAAAAAUUCUUAUGUUGUGUAUUCCACGUGUCACUAAUUCAUUGGAUUUGUGGGUCCCACAUACAAACUAACAGAAUAGUUGACAAAAUUUUAACGGAAUGAACAAAUUGAUGUGAAGUAGUAAAUGUCAGGAACGAUAUUGAUUGAUUUUGAAAGUGAGAGACCAAAAUGAUAAGUUUGAUCAAUCUCAUGAACUAUUAUGAUAAAAACCCUUUAAAACAAGAUGAUUUAAAAAAAAAUUCGCAUAAAACUUUAGAUUAACUAGAUAUUUGGUAGAAAAUAUGCAAGUUGUCUUUGAUUUCCGAUAUGUUAAUGUUGUAUGGAAGAAGAGGAGUAUGAAAAGUAAAAUAAUUCACAUACCUGGGUAUUUGUGAGUGAAUGUAUCCCAAACACAUGGUCCUCUACCCCCUUCCUUUGCAGCACCUUCAAACUAAUAGAAUUCCCGAACACACAACAAAUUAAACCCACCAUUCUAGUGAGAAUUAAUUAACCUUGAAAGAAAAAAAAAAAAAAAUUACGUACCUGGUAAGCCGCUCCGGCAGACCCAAAUAUGAAAUCGGAGGAAAAACUGCUCCGGUUGAAGAUGUGAUGAGCGUCACAUGAAGCAUAGUCUUUGGGAUGAUUUUGCUUGGCAGAUUUACUAGUUGUAACUGCACAGCCAAGAACAAGCAGGAGGAUGAAACCUAACUUAAUCAUGAUGUUUUGAUGCUGAUUUUUAAUUUUUUUUUUUAAUUUGAAUUCUAGGGUUAGCUAUUGGCCCUUUAUAUAUACACAUAAUUUUUCUAGCGGAAAAAAUCAUGAUAGGAUUGAAAGACUAAAUUUGAACAUAUAUUAUCUGUCUUUUUUGGUCGAAAGAAAGAUCUCAUUAUUAUUAUUUUUUUUUGAGAAAGUACGAUAUUCCAAUAAUGAGAAGAUCUUAUUAAACUCGAAUAGAAACAAAUAUUAUCUGUCAACGCCAGUUUUAUGAUUAUAUUUAUCAUCAUCACCCUUCCGUUCCAUGUUUAAUCCGUAUAUAUAUUUGACUACAAUAAGAAGCGGUCCGUGCAUACGGAAAGAUUUGUUUUCCUGUUGACGAUGUUCAACCUUCUGUUUUAGACUCAAAUAGAAUAACGGAUAUGAUUUGACGAACUGCUAAGGAAACCUAACAAAUUAACGAUUAAAAACAUUUUCACAUUGGAUAAAACAGGAUAAAUGUAAGUAUUUGAUUUUGCUGGCGACAUGUCUGUUUUAUUUUUUGUCUUGCUUUGAUAAAGAUGUCUAGCUUUUGAAAUUUUAAGAUUAUUCAUGGCUAUUUUGACUUGCAAUUAAACAUCUUCCUACAGCCUUGCAAUUAUAUUUAAUAUAUCUUUUUAAUUCCUGAAUAAUAUAUCAAAAAUCCUAAACUCUGGUAUAUAAAUUUUUAGUAUUCAAUUUUAAUAAAAAGUCUUUCAAAUUGAGUAAUGUUAUUUGUACCAUGUCUUUGUACUACAUUUUCAUAUCAUCUUAACAUUUGACGUGGACAGCCACAUCAUUUGAAUUAAUCAGAUUUUUAAAUUUAGUUAUUAUUUAAUAAACUAAUAAUUAAGAAAAACUAGUUAAUUAAAUGAUGAUUGUGGUAUACGAGGAGUCUUUCUCCUUCAUUUCUUUGGGUUUUGCAAAUUUUUCAAAUGAUGUGACUGUCCACGUCAAAUGUCACCUAAAAUAGUAUGAAAAUGUGGUACAAAUAUAUGGUAUGAAUAUCAUUACUCUUUCAAAUUACUCAUGAAAAGUGAUAUAUGCUCUUCCUUACAGGCUUACACCAAUGCGCAGAAGAAUUUUCUAUUGUACCAUCGUUGAAAUUUCUGUCCUAUCAUCACCGAAAUUUCACUCUACUUUUCCUUCUAUAUUUGCUAGUGAUUUAGCGGUUUUUCAAUGAUUAUUUAGAUAUGUGCACUCAAAUUCAAUCAUGUUUACAAUUAUUUAUAAUUAUUAGUAGAAGAAACUAUAGAGGUCGCACUUGGUGUGAUGGUAAGUGCCUUCGCCCAUGAGCGGUAGGUCUCGGGUUCGAGACUUGGGAGCCCCCUCUCCAUAAAUGGGGGUAAGGCUAGCCGACAUUCACCUCUCCCAGACCCUGCGUAAAGCGGGAGCCUUAUGCACUGGGUACGACCUUUAUUAGUAGAAGAAACUAUACAUGUAUUUGUUUGGAGGCCUUUCUAUUUGUUGUUGGUGGUACACGUGUUUGGUGCUUUUUGUAAAAAUACUUUUGGAAAAGAAAAAAAACAGUAUAAUAAUGUUUGGUAAACUUUUAUAUAAAACAGCUGUGACUGUGUAAAAUGACAAAAAAUAGUAUAAUACUAGAUGUGUUAUUAAUUUAAUUUUCUUAACAAAUAAAAAUGAAUUACUAAAUAUACUUUAUUUUUAAAAGAAAAAUAUUUGAAAACUUUAUCUUAAAUAUUAAUUAGUAUGACAAACUACUUCAAUUGAAAUAUUUUAGACUGAAUAGCUAGAAUUCAUUAAUACAAUAUUGUUAAUGUACUUGAAGGUAGUCUAAUUAGAUACAUUCAUCAAACUUGCUGCUAUUCUAUUUCUUAAUGCCUCUGUCUCAUGUGAUCCUUCAACUUGAUAAUUUUAGUUUUCUUCAUCAUCAUUAUCAUCACUACUAUCGAUCUUUUCAUAAAAGUCCUUGGGAUCAUCAAAAUGACAAUCACUUUCAGCAUACAACUACAAAAUCCAACAGCAAAUCACAAAACAAUCAAACAAUCAACAGCAAUUCACACAACAAUCAACAGCAGAACGAAAAAAUACCCAGAAAAAAGGAGCGCGACGGCAGCGAAGAGAAUCCACUGACAGCUCCGACUCGUCUCUUCGUCUACCUUAAUCAAGAGUGGAAACGUAAGAGAUAAUGAUGAGAAAUAAAAAAGGGCAGAAAAAGAGGAGGAGAUUUGGGUUCAUGGAUCUCAUGAUAACAAACAGAGCAACACCAUCGUUGCCAAUCAAACCCUAAGAAUUGAAAUUGUUUCAUGGAUCUCAUGAUAAUAACCUUAAUUCAAACCCCAAAACUGAAAUUUAGAGAAUUAAUUCAAACCCCAAAACUGAAAAUUAGGACAUUAAUUCAAACAUCAAAACCGAAAUUCCCACAACGAUGGAAGAGAGAGAGAGAGAGAGAGAGAGAGAGAUGGAGAGGGAGAGAGAAAGAGUUAUGUUUACCUAAUCAAUGAGAUCAAGCUCGGUCGUUGGUUGCCACACAAAACCCUGUUUCAGAAAACCCCAAAAAAAUGGGUUCAUCAUCAGAGAGCAGCCAAACCCUAACCUAAAAAUUAAAUUAAUUAAUUACAGCAAAAAUUUAAAGCAAAUCGAGUACCUGGUACCUGGAAGGCGACGGCGGUGUGGCGCUGAGACCGACGAAGAGAAAGGAAAAGGAGGAGGAGGAAGAGGUGCAGCGGCGUGUUUUGCGAGAGAGAAAGAGAGAGUGCAGAGUGUAGGAAUCAGGAGAAAGGAGAGAGGAGAAAGGAGGGGGCGGUAUUGGCAAAUUGAAAAAAUUCAUUAGCUUGGUACUGUAGCUCUGUGUUUUGGAUAAUAAGCAGCUUCCACUUUUUGGUUUUUUCAUGUGAAGUUUUGAAAUAAAGCUAUUUUGAGAUGUUUACCAAAUAUCAAAAUCCUUACCAGCUUUUCUUCAUUCUGUUUUUUUUUUUUAAUCACCUCAAUCCCAAAAUGCACCACAGAAUGAUUGCUUGAACCCUGGUUUGGUACUGCUUAGAUUUUUUUAAAAGUUAGGAUAAAAAAAAGUUGAGCUCAAUAUUGUGUUUGGUAACUCAAGUUGCUUCCAAAAAACAACUUUUUUAUCACAGCAGCACGGGUGAAAAAAUUAGGGAGUGAAAAAAUUAAUUGGGGAAAAAAAUUAGGGUUUGUGGAGGAAAAAAAAAUUGAGAGAGAAGUAAGAAAAAUUGAUUACUUCUAUGCCCGCAACGAAGCUUGUCGUUCGAGCCGCUCGAACCGAGUCUAUAAUCUUCUGUGAACUAUUCAGUUGGUUAGAGUGUCCGAUAUAAGAAUGUUUGGUAUAUGUUGGAAGUAUAUGCAAGAAAUGAUGAAUGUAUUGAUUGCACAGUUUAAAAUUAAUGAUACUGUAAAGUGAUUAUAUAUCAAUUUUGGUGAAUUAGUUGAUUUUAUUAGCAAUCUCAGUAAAAGAAAUUAAUUUGAUUCUCGAAUGAAUACCAUGUAGGAGCAGUUUAGGAUAGAUUUAAAGGGGUCUUUCUGGGGUUCCGAGCUCCUAAUUUUGGGGCACCACAUAUAUAGUUGUUCUUUUUAAAUUUUGUCAAGAUUUGUUCAUUAUUUUGAUUGUUUGGGAAUUGGUUUUAGAUUCCGAAGCCCCUUACUGGGAAAGUUUUGAAAUCGUAAGAUUUUGAAUCACAUUCUGCUUUACUGGUGAGUUCUUGCUUCGUGUUUUUCUUCAAUGGUGUUUUGGAUGGUUAUUGUUUGUUUGAUUUUCUUAUCAUCUGUCAUAUUAUAUGUCAUGUAUUGGAUAUUGGCAAUUAGUAAGAGUCGAUUUUUAGAUUAAUUAACAUGAAUGAUGGGUUCUUAAAUAACAACUACAACUGCAAAUGACAUGACAAUUGCUAUUUUAGUGGAAAUAAGGGGAUGUUAAAACGUAAUGGUUGUUUCUGUAAUGUCGAAUUGUUUAGAAUAAGUUGCAUAGCUACCUACAAUUUGUUCAUUGAUUUAGUCAAUGACCCUAACGAAAUAAGGUAGGUUCCUUAGAUUUAUAAGGCCUAUCGUCUGUCAUAGGGCAUAAGUUUCUAAGAGCUGCACAGCAGAUUGGGCAGAGGGGAAGGUAAGGGUGCAGGUCUGCGUGGUUACGAUGACUCGUGCCAACUUGAUUCUGGUGGUGAUGUCGAUUUGCAUGACCACAAGGCUUCAAAGUUGCUGCAUUAUAAUUCUGCUUCUGGAAUUUUAUGCUUCUACUUUUAUUGGGCUUAAGUGCGGGUUGAUAUAUUUGAAUUUUUAAGUUGGCUUCUGUAGAGAUUAGAAGGUUGCUUAACUAUCCAAAAAGGAAAACAAAGCAUAUAAGUGGCUGUGGAUAGCUUAAAUCCUUGUAUCCUAUGAUCUGGGGUUUAACUAAACUAAUGAGUCCCUGUAGAGUAUUGUGCAUUUGUGCUGAUGUUUAGCUUGUGUGUCAUUACCUCAAUGGGCAUCAUUUUAGCUUGUGUGUCAUUUCCUCAGAGAUAGAUCCACAACGUUUAUCCCUCAAAUGAGGGGUUAUUUGGGACCAUAUAAAGGUGAAAGAUAUAAUCUCUUGGAUUUUCGUAGGGGUCCCGAACCAACGGGUCAUAAAGAGGUAUUCAACCACAUGUAUUCUUCUCUUAGGAGCAUCGUUGAACGAAAUUUUGGGGUAUGGAAGAAAAGAUGGGCAAUUUUAAGGGAUAUGCCUAAUUACAUGUUCAAUAAACAAGCGAAGAUUGUCCUUGCUACAAUGACUCUUCAUAACUACAUACGGAGGUAUUUUGAACAUGAUCGUCAUUUUGAUGACCCCAAGGACUAUUGUGAAAAGAGCGAUAUCAAGUUGAAUAAUCACAUAAGAUAGAAGCAUUAAGAAAUAGAAUAGCGGCAAGUUUGAUGAAUGCAUCUAAUUGGACUACUUUCAAGUACAUUAACAAUAUUGUACUAUUGAAUCCUAGUUAUUCAGUCUAAAAUAUUUCAAUUGAAGUAGUUUGUCAUACUCAAGGUAUUAAAUAUCGGUAAUAUCGGAAAUAUCGGUAGUCCAGAAACACGGAAAUAUUGAUAGAAAUAUCGGGAUAUUAUCGAUAUCGAUAAAAAUAAUAUGGAAACCACGGAAAUUGUAAGAAAAACUUGGAAAUUUUUAUUGAAACUUUGUAGCAUGUUUAUUUAGUCAAUUAUCUAUUAGUUUAUCACAAAAAAUUGGAAGGAAAUGCAUUGCAUGAUGGAUUUAACUGAUUUAAGUUGAUUAUAUAGCGAGCUGGCAAACAUUGUGAGUUUAGAAAAUAUGUAGUAAUUAAUGAAAGAAGUUUAAACACACCACAAUCAUUUAUAUAUAAUGAAUUAGUACAAUAUUGGGAGGUUUUAUUUAGGAUAUUAAAAAAAAAGGAAGUGAAUAAAAUGAUGAAGAAUAAUGUGCCGGAUUUUACACUUUAAAUUUCUUACGCAUAAGCAUACGUCUAGGCGUUGAAGUUCCAAAUUAUAGUAUAUCAAUUAACGAUUGAAAAUCAAUACGUUGAAUAAGACUAAACUUUAAUUUGGAUGCCGAUUAUGUUUUUUCAAGUUUAUAUAAAGUAAAAGAAUUGAAUUUUGGAAGUCAGGAGUGUGUCAAUUGUUUUAUAAUUCGUCCGAAUACAUAUAUCAGGUUGCUACUCAACGUAAUUUGAAAGUAUAUCUAGUGCAAGGACUUGUCUUUUUUUGUUGAUAAGCAAAGGGUUUGUAGCUUUUUUUGCUAAGCAGUAGAACAUUUAUAUUUGUUUAAUCUUUAACAUUUGAUGGUUGUCCACAAAUAUAGGAUAGAAGGCCCCAAAUUAUCUGGCUCUUAGCUAGUUGGAGUCACAAGUUCACAUGUACCAGCCUUGCUGCAAAACGUUUUGGUUUCUGUUAUUGCUAGAGUCCCACAUUGCCCACGCGAGGGCAGUGAGCAAGCAAGAUGACCUAUAAAAGCCACAUUCCCAAGCUGAGAAAAGCAUGUCUUGCUCGGCCUUUGGGCUAUGAUCAAGUGUAGUAUGUGUUGAGACUUCUCAAUAUUUUUAAGUAUUUUUGGGUUUUAUCUCGCGAUAUUAUCGAUAAUAUCGGGAUAUAUUGCCCAAAUAAUGCAUUAAAAUGCUGAUAAUAUCGUUUUCGAUAUUAUCGCGAUAAUAUCGACAAAAAUGUCGAUAUAUUGACGAUAAUGAAGUGGAUGAGUAAGAAAAUAUCGUCCUCCAAAAAAAACGAUAUUAUCGGCGAAAUAUCGAUAUUUAAAACCUUGGUCAUACUAAUUAAUAUUUAAGAUAAAGUUGAUAAAUAUUUUUCUUUUAAAAAUAAAGUAUAUUUAUUAAUUCACCUUUAUUUGUUAAGAAAAUUAAAUUAAUGGCACAUCCAGUAUUAUACCCUUUUUGGUCAUUUCAUACAGUCACAGUUGUUUUACAUAAAAGUUUACCAAACACUAUAAUAUUUCUUUUUUUUUUCCAAAAGAACUUUCACAAAAAAGUUUAUCAAACACUCACCUGCUUAUUCUCACAGCACAGCAGAAACAGUUUUUUUUUUCAAAGCACAACAAUACCAAACUAGCCCCAGUCUUACGAAUGCAAAAUUUGAUUUGACACCAAUUCUAUUUCUCGUAAAUUAGAAGAAAAUAAAUUAGUGAUAUUUUUAAGGGUUAAUCUCAGUUUACUACUCUGAAGUUUCUUGGUUUUCAACAUUUGGUACAUGAAUUUUUUUUCAUCCCACAGUGGUACCUGAAGUCAUAAUUUUGGAACAGUUUCACAUACAUCAAUUAAAGUUGCUGUUAAAUCAGCCGUUAACUGAUGACGUAACAUCCAUGUGGAUAAUGACGAGGCACCACAUGUCAAUAUGGGUCCACAUAAAUAUUAAAAAAUUUAAAAUUAAAAAAAAAACGUCAAAAAUAAAAAAUAAAAAAAUUUGGUUGUCUUCUACGUCCCCCGUCUCCCUUGCUCGCCCCCUCCUUCUCCCUCCCUUCUCUCCUUUGCCCGAACCCACCAAACCCUCAUACCACAUCCGGUCGAUGACGCACUCUGUCUUGGGCUGUUGCUCCGAGCUGCGACAAUCGAAGAGAUCAUUGACGAAACACUGACGUUAUCCAGUUGCAAUCAGAAAAGCUUCGGGAUCCAGAAGAUCGACGACAAAAGGGUUGUAAUUUUGGUUAGCGCCCCGUGGCUUUCCACCGCUAUCAAAUCAGGUAGAUGGGGGUCGGAGGUUCGAGCUCAUGAAGGCAUUUUAAGAGAAUAGGAGGGUUGGGUGGGUGGAUGAGUGGAGUCGAAGAUGGAGGGGGAAUGGUGGAUGUAUGACGAGUCCAGAGGAGAGGGAUGGAGGGGGAUUGGGAGGAAAUCGGGGGGGGGGGGUAGAAGAUGACCAAUUUUUUUUUUAAUUAAAUUUUUUUAAAUAUUUAUGUGGACCCAUAUUGAGUGGAGUCGAAGAUGGAGGGGGAAUGGUGGAUGUAUGACGAGUCCAGAGGAGAGGGAUGGAGGGGGAUUGGGAGGAAAUCGGGGGGGGGGGGGGUAGAAGAUGACCAAAUUUUUUUUUAAUUACAUUUUUUUAAAUAUUUAUGUGGACCCAUAUUGACACAUGGUGCCAUGUCAUUGUCCAUGUGAAUGCCACGUCAUCAGUUACAGCUGAUUUAACAACAAUUUUAACUAAAAUAUGAAAGUAUCCCAAAAUUAUGACUUCAUGUACCACUCUGGGAUGAAAAAAACUUCAUGUACCAAAUAUUGAAAACCAAAAAACUUCAGAGUAGUAAACUGAGAUUAACCCAAUUUUUAAUCUCUCAUUGCCUUGUACUUUAGAUGAGUGCCAAUUUGAUCCUUUAAUUAAGAAGAUGAAGUCUAGGGUUUUGAUUAGGAUAGGUUAUAGGUUUGAUCGUUUAAUUAAUUAGAAGAUGAAGUCUAGGGUUUUGAUGAGUGCCAUACUAGAAGCCAUUCGAACUUCCAGCAAAAGGACUCGGGGUGACCUAAUCGAGUCCAUCUUGUUCCCCCGUACCAUCCCAAGGUGAUCAAGAUCAAUCCGAAGCCCAAACGUUUUGAGCUCUGUCUCGAUCAGAUGCAUAAGAAAAUCCAUUGAGCCGAGUUUCAGACAAAGAAGAUAGAAAGGACUGGACACUAACACUGAAGGCGCCAUUGGUGGUGUGCUGCCAAAUAGGUUUAUCAGGUCUGCAACUUUCAAAUAUCUUGAUCAAAUCUUAUCAUUGACCAAUUAUGUCACAAGAAAUACUGAAUGAGUUUGCUAUUUUGUUAAUUGAAAGAGAAUUGAUUGAAAUUUUUGAUUAUAUAAACUUAAUUAGUACAUUUGCGCCUAAAAAUGCGACACAUGUAAUAUGCAACUAAUGUUUUCAUAGGUUUCUUCCAUUGUUAUUAAUUUUUUAUGACAUUUGAUAUAAAAAUAGAUUUUUUAUGUAUUUACAUUAUUUUUUUUAUACAUAUCAAUAUACAAAUAGUCGAGUUUCAGAAAAAUCUAGAACCCAUGUUGAAGACUCGACUAGAUAGUAGAUACCCUAAUUUCUCAUGGCCGCCCUUUCCAAACUGUAUAGAAACUUAACCUCAAAAUCAGCACCUGCACCACCAAAUUCAAGAAAAAUAACGUUGAGACAUUUAUAUAUUCAAGAAAAGUUAAACUUAAAAAUAAAUAAUCAAAUAUUACCUUGGUGGUGGGGGUCCAACGGAGAAAAGAUAGUUGUGGGGUUCAACUAGGAAGAGGAGGUCGUGUCUGGUGGUGAUGCUGGUGAUCGUGGAAUUGGAUGGCAUCUUGCAUAGAGGAUUGUCUGAGCUUGUUUUCCUCCCCUUUAUAACUAUAGCUAGUGUGUAUUUACAUAAAGUAUAAUAGGCAACGACUUGUGCAAAUUCAAUAAUUUACAACAGCAAACCAAUUUAUUCUAUUCAAAUUCAACAAUUAGAUAACAACUACCAUUUAGUACUACGGUCUAGUAAUAUUUCUUUUCACUUAUAAGUGAGAAAUCUUAGAUUUAAUUCUUACUAAAAACGAAUUUGAACGUGUUAUUAUGUCUAGCCUAUUAUGAGGCUUAACUCAUUAUUACAAUCUAGUGUUGAUAUCGUAUUAUAACAUAGACACGAGAAAGAAAAUAAAAGGUGAGAGUAUCUCGCAUGGAGAUGUAAAAAAAUAAAAAAAUUAAAAAAAAUAAAAUAAACCAAGGGCUAAAUAUUAAUUUGAUGGUUGACAUGACAAUGUUAAAUUUUAUCUUCUUCCAACCCAUAUGUUUUUUGUUAUAAAGGAUAUAUGACCCAUUUUUAAAAAGAAAUAAAUUAAAAUAAAUUUUCAAGAUUUAUAAUUGGUGCACUAAUGAGAUCCAUACAAUAAAAUAAUUAAAAAAUUAAUUAAUAUCACCUUUAUGUCAAAUUUGACAUCAAAAGAUUCAUAUGUCAAUUCACGUAGAAUUGAGAAAUCGGUUGGUGCUUUUAAUACUUUCAAAUUUGAUUACGUGACAUUCCACUUAAGAUUUGAAAUCUCCUCCGGAGAUGGUCUGAGAUUAAGAGAGAAACUAGAAUGGAUCUUAUAUUAUUUCCUUGGGGAAAUCCUUAUUUGUGCUAAUUACAAGAGUUCAAUAGAAGGUAUGAACCUUAAUUACUCAUGAAACAAAUGCAUCCUAAUCAAAGGGAGCAUUUUUUUCCCUUUGCAGAAAACUUAUUUAUUAUUAUAAAAACGGCAACAUACGUGAAACUCAUUAUCCACGUAGCGAUUAAAGGAUGUCGCCCUUUGAGGAUUUAGGUUUUGAACUGGUGCCCCCUGAGGGUUUGGUGUUGCUCUUUGAGGAAUUAUGUUUAGGACCCGAGCGGGAAAGAAGAUUCUUCCACCAACGAGCUGAGAGUUUGUAAUGUCUUUUGAGUCCGUUUUUGUAAUCCACAUAAAUGAGACCGAAUCUCACAGUGUAACCGUCAGCCCAUUCAAAAUUGUCGAGCAAAGACCACGCAAAGAACCCUUUCACAUUAAUGCCCUUCCUGCUCAAUCAAAUGUUAGAUACAAUCAUGUUUGUGAAAUGAUUGGCCAAAAAAUGAGAACAAAAAUCAAAUCUUUGCUUAAUUUUGUCAAGCGAUCACUUACUUAAUGGCUUCUUGAACGUAAUAAAGAUGCGCAUCGUAAUAUUUAAUUCUUUCUUUGUCGAUGAGAGCUUCCUCAAGUGAUAAUUUGGGAUCAUUUGCCUCGUCAACUCCUACAAAAAAAAAUGUGAUGUUUAUUUAGUUUCAUGUGGAAAUAUAAAUGGCAAUAAGUGUAUGUAGUAUGUAUGAUUUGACAUUUUUAACGAAACUAAAAUUAUUGAAAUCACACAAUUAAUACGUAAAACCGUAAUUACCAUUUUCUGUGAUGUAAAUAACUGGAUUUUUAUACUUUCUCUUUGUGUAACUUAAUAGUUCUAGAAGCCCUUGUGGAUAAAUAUAUAGCCAAUUUGAUGCAGCCUGAAAAAUACCAUGUCAAAGUUGUGUGAGUUGCAACAUAAUAUGAGGUAAGAGGGUUUAUAAGUUUAAUAUUAUUUCUGUGUAAAUAAUAUUGUUUUUGUUGGAAAAAAAAAUUAAUAUAUAUGAACUUGCCAUAUAUAUAUAUAGUAAACGUACCAUUGGACCAAUGAGGACUCCAUUGCGGUUGUCUGCCACAAUAAAUUCAUUUUUCAAAGUCUUGUUAGUGGUGCUUUAAUUAAAAAAUUAUAUAUCGGAAGCUAAAAUUUUUAACUAAAUUUACUCACUUAAUGAUUCGACCUUGGCGUCGGUUGACUGGCUUAGCUGUGCAGCCUUAACAGGAACAUCUUUUGCAUAUGACGAUGAGUAGUAAUUCAAUCCAAUAAAGUCAUAUGAACCUUUUAGCAGACUGGAUUGCUCUUCGGUGAACUUGGGCAUUCGACUUCCAACUAGCUUUACCAUAUGCUUUGGAUAUUUACCCCUUGUCAACGGAUCCAUAAACCUAUAAUUAAAUCGAAAUUUUCAAAUAUAUAUUAAGCAAGUUUAAAAAUAUGUGAAUUGUAAAUCAAGUGAUUUAAUUAUUUAACUUCAUUAGUGAUCUAAUUAUUUAGAAGUGCGUACGUACCAGCCAUACGAAAAAUCAAGUGCUCGCAUUGCAGCACCUUUAUCCUCCAUAGAAUCAGAAAGGGGUACAGACCAACCGGAGUUAAGUGCUAUUCCGAUCACGCCCUUUUGCGAAGCCUGUGCAGGCAUGCAUAUUUAAUAUUAACAUUUGAAUAUAUAAUAUAUGUACGUUUGUGUAUAUAUACAUGUAUAUAUUUAAAACUUACCUGAUACUUGUCUCUAUACACUUUUACAGCAGUUGCAUGAGCUAGAAGUUGGUGAUACGCUGCCAAAUAUGGCUCCGUCGCCGAAUUUCCACCCUCUGUGCAUUUUGUAUGGUUAGAGCAUCGGCCUGGAGCAAAUGUUCCGACUGUAUAACCUUGGACGCUAUAAGUUUGAGGCUCAUUUAACGUGAUCCAGUGCUUUACUUUGUCACCAAAUUCUUUAAAGCAGAGGUCUGCAUAGUCCUGAAAAUGACUCCUACAUAUAUGAAAUAAAAUGUUUGAUUCAAUUUUCAACUCUUAAUUAAUUAAGCAUUUCACGAGUUUACAAGUGCUAGGGAAGUUGUUUCACUUACACACUGUUAGGGCUUAAGAAGCCACGGUACUCAUCUUCCAAAGCCUGGGGAAAAUCCCAAUGAAAGAGUGUCACGAAGGGUUUUAUGCCUGCAAUAUAUAAAAAUUAAAACAAUAUUACACAAACGAAAAAAAAUAAACAAUAAUAGUAAUAUAUUUUUCUUUUUGGAUAAAAUUAGUCGCAGAGGAGUCAUGGGCAUAACCAUUGGCUUGAAGCUCAUUGAGGAGGUUUUUGUAAUAGUUUAGUCCUUCCAUGUUCACUCCCCCACUUAGCUUUCCAUCUGAUCCAAACGUUUUGGGGAGAAAGAACAACAAUGUAAUUGCAUUAGAAGCAUACUAAUCAUCACCAUAUUUAUUUAUUUUUCUUUAAAAGGAGACAACUAGUGACGAAUCAUAGUUAUUCCGUAACCAUAAUUAAACAGAUUGACAACUUAUAAAGUAUUGAACACAGAACCUCCAUUUUUCUCUUUAGGGAGAAGCUGUUCGAACUUUUCCACAAGGCAACUUGUCGGGGUUAUGAUAUAUAUUAAUAUAAUUAAAUAAAACAAUAGUAAUUUACAGAUUUUUACUAUAUUGAUUGUCUUACUAGGUAACAAGCGAGACCAUGAGAUUGAAAAUCUGUAAAAAUCCCAACCCAUAUCCUUGAGAAUCCCAACAUCUUCCUGUAACAUGUCGAAAGAACUUGUUAUUUUUCUUGCACUCAAAUUCUUAUAAGAUCUUCAUUGCUAAAUUCUUCAAAAAGAAUUAACGGUAAAAAAAUGUGACUUAUACCUUAAUGCGAUGAUAUGAAUCAACAGCCACAUCUCCAUUGCUGCGGUCCUUUAUUUUAUCUGAAUUGUUUUAUUUGUCCAUAAAAUAUGUAAGUAUCUUAUAAACCGAUUCGGAGCAGACCUUUUUGAUUAAAAAAAAUUAGCUUUUGAGGUUUGCUCUGCAGAACAUUUAAAUAAAAACAAAAAACCUAAUUGCAAAAUACACUCCUGAAACUUGGACUCACUUAAAAAGAAAAAAAGAAAAAAAAAGAUGAUUUAAAAGAAUUCACAUAAAAUUUCACUUUUAACUAGAUAUUUGGUAGAAAUUAGUGCUAGUUCUAUCCUUGGUUUUCACUAUGUUAAUUUUGUAUGGACGAAGAUGGGUAUGAGAAAUAAAAUAAUUCAAAUACCUGGAUAUUUGUGAGUGAAUGUAUCCCAAACAGAUGGUCCUCUACCCCCUUCCUUUGCAGCACCUUCAAACUAAUAAAAUUCCCAAACACACAAUAAAUUAAACCCAUCAACCUAAUUAGAAUUAAUUAAACUUGAAAGAAAAUAUGUAUAUAGAGAUGCGUUACGUACCUGGUAGGCCGCUCCGGCAGCCCCGAACAUGAAAUCGGGCGGAAAACUGGUCCGGUUGAAGUUCUGAUAAGCAUCAGAUGAAGCAUUAGGUUUGGGAGGCUCUGGCUUGGCACUAAUUGUGACUGCACAGCCAAGAACGAGCAGGAGGAUGAAACCUAACUUAAUCAUCAUGUUUUGAUGGUGAUUUGUUUAUUUGAAUUCUAGAGUUAGCUGUUGCCCUUUAUAUAUACUCAUACUUAAUAGCGGACAAGAAUCGUGAUAGGAUAUCGAAAGGCUUAAUUUAGACAUAUGUAUGUAUGUAUGUAUGUAAUGAUGCCAGUUUUAGAAUUUGUUUUAAUUUGACUCCAAUAAGCGCGGUCAUUCCGUUGCAUACGGAAAGAUUUGUUUUACUUUUGACCAUGUUCAACCUAGAAACAUCACGUAUGGUAUAGCGAACUGUUAGGGAAACCUAACAAAUUAACGAUUCAAAACAUUUUAAUAUUGGAUAGAACAGGAUACAUGGAAGUGUUUGAUUUUGCUGGUGACAUGUCUGUUUCUUUUUUUGUCUUGUUUUGAUGCAGAUGCCUAACUUUUGAAAAUUUAAGAUUAAAUAUUUAAUAUGCCUUUUAAUUCCUAAAUAAUAUAUCAAAAAUCCUAAAACCCUAUAGAUCAAUAUUGUAGUAUUCAAUUUCAAUAAAAAAAAAAGUCUUCCAAAUUAUACAUGAAACGUGAUAUAUGCUCUUCCUUCUAUAUUUGCUAGUGAUCUAGCGAGUUUUUAAUUUUUUUUUCCGCAAACAGUACGAUAUUCAUUGAUAAGGUAAUAUAAUACAUACAAUUGAGGAUAGGGUGCAUACAAUGAGCCUCGAUAAAAACCUUGUCGGGGAUUUCAACCCAGUCUACAAUACUACGUUUAACUAUUUGCGCGACGAACAAAAGUUGGUCACGUAAAGUGUCAUUCCAUUGCACAAAUGUCUGCUCGAAGAAAGACUUUGAGCGACAAACAAUAGCAUUGGUGCAAAAACAAGGCGCGACGGUUUAGCCUUCGUCGCACAAAAUACCAGGAUAUAAAUGUGGGACGACUAAUAUUCGUCUCUCGAAACUUUGCGCGACGACAAUUUAUAGUUGUGCAAGGAAACCUUGUUAGUCACUAGAAUUUUGCAAGACGAAGGUAUUCGUGGCACAAAAAUAAUUUUUAUUUUUUUUAAAUUUAAUUUUUUGUUCUGUUUUUUUUUUUUUAAUUUUGUAGUAAAAUUAAAUUGCAAUUAAAAAAAUGUAUGUACAAGGAAGAGAAAAAUAAUUUAUUUAAAUAAAUAUAAAUGUAUGUACAAGGAAAAUAUUUAAAAAGUAAGGGAGUAAAAAACUAAGAAAAUAAUGUGGCGUAAUCUACGGGGUCGUCAUUAGGAGACGUUUGGAAGGUCUCAAAAUUGGGGACGGGCUUGAAGGUCAAAGGGGCAGAGUUGUGGGCAUGCUUGGCUUGAGGGGCUUGGAUGUCGACGAUGGACGAAGAUCCGGGAGACGAAUGCCGGACUAACUGAGGGCCUGUACAAUCUGUGAUAUUUCACUCUUAUACGAGGCGAGCUCAGUCCUAAGGUUGGCCACCUUUGUUGUCAAAGUUGUCUCCUGACUCUUUGACUAUGAUGAUGAAGAGGCUCUAGGUUCCCGUUGCCGAGCAUUCCUCAUCUCCCUACAAUACGUCCCCAGCCUCCGCCCGAGAGUCUGAUCUAAGGUCUUUGUAAGGAUCUGAAACCCCGCAUCCUCUAGGGGAUCCAUAGACUUGAGCGGAGUCUUGGGAGGAAGUUGGGAGGCAAACUCCUGAAGAACCAACUGCCUAUUUUCCAUCAUCGUCGCCUGUGUAAUAUAACAUGAAAAUAUUAAUAAUAACAUUCAAAUAAUAACCAUGAUACUUGAAUGCGUAAGAUAAUAAUUAGAAUUGAAGAAUACUUAUAUGAAGUGACUCAACCAACUCAUCCCUGGGUCGAACAUAAACGUCGCUGAAGACAUCAAUCUCCGGGAAUUGUGAACCCCCUGAAUAGAACAAGAUAGAAAAAUUGUUAGUACGAAAAACAAUAUUAUUGGCAUAUUAAAAAUUGAAUAUGAAAAACUUUAUUAUUACAUGCCGUCGCGCCUCCAUCUAUACGAGAAGGGCCUCAAAUCGGAAGGUGGAGAAGAGUCUUCUUCUCCCGAUUGCUCUUGUUGGCUUUCGCCUUCUUCUGUUAAAAAAAAACAAAACAAACGUAUUAGUUCUAAUUUAAAUGAAAUAUAAAAAAUGUACCACAUAGCUGGGCUUUUGAAAAUGACUGCAGAGCCACACCUAAUUAUAUCUUCCCGGUCCUCAAACUCCUUCAGGCAACCCUUCUGAAGAGCGACCUGCGGAUCAUCAAAUGUCUCAAAAUAUUGGUGCAGGUCGCUCUUCCAUUGACACGCCCCGAUCCCAAUAUUCCCCUAACACUAGGGUAGGUACGUGCUAGCCAAUACCCGAAGGUGACGCAAGCCAUUUAGAAUGCAUGAGAACAAGAAUUAAAUAGGACUUAUAAAUUUAAUUAUGAUUAAUAUGCAAUUGAGGAACGUGUUCAGAGCAUACAACUAACUAGAACACUAAAAGAAAUAAUAUAAAAUUGAAUAAUAAAAGAAUGGGUCAUACACCGAGAGGAUUCGAAGAUGCUGAUGCCGAAGUGCCUUGACGCCAGGAUUGUACGCCUCGAUUCUAAGUCCUAAAGGGACGCAAAACAAACAUGAGUGGACCAAGUAGAUUGAUAUAUAUAUAUUAUUGAAACAGUUAUCAACAUAUUAAACCCCAGAGUUUUAUAAAACUAAUAACAUAAUAUGAAAUAGGUUUCUCCGAAAACCCUAGCAUGACAUAAAACAUCUCAUAAAGCAUAUCUCGUAUAUAGUGUGCUAAAUAGUGGUAUCCAAACAUAAUAUCUCCCAGCCUAAUGCUAGAACCAUGUCUUUCUCGACUUGAAGCCAAAUAUUAUUUUCUCCUAGCCCAUUGCCAGCUCCAUGUCCCUCGGCUCGAAGCCAGGGAUUAUUUCUCUCGGCCCGCAUCCAACACCAGAUCUUCUCCCAGGUGAAAUAGUGACCACUAGAUACGCACAAAACAUUGAACAUAAACUUUCCAAACAUAGGUACAUAUAUCUCAAAAUCAUCUUCAUAGUAUAAAGUCAUCCAUCAUCUAUACUAUAAAGAAGUGUGUAAAAGCAUGUUCUAAAUAGUAUAUCGCCAUCCAUCAUUUACCCUACAAGAAUAUGGGUUCAAUAGAAAAUAUGGUAUUCCAAAAUAUUCUAAGUAAGCAUAAUAUCUCAUCAAACAUUUCAUAAAAUGUAAUCAAUAAAUCAUGCUUUUUCAUAUAUGAAUUUCUACUAUUAAAACAUGCAUUUUAUAAGGGGUUCACUCACAUACACUUCACCGCCGAAGAGCCACGCAAACUAGUGAAGAUGGAAACACCACAAUAUAUGCACCUAAGCACAUAAAGGGUCCAAUUAAUAAAACUAUAUUAAAACGAUUGAAUUUAGGAAAACAGACAUCAUAAACAGGUCAAGGACGUUGAAAUUAGCCUAGGAGGGGUCCUGGAUGAAAACUUGAAAAGUCAACGUUGAUCGUUGACUGGUCAAAGUCAAAGUCAAAGCUGAUCGUUGACCAAGUCAACGGGUCAGUUAAACCGGGUCAAGAGUAUUGGGUUGGACCGGGUCAAUGGGCUAGAGGCCCUAGGUUCUUGGGCUUGGGUUCUAAGGCCCAAAAGGUUUAGGGUUGUGGGCUUAAAAGCUUACGGGCCGAAUCCCUUUGGUCUUUGGCUGAAGACCUGGCCUAACAAAAGGGUUUUGGGUUUAAAUAAAAAUAAAGGGAAAAUAAAUAGGUAAAAGGAUUUUGAGUUUAUGCUUAAGGGUUAACGGGCCCAAGGCUCGACUCUUAAACGGCCCAAAUGGCCUGGGUUCAUUGAGUUUGGGUCAUUCGACCCGUUACUUGUGGGAAAGAGGCCGGAGAUUCUAGAGCUCUGAUCGUCGUCGUUUGGUCACCAUAACUUACGAUCUACCUAUGAAAUUGAAGGCAAAGGUGAGAAGAAGAAGUUGGUACAAGAGGUUUGCCGUGAAAUGGUCGGAUAUGGCCUAAUUUGGGCUUGCACAUCUACGGCUUGCUGGACUUGGGUUUGGUGUUCUAUGGGCACCUCGGAGCUUCACGAAGACAGUGGAGAGGGAAGGGAGAUCCUUGCGAUGGUGAUGGUUGUGGUGCCGUCGCUGGGAAGCCUCUUUGGGUGUGUGGGCAUGGGUGUCGUCGGGUUUGGGAGAAGGAGAGUGAGAGUUGAAAUAAUGAGAGAUUCGAGAGAGAUCAGGGAAAGAAAGUGAGAGAUAAGUGAGUUAAGAGGCUGCCACAUGGCAGCAUGAGGGAGAAGGGAAAUCAAGAUAGAGGGUCCGGAUUAGAUAGGAAUAAAGGGACCAAAAUGAAAACUUCAAAUGCUUUCAAGGAAAAAGUGAAAUUACAAAAUAAAUUUGGGGAUGGGUUUUACAAUCUACCCCUCUUAAAAGAAUUUCAUCCUUGAAAUUUGAAAUAACUUACUACACCGAAAAACUCGAAGAUAGGAAGAAGACAAUAUAUAUACGUAACGAAGAAAUCACGUCGAAGUGGUUGCACGAAAGGGAAAAUGCCACACCGUCAUGAUCGGGUUGCAAUGAUUCCAUCUUUCAUGCCUUCAGGCUUAUACCUUAUUACUGCAUCAAUGUAAAAGUAGAAGGCAUACGUAACGUCAUGUACUUCGAGAAUAGUUGUGUUUGGGUCGAGUCCUAGCAAUAACAAAUCCGUAACAACUGCCGUAGAUGGGUCUACCUACCCAAUUGCUUAACAAACCCAACGAAUAAGCCAUCAAUAUCACAGUCUGUAGCCCACAAUAUCAACAACACAUUGUUGUCUCGAUAAACAAGUAAUAAUUUCCCAAGGGUGCACAAUUACCAUUUUUGCCCCGUAACGAGAGAGUGUACAAAGAUCGUCCGAUUCUCGCCUCGACCAUGCUAUCGUACCAUUCCAGAGUGCACUAAACAACUAUGCUAGAAGUGUUUCAACAUCCACGAAUUUAUGAACAAUAAGGUUCCGAAGUAAAGUAGUGAAAAGAUGCGUUGAGAUAAAUAGAUGUCGUUGGAAAAGAAACAAUGUGAUGCCUAUGAAUUAUAGCAAGAUGGUGAUACAAUCCGCUGACCUUCUGUACUAAAACCUUUAUCCAAACCCUUACUAAAAGAUGGUUCAAACCUUACACCCACGUGCUCGCGAACCAAAGGAUCCUGGUGUGAGGUAGUGGAAAGUUGCAUUGAGGUGAACACAUCACAUCAUUAAAAAGGUCUACUAGAGUACAAUAUGAUGUCCAUGAAUUGGAACAAGAUCAUGAGGGGUGUUUAUUCAAUUCUGCAUGAAGAUAGUGAUGCAAUAUGAUGAUCACCUGCACUACAAUCUUCACCAAUCUUUACUAAAAGACGGCUUAACCUCACAUAUACAUGGAACUCUUCCUGGUAAGUCUGGUAAACUUGUGAAAAGGUUAUGCACCUAACGGUCAUGUCCAAAUCGAUAAGAACUGGGCAUACACUUCUGUUGAAAUGAUCGAUCGUGAAUUCCUUAUUGAUUGAGCGAGAAACCAUGUUGAGAAGGCUAAAAGAAUACUCAAGAAUUUAAGGAUCAAAACAAGUCCAUCAAAACUAGAGUACAAGACCAAGGAUACUUCUCAUUUCACGAUACCUUGCGAGGAUUUCCAAUUUCCAACGAUCGCAACCUUUUUGGAAAUUGAUGAGAAUAACGUCUGUUACCGAAGAGUCUCCUAAGACAAGUAUUUAGAUGCCAACAAAGAACCCAUUUGAAAGAUGUACCUUAGGAUUCAAGAUAAGUGGCUACCAUGUUAAUAGUAUACCUAAAAGCUCGAGCUAAACAAGUAGAAAACGAAAAGUCACCUUCCCUAAUAAGCAAUAUCUCUUGGGAGCUGUUGUAGUGCUCAAACCACCUCUCCAUUUUGGCUUAGUAGCAGAUUUCUAGUCAAACAAGGUCAAUGUUGGUAGAAAGAAGAAGGACUCGUAAAUGAUCAACCUAAAAACCCAAAGAGAGCAUACACCUUUCGAGAGAAGUGUAAAUUGUACACGUGCUUAAGCCACAAGAUGAGUGAACACAAAGCGUCCUCCUAAGGAAGUAUUAAAUCUAAAUGAGGUCAACGCUAAAAAAAUUUAGGGUGAAACUAACAGUCGAUGGUUAGGGAACUUGACUUUGUCGUUGGAGUAGGCAAGAAGGUUAUCAAUAGAACAAUUGCCUAGAAUUGUUCUAAAUAUCCACAUGAAUUUCCUCGACAGGAAUGAGUCUCAGAACAUUAAUUUGAUCUCACCAACUACCACUUACACAACUUCAUGACAGCUAGCGCUUACUCGCCUUCUCCAACACGCACUUCGAAUGUUUCGAGUAGUUUGAACAUAGAUGUGACUAUGCCCGCCAUUCCUAGGGAACACAUGUUGCAAAGUAUCGGUCUGAUGUCGAAAGUUGUUCAACAAUCCAUUUCAUCAUCGAUGAGGCACAAUCCCGACACAAAUUUUCUUUCUUUUUUUUCAAUACGAUGUGACUAUUUAUGCAAUAUGAAGGUUGCACAAUCGUGUCGAAAGACAAAAAAUCUGGAAGUCAUGACAUCCAAAUGAUGUCAUUAUCGACACACUACUACAGUAACAGAAGAUCCUAAGUAUACUCUGAAUAAACCAUGCUCUGAUACCAAUCUGACAUGCCCCGAUCCUGAUAUCCCUCGAACACCAAGUUAGGUACGUGUUGGCCAACACCCGAAGGUGAUGCAAGCCAUUUAGAAUGCAUGAGAAUAGGAAUUAAAUAUAACUUAUAAAUUUAAUUAUGAUUAAUAUCCAAUUGAGGAACGUGUUCAGAGCAUACAACUAACUAGAACACUAAAAUAAAUAAUAUAAAAUUGAAUGAAUAAAAGAAUGAGUCCUACAUCAAAAGGACUCAAAGAUGCCGAUGCGGAAAAGCCUUGACGUCAGGAUUGUACACUUAGAUUCUAAGUCCUGAGGGGGCACAAAACAAAAAUGAGUGGACCAAGUUGAUAUAUAUAUAUAAUAAUGAAAUAGUUAUCAACAUACUAACCCCUAGAGUUUUAUGAAAACUAAUAGCAUAAUAUGUAAUAGGUUUCUCCGAAAACCCUAACAUACCAUAAAACAUCUCAUAAAGCAUAUCUCGUAUAUAGUGUGCUAAAUAGUGGUAUCCAAAUAUAAUAUCUCUCAGCCCAAUGCCAGCACCAUGUCUCUCGACCUGAAACCAGAGAUUAUUUUCUCCCGGCCCAAUGCCAGCUCCAUGUCCCUCGGCCUGAAGCCAGAGAUUAUUUCUUCUGGCUUGCAGCCAAUACCAGAUCCUUGCCCCAGGUGGAAUAGUGACCAUUAGAUAUGCACAAAACAUUGAACAUAAUCUUUCCAAACAUAAGUACAUAUAUCUCAAAAUCAUCUUCAUAGUAUAAAUUCAUCUGUCAUCUAUACUAUAAAGAAGUGUGUAAAAGCAUGUUCUAAAUAGUAUAUCGUCAUCCAUCAUAUACCUUACAAGAACAUGGGUUCAAUAGAAAAUAUGGUAUUCCAAAAUAUUCUAAGUAAGCAUAAUAUCUCAUGAAACAUUUCAUAAAAUGUAACAAUUAAAUCAUGCUUUUUCAUGUAUGCAUUUCUAAUAUUAAAACAUGCAUUUUAGAAGGGGUCCACUCACAGAUACUUCGCCGCUGAAGAGCCACACAAACUAGCGAAGACGGAAGCACGACAAUAUAUGCACCUAAGAUAAUAAAGGGCCCAAUUAAUAAAACUAUAUUAAAACAAUUCAAUUUGGGAAAACAUACGUCAUAAACGGGUCUAGAACGUUGAAAUUAGCCUAGGAGAGGUCCCAGACGAAAACCCGAAAAAAUCAACAAAAGUCAACGUUGAUUGUUGACUGGUCAAAGUCAAAAGUCAACGUUGACCGUUGGUCGGGUCAACGGGUCUGGUUAAACCAGGUCAGGGGUAUUUGGGUUGGACCGGGUU
rnacentral:lncRNA from 1 species